rnacentral:lncRNA from 1 species
GGUCCCAACUCCUUCACCCCAGCUCUCUUCCCUCUCUCCCUCCGGCUAUUUCUCCUUCGCCCCCGCCCUGUCGCCCGCUGCCCCCCCCCCCCUGUUAGCUGCUAUACUGCUGUUCCUGGCUACGCAUUCACACCUUGAAUAAUUAUGCAUGUAACCCCAACCCACGCACCUUGACCAGCUGGUCGAACUCGUCCUCGCCCCUGAAGAACACGGGCUUCUUGAACACCAGCGCCGCCAGCAUGCAGCCCACACCCCACACGUCCAGGCUGUACGUGUAGUCCUGAGGAGGAGCGGAGGGAGGGGGGAGGGACAGAUGGCUGGGUGUGGGAUGGCCGGUUGACCUUGAGCUGGCGAGUUGCUCACCGGUUGCUCCCUCGUCUUGCCUUCCCUUGGGGUCUCCCUUUCCCCCUACUCUCCAACACCUUGUUGCCUACCCAUGUUAAGACGUCUUUAGAUCCGCCCCGCAUGACCCUUGGACCGCUCCCUCCCGGUGCUAGGUCUGGGUUGAGGGAUUGAAUGAACUACCCCCCCCCCCCCCGCCCCCCCCCCUCCCUACCGCUCCGCCCCCUCCAGCCCGCCUGCCCCGCACCUUGAUGUCCACCAGCAGCUCCGGCCCCUUGUAGAAGCGCGUGGCCACACGCACCGGGUACUCCUUGCCGGGCGUGUAAAAGUCCGCCAGGCCCCAGUCGAUGAGCUUGAGCUGCCGCUUGGCGUGGUCGAUCAGCACAUUGCCCGGCUUGACGUCCCUGCAGGACGCGGCGGGAGAGAACGAGGGAUGGGGAGUCACAGGCGUUACGACGGCAGUCAGGCGUAAAUAGUUGGGAGACGGCAACAGGAGGGAGAGGCGCAAGUACGAGGUAAGGGGGCGGUCGGGUGGCGACGCACGGCGUGUGCUGAAAGCUCCACAUGCUGCGGUCGCAUCCAGUUUGCGACCUUCGUGUGCUGGCAGCCCAGUCGCCCCUCGCACUGCUGUCACGACGUCGCCUCGCCCCGCCCCCCCCCCUUCCAAAGCGCCCACCUGUGCAUGAUGCCGCGCGAGUGGCAGUAGUCCAGCGCAAUGAGCAGCUGGAAGAUGUAGUAGCGCACAUCCAGGUCCGUCACCGCGGCCUGGAAGCGGGGCGGAGGGCAAGGGGCGAGGCAAGAGGCGGCCGCGGGGGCAGUACUUCAAUUCAGGGCUUGGUGUUGCACUAUACCGCGCCGCGUGCCCUGCCAGAGGUACAACCAAUGGCUUAAGUCAACGCCGCCCCACCUGUGCCGCGCCCCGCGCCGCCUUCCGUCAUAACCCCGACACUGGCAACCGCGGUCACCUCCCUCCAAACACUCCCAUUCCAUUACCGGCAAUCCACCAAAAUCGACCUGCCUUGCCAACGUCCACUGCCCCUCCAGCCCCUCCCGCCGCACCUGCAGCUCUUUGAAGGGCAUGGCGUCCACGAAGUCAAACACGAAGGAGGGCGUCUUGGUGUCCGGGUCACGCACAAUGUCCAGCAGCCGCACGAUGUUGGGGCCGCCGCUCACGUGCUGCAGGAUCUUCACCUCGCGCCGCAGCCGGUGCUCCUUCACGGGGCGCAUCACUGCGUGUUCGUGUGGACGUGUGGGCGGGGCGGAGGUGGGGGCGGUUUGACGGGGAGGGUUAACGUUGACGGGGAGGGUACAGAAGGGCCAGAUGGAGAAGCACGAGGGCCGAGGCAGGCACAUGCAGCUGGGCAGAGGGACCGGGGUAUGUGAGAAGCUGGCAAAGGUGGAGUGUCGAUGAGUGUGGGCGGAAGCGCGUGGCUCCCGCCCACCCACCCAUGGCUGCGGUCCCGGGCCUACAGGGCCUCGCGGUACCCGCCACGGCCCGCGUCCACGCACCAACACAGCGGCUUGCCCCCUCACUCAAUCGUCCCAUAGCCUGCUGCCCAGACCUGGCUGCCCGUCGCGGCCUGGUCGUCGGGACUGAGGGCUGCGCACAAACUGAAUGCCGCCGAACGAACCCCAACGCCGCCUCGGUGCAAAUGCUGCCCAUCAGGGCAAACUGCUGUGCAGCUAGCAUACUUGAACGUGAAACUGCAGCUGCCCGCCGUGAAACCGCUGUCCAUGCCCAAGCCCCAUCUCGCGCCAAGUCGUCUUAAGCGGCUAGCCAAUAGAGUCCGAAGGCCAAUGCACUGCUCCAAAAGCAGGACGCACAUGACCAGUCGUCGUUUGCUCCAGCUGCUGGAAAGCCCCACCUUUUAUGACGCAGACGCGGUCCUUGUCUCGGGAAGCCAGCCGAAGGUUGAUACCCUCAUACACCUCGCCAUAUUUGCCCUUGCCUAGCUGCUUAAUGACCUCAUACUGGUCUUGGCUGCCCCAAGUGACAUUCAGGCUGUCGUCGUAAUAGGCAGCCGGCUUCUUCAGCAGCGCAGUAGCGUGGUCUCUAGCAACAAGCCUUAGGCCGUCCUUGCGCCGGUUCGACUUGGGAUAGCGUUUAGGAGGCGCCAUUUUAGAGACCAGUGCACACUAAGGCUAUAGGCUUUCCCUACGUCAUAAUGCUGCAACCUAAGUGUUGAGCUUAGACUGAAACAAUGGACCACUGCAAACGCUGCCCGGCAAGUCAAAGCCUACCGUGCUGCAUCGUGCCCAUCGCCCCCGCGAGCCCUGACCCUCCCCCCGGCCCCAACUAAUUCGAUGUAAAUGUUUACAUAGUCGCACAUCCUCUCCACUUCACAGACAGGGAACGUCGCACCUUUUACCGUCCCGCAUUUAGUACGUCUGGUCGGGGCGCCACACCGACACAGCGCAGUCAGAGCCAAUGGAGCCACCUCCAGAUGUGCCGUUCUUAGCUCGGAAUGUGCCAUAUUUGGCCCACUUUUGGCCCAGACCGCUGCAGGGCUUCCUAGGCGCCCACGCUUGCCUAAAUAUUGAUGUAAACAUUAUAUAAGAUUAUUCCAGGGGUUGGGGGUCAAAAGGGCGCGGUGGGCGAGUGGAUUCUGGGGGCCGGGUUUUGGGGGGAAAACUGAGGGGCGACCCCAAAUUGGCCCACCGGGCCGCGAGACGUUUUGGUCAUCCCUGCCGGCUAUUUGCCGAUUUCGAUACCCUAUAGAUGUCAUGUGAGGACUGUUGCAACCGUCCGGGCAGGAUUGAGAGUGCUCUGGGUGCACAUCGCUCCUUAAAUGCUCAACAUGUUGUUUUGUUUGUCGUCUGCAGGCGCAUUCUGGCGUGCGCUAGUCAUUCAAGGACAAACAUCAACAGAUACUAUAUGCGCAGACCAGUUAGCCUGCAGUCCGUCUGCUCCACACGCCAUAUCUCGCAUAGGCGGUGUUUUGUUCCUAGAUUUUAUGCCGUCGAGUUAUCUGCACACUUAGACGUAAGCUAGAUAGCUUCGAGCCGAAUUGGCGGGGUCCUAGCAAGCGCGACAUUUGACAUUUUGACUUCGGUUCUCGCUAACAUUCAUGUCCAGAAACUGUUCAGAGACCUUUAUGUAUGUCACAUGAUGCCAUUUCGAUGCUAUAGGGGCCUGUACUCAUGCAGUCCCCAGGCACUCGCCGGAGUGGCAUCCGCCGCACCGAGCCCGGCAGGGCCAGCCCUUGUUUGCCCAUUCAAGCUCGCAAAGCUAUCACUUACACGUAAGGGAUAAUAUAUAUGCAGAGAAUGGGGCGGUCGGGGAGGCUUUCGAGGACCAGGGCGUGGGCUCUGGCGAGUGGGCCAAAUAAUCGGGCGGGCGCGCAGGGUCGGUUUUGGGGACUGGUCGGGAAUCGACCUCUUACAGGCCCCCCAGUGCUUAUAUAUUCCUAAUAUAAUACAAGUGUGCAAUAUUAAUUCAGGCAGGCUCUGAAUCCGUGCGGGCCAGCCGCACGGGCAAGUGGGCCAAAUUGGGGUAGGCUGGCAAUUAGGCACAUUCCGAGCUAGCACCGCGGACACAUCAGCAAAGUGCCCCGAAUCUCUGUUGCAACCACACCACCGUGGCACCGUGUUUCAGCAAAAGUGGGGUCGAGCAGCAGCCCUGAGGGACUCUCGGGCCGUUAAGCACGCAAGUGCCUUUGGUGCCCUCGCCUUUGGCAUGGCUUUCAAGCUCCAGGCCCGACGAGUGCCGUCGCCUGCCUGUUCCAAUGAUCCAAUCUGUUAACCUGACACUGCCUGGCGCGAGUCACGCGAGACAUGGGAGACCGGAGUACGGGUGAUCAGGGAGAGGAUAUAGGUCGCGUCUGAGAGCGGCUAGAGCCGUCUCUCAUUCCGGUCCUAGGCGAGAUAGUCUAGACCGUUCAAUGUGAGGGACCCGUCCUAGUGGACGUUUAAACUCUUGGCAACAUGUGAGCCCGAACGUGAUCGGCUUGCGCCACCCUCUCGCUCGCUACGCAUGCGCUCCCGGCCGCCUACGCCAUAGCCAACACGGCCAGGGGUGAACACGGCCAUUGCAGAGGCCGACAGAUCUGCAAACAAGUCGGCGUCAGGCACACGAAGUGUUCAGUGUCCUAUCAUAGGGCGCGACACUCGCGGUUACAAAGGCUGCACACGUGCGUACGCCCGCAGCGCGCCUCUUGCUCCGUCUUGGCGUCUGUGCCGAUGUGCACCCUUCGGUUAUCAUCGCCUUCCUCUCCAACACCCAGUGCUGCAUUCCACCACACAAAUUGUCCUAUGCCCCCCUGCGCGGCCAGAAUGCGUUGGGAUAGACUGCUUACGCACUCCGCCGGCAUCGGCAGCAAUGUCUUUGAGACAAACUCUGACCUCUCCCGCAGGCCGCAAAGGUAGCUGCCUACGACCGAUACAAUAUCUAUCCUCGUCAUUCUCAAGUCCAGUAGCAGGCCUGCCUGGAGUCUGCCAUAAACAUACAACCCUAAACCCCGCGCAAUUCCUCACCCAGCAGUCUUAUCGCUACCCCAACUCCCCACAGCAUGCAUCAAAACACUAACGCUAUCUGGUGACCAGCUGCCUCCCCAAUACCUGGUACCGUCGUAAAGGAAAGCUAUGCCAGCCAUGCACUAGCGCGAUGGUAGUCCUGCCCGUAAAGGCCUUGCAGGUGCCAGCGCACGGUUUGUCACGCGCAGUAGCCUGGAUUUCAGGCGCCUUUUGAGGCCCCAAUGCCCAUCCCGUAGGUAGUGCAACGUCGACAACGCGCCAGCAUAUCCCCUUCCCCAAUCGACACGUACGUGCCAGGAACCCUUCGCCAGGCUAUCAGUGCUGGCAGCUGUCUGUUCAAACAGCCGGCUCGGCUGCUGCUUCGUCAUUCACAUGGCAGCGGCAGUGUGCAGCCAGCAGGCCGUCCUCCACUCAACAACACAGCCCCGCAAUGAGCCCAUGCGAUUGCGUGCUUAGAAGUCGAACCUGCAUGGGAUAGGCAGGACGCGUUGACCAGUCAUACGUGCAAAUCAUACGUGUGUACUCAGCUGGUCUGCUCCUGCCCAACGCUCGAUCCCAGCACUUUGACCCAGCCUGCUCACACGCAGCCAUUCAUCCGAUGCUCACCGGCCGCCGUAGGCGGGGUCCGCCGCCUCCUCGCCCUCGCCGGCCGCCGGCUCCGGCACCCGUGGCACGGCCGGCCGCGGCACCGUCCCGCUCUGCUGGUGCUUGAGGAUGGUCCAGUCGAACACGUAGUCCCACUGGUAGCCUGCGCAACAUAAGGAAGCACGUGUCAGCACACGUAUCGGUGCUCCUUGAAAGGAGGUCUCAACGAUCCCGCACCAACGGAGUUCCCCACCACCUCGCGAGGCCCUAGCGCCCCAUCGACGCGACCAAUGCCCGGCUCCCCAGCCGACUCACCCUCGCGGGCGAACAGGUCGCGGAACAUCUUCCGCAGGUAGGAGUAGUCCGGCUUGUCGUCGAAGCGCAGCGACCGGCAGUACUGGAAGUAUGUCACGAACUCCAUCGGGUAGCCCUUGCACAGCACCUGCAAAUGCAACACAACCCCAAUGUUAUAUUGCGUGACCUGUGGUUGAAACGAACACCCCACCUAGCCAUGCUCCCCACGCGCUAACGUGCACGCCACACCAGGAAAACCCGCAACAAUCCUUCACCAUUCCCUGGCCAUCCCGCUGAUGAAUGCUGGCUUCCGAUUGCCCUGUGUGCCCACCUCGAUGGGCGUCGACAUCUUCUUUUCGCUGAUCUUCUCGUACUUCUGCCGCUUCGUCGUGGCUUUGAGGCCCUGCCACGGCAACGAGCCGCGCAGGAAGUACAUCAUCACAUAGCCGAGCGACUCCAUGUCGUCGCGGCGGCUCUGCUCGAUGCCCAGGUGGGUGUUGAUGGAGGCGUAGCGGGCCGUGCCCGUCAGGUUCUUGUUCUCCCGGUAGGGAAUGUGGAUGUGGGUUUUGGGGUCCCGGUACUUCUUCGCCAGACCGAAGUCAAUAAUGUGCACCUGGUUCGCCUUCUUGCCCAGGCCCAUCAAGAAGUUAUCAGGCUGCGAUAAUGCAGGCAGGCGAGGGGGGCGAGGUGAGGGUGCUGCGGGACUCUGCUGCGGGCGUUGCGUGCCCUCUUUACUCCAUCCUUACAUCAUGAUAUACCAUGCAUCCCGGGCAGGACCUUCCCUUCCACGUGGGUUUGACGUCCCCGUGCCCGCCUGGGCCGCAGCGCAGGUGCGCUGAUGCCCCGUGCCUGCCCCUCUCAAUUCAUGCCCCGUGGUCGUCCUCCGCAACAUGCCUUUGCACGACCUCCCUCCCGCCGAUGCUGAAUUUGCGUGUGCUUCACUGGCGGGCACAUAGACACCGCGGCGGCAGCACGCCACGCCACAACCUGAUCCCCGCCGCGCUCCAACUAUGCCUCCAGUGCACGAAGCACAACCCAAACUAGACCGGAUGCUGUUCAACCUACCUUGAUAUCUCUGUGGAUGAAGCUGCGCGAGUGCACAAACUCCACUCGUGAUAACUGCGAGAGCGAGCGAGAGAAAGGGUCAGUCGAUGUCAUAUCCCGGAAUGCUUCAGUCAGCCGCAGGUACCAUGUUGCAGAUGAUCAAGCUGCACAAUUUAUGAGCCCCGAACGCAGCUGCGCCCGCAUAGUGGUGUGGCAGUGCUCACCAGCUGGUCCGCGAGCAUGAGCACCGUCUUGAGACUGAAUUUUCUGUUGCAGAAGUUGAACAGGUCCUCCAAGCUGGGGCCCAGUAGAUCGAUGACCAUGACGUUGUAGUCGCCCUCCACGCCAUACCACCUCACGUUGGGGAUGCCGACUGCGCGCCAUGCCAAAGAGUCAGUUCGGAGGAGCCCCGGGGGCCCGCUAGCACAAAUUUCACCCACCUCCGCCCUGCAGAAUCUUGUACAGCUUCGACUCGUACAGCAGCUGCGCGUGCCGCGUCUUGACCGACUCCUGCAAGUCGCAGGCAUGCGUCAGAAGCAGACCAACGCGCCUGCUCAGCCUGUCCACCCACCAGCUUGAUGGCCACCUCCUCGCCGGUCUGGAUGUUCGUUCCAAGGUAGAUAUCACCGAAGCUGCCACCGCCAAUCUUGCGCCCAAGCCGAUAGCUGUUCCAAGACACAGGGGGAAGAAAAACGGAGACGUCAUGGGAGCGCUCAGGACCGCCCCAGGGCGCCACGGUAUUCGCAGGGGCCCCACUAUCAGUCAAGCAGCGAAACCAGGGGCCCCUCGAAACCCGGCAAGGCGCUGCGAACCUCGCCGCAAGAUGGCCUGGCCGAGUCUUGCCCCAGAGCGCUCAGAGCACCCGUCCAGCCUUCCUACCGGCCAGCAAUCCGAAUGUCCAACGCCAUGGCGCCUCGCUGCUGCUAGCUCCUCAGCUGCUCCUCCUCGUUGCCGGCGGAGAACUCGCUCCCGGCUCUCAGCCCCCGCGAAGCACGUAACUGUGCGCGCGCUCAAGCGUGCGCUUACCAGUUCGCGUCCAUGCAACGUAUCAGGUUCGGUCUCUAGGUGCUUCUCAGUCCCAAAGGCCGCUAAUGACUUUACCCGCGGCCCCCUAUGAGCAGUGCUUCUACUAGGUUGUAUAUGUCCGGUUUUUAAGCGAGGCUCUAGUGAACUAGUGUGUGUCCCAGUGGGAGGGCUGCUGCUUCAGAACUUCGGGGGCUGCGGCAUCGGGGGCUGCAUCGGGGGCCGUUUUGUCCUCGAGCACCCGGACGUAUGAAUUAAUAUUUUGCGUCUGCUUCAUCCAUCGCCAGACUUACCGCUAUCCUUUUAAUCGCUGCCGCGUGGGCUCUAGACAAAAACAGACACAUCAGAAUGCCAAAGGCGGACCGCAAUGCGCGGAACCAGCCGCUUAAAGAAGUAGGGCCUAUGGCUAUGGAUGCGGAUGACGCCGGGCCGCUUCCCGACAAGCCCAAGUUCGCGCCGCUGGCGCCUGGCGACAAGGGGGCUGGCGGCGAAGCCAAAGUGGAGUUUCGUCGUGUGCCGGUGCCCCAACAUCGCAUGACGCCAUUAAAAACUGCGUGGAUGGAGCUAUACAAGCCUAUCACCGAGAACCUGAAGCUGGACAUGCGGAUGAACCUAAAGACAAAGAAGGUGUGCAGUCGCAACCACGUGCCGGGAGGUGGCAAGGGUCGCGAGCGCUUGGAAUCCCGCCGUCAACGCCAAUGGUGUUAUGCCUGCAGGUGGAGCUCAAGUCCACGCCGCAGACGACGGCCUCGGACGCGCUGCAGAAGGCAGCCGACUUUGUGCACGCAUACCUGCUAGGUGAGCGCGUCCCCGCGCCGCUGCUGCGCGCGUGCGGCUUCCUUGCCGGGUACAGUGCGUAUACGUCCCAGGCGCGCUGGGUUACAAGCGGCGCGAUGGAGGGUGCUCCGAGGGAGCGAGACACAGGACCGGGUGCCUGCCAAAACCCUAGCAGCGCGCAGCGACUCCAGCCGCACCGCCCUCGCUGGCCGGGUUCCUCGCCGUGCGCGCACACACCCGGGCCACCCGCAACAUGGCAUGCAGGCAUGCACGUCGCCCCAUCCCCGCACGCGCGCACCCCGCGGCCCGCUGACUCCCUGCGCUCCUGCUGCCCUGCUGCACAGGCUUUGAGAUCCGGGACGCCGUGGCGCUGCUCCGACUGGACGACCUGUAUGUGGAGUGCUUUGAGAUCAAGGACGUCAAGGUGCGGGGGGGGUGCGCGAGAUUGUCGCUUUUCAGUCCAAAAUAGAAAGGAAGGAGAUGCAGAACCUGGAACCAGGCCACAGCGCGCGGAUGGGGUGGGGCCGGGGGCGGGACGCGUGCGCACGGCUGGCGCCGGUGGCCUGAUGGGCAUUGGUAGUGGUGGGGGCACGCUGAUGCAGAGGCGGCGGCCGGGUUGCUGCCGGCUAGCACAAGCUCGCGUCUGGGCGCAAAGGCGGGUGUGGCAGGGGCGGGGCUCGGAUGCUGCGCCUGACGCCGGGUGUACUCUCGAGGUCCUUUGUUAUCUAAUGUCAAGUGUCCCCCCAUCACCCAACGCGCAGACGCUCCGCGGCGAGCACCUCUCGCGCUGCAUUGGCCGCCUCGCCGGCAAGGUGAGGGCCGUUGCUGAGCCAUGGGUCGGUGGGAUGCGGGCAGCGGGCAGGGGGAGCGGGCAGGGACGCGGCAGCUCAGCAGCAGGGUGCAUGAACCAGAGGGUGGCAACGCAAGGCCCACUGCGGGAGCCGAUGCCGCUGGAAAAAAAGACGGGGGCAGGCGCCUCUCGGGGGGUGGAGGGUGGCGGUGACACAGGCAGCAGGUUCAGCACUGGGAAGGGAGGGGGUAGCAGCGAGCCACAGAGGUUGAACGGACAUGCCGUGUGCAAGAGUGGGUGGCGGAUACGGCGAGGCGCCGCCGCCGCCGCGGCUGCCGCCGCCGCGGCUGGAGAUGGUGCUAGUUGCGAGCGCAGUGGUCCGGCAAGGAGGGGCGCCCGCCGUGCGCUGCCAGCGGGUGUCGGAGCAGCGCUGUCUCUCACGUGCAGUCGCCUGUGCGGUCGGGCGGAGGCCACAUCGUUCGGAGGCCACAGCAGCGACACUGGAAGCAGCACGCGGUGCUGCGAGCAAACCCAGCGGGGUGGAACCCGGUGGGGGCACCAGCAACCGUCCAACCACCUCACCUUUAAUCCUGGGUAGCAUGCUAGCCGCACACGCCCACACUCACGCCCACACUCACCGCGCCACCCCGGCCGCUCCAUCACGCCCACCGCCGCCCCACAGGACGGCAAGACCAAGUUCACGAUCGAGAACGCCACCCGCACACGUAUCGUGCUGGCAGACACGCGCAUCCACAUCCUGGGCUCCUUCCAGAACAUCCGCGUGGCGCGCGACGCGCUGUGCGCGCUCAUCCUGGGCUCGCCCGCCUCCAAGGUCUACUCCAAGCUGCGCUCCAGCUGCUCGCGCCUCAACGACAGCUAGAGCGGCGGCGGGGGCUGCGGGGCAGGAGGAGCCACGGGGAGGAGGAGCAGGGCAGGGGAAGGAGGGUUUCGGGUGGAUCGGGGCUGGAGAGGGCCGCUGUGGCGCUGGUGCAGGUGGUUGGUGGAGAGCCGUGGGACAGCGGCCGGGCGGCGGCCGGGCAGGGCGGGGAACCCGCACCAGCACCGCAAGAAGCGCUAGCACAAGCAUUGAUGUUGGCAGCUUGGCAUUCGCUCUGGCGCUUGGCGCUGGUUCUGGGCCUGGCGCUGGCGCAGCAGCCCGAUCGCUGAAGCUCUGCCGGCGCGCAGCGGUGUUGCGCUGGCAGACCUGGCAGACCUGGCAGACCUGGCAGACCUGGCAGGAGGGCAGCCCUGGCAGGAGGGCGAGGCAGGCGCCGUGACGGCCGCAGCGGUUGGGGCCGGUGCAACGCCGGUUGAGGCCGGUGCGCGGGCGGAGGGCGGGAGGGUGGGGUAGGCUGGUCAAGUCAGGUGACCAAGAUAAGUGGGGGAAUGUGUGGGGGGGGGCCAGGUCCAACCGACUGCGUUGAGUGUGGGUGGGUGCUUGAGGCGGGCACUGGGCUGCCGUAGGCCGCAGGGUGGUUGGUGGCGGUUGACAACUGCGGCAAACGCUAGCGCUAAUGCGCGCCAGGUGCAAUUUCUCGAAUCACGGCGAGUGAGUGAGAGACGAUGUAUGGCAUUGCCGUUAGGCUGACUGACAACGUGCGUGCAUGCGCAGACGAGAACGGAGUGGGUAGAGGGCGCGCGCCAUGGCUUACCGCGGACUGAUGGUGACCAGCCACCCCGCACACCUGUCUUCUGCGUUUGGUGUGCGCGGGACAGGGAGCUUGCUGUUGCGGGCGUGUGUGUUGUCGGGGCUGGUUGCAUGUUCUGCCGCCUGAGAACGUCUCUGGGGACGGACGCAGCGGUGGCAGGCGCAUGUCGCUUGUGUCAAGGUGUGUUAUCAUAGCUAUUGUUUGCUUUCGCAGGAUAGAUGCUGACUCUAGACCAUGUACCAUAUACGUAACCAGACCGUAGCAACAUAAGGUAGGCUUAGCGGCGAGCAGGCCAGACAGUGGGUAUGACGUGUGUGUUGGUGGUGUGCGAGUUUUCAGACAAAGACGAGAAUGCAUGGACGAGACGCAGGGGCUGAAGCAUUGUGGGCAAUACUGGGGGAGAAUGCGCAAGGAAUGUGCAGCUUCUGUGCCCGGGUUGAGCUGGGGUGGGGGCUGUGCUGUAACUUGAGGACUUGGACGGGGCAGCGGUUCAGAAUACAAUGAACCGCGAUCUGUGCGUGACCGAAAAAUAUAUGUCCCAUGACACUGGGGAUUUGAGUGCAGUGUGGGCAGUGACUUGCAUGGAGAGAGAUGCAUGGUGCGAGCGGACUGGACCGGCGUUCAAAGUGCGUGCCGAACGGUGCCGAUGGUCUCGGAACCGCCGGGACGCGUCAUCAGCGACCAGGAAAACCCGAGAAACGUUUGAGCUCUUGCAAUCGAACGCCAUACCUUUACAUGGUGAAAGCGAGCAGUGCCAACGGGACGCCGCUACAGUCGAAACUCCACACUCGGAAGGCCUGCGACACUCGCUUCUUCGUCGAAAACCUGCAUUCAGCCGCCACGGGCGCUGUAGAUAUCUACAAAUUAACAUGAGCGUCAACCGCGCUGGUCGACGGCUACUCUCAGCGGCUGGCGCCUCAGCCGCGGAGCCCGCUGCUGCCGCGGCGCUGGGCAGCUGUGCGCCGCGACUGCUGCAGCUGCUGUCACGCCAGGUAGUCAAGCAAAAUUUGCAGCCUUCACCCCGCAGGGCGCAACGCUCUCUUCCUGGUCUCUGUUUUAGUAGCUUUGACCCACGGGUUCGUGCUUGCCCCCCCUCCGCAAGACUUCCUCCUCACCCUCCUCACCGUUCUCUCACCCUUUCUUCACCCUCUCCCAGCAUGGUUCUUCUAGCCGCGGCUUCUCAGCCCACGGCACCAGCGGCCCACAAGAGCCCCCCGGCGGCCACGACCGCACCGCCGAGGCGCCGCCGCGCCACCGCGUGGGCGACCUGCCUCGCAGCCGCAGCGUGCAGCAGGAGCAGCUGGCGGUAGGCAGCGACCGCGACAGCGUGCAGGCGGCGGGCGGGCAGGCGGCGUGGCCGCGCCGCAGCCCCGACGCGCCGCCGGACCCAGCCACGCGCCGGUGCGGUGUUUGGGUGGUCCGGGGUGUCGGGGUGUCGUGCUGGGCUGGGCGUGUUGGCUGGGGCACGGGGCUGGCGUGGUGAUGCCAAGAACUGUAGCGGCAGGGCCGCGGCGCUUUCGCUAUUGAAAGCAGGCGUGCCUGUGUUCUUACUUGCUGCCCACUGCUGUCGCCAUGUGUGCCGGCCAAAGGGGUGGGCGUGAGACCAUGGGCAGCGAGCGCGAGGCGGAGGAGGCGGCGCGGCUGACCCUACGACACGGCUCCGGCAAGUCGGCGGAGGCGAUCAUGGCAGGGUGAGCGGCGGGGCGGGGUGAGGUGGGUUGCAAGUGCAAGGCCCUUGUGGGCCGGGCGAGUGGAAUCCUGGGCGCAGCGCCGGGCAGGGCGUGUGUGUGCAGUGCGUGCAGUAGGUCCGCGUGUGCAAUGUUUGAUUGGUUGCUGCCGUGCUGACUGCCUGAGCCUGGACGGCGCACCAAGUUGCGCGCGGUCACCACCGCCCACCUAGCUACCCUUCGUCUGGUCCACCGGUGAAACUCCUAUCAUCACCUUGUCACCGCCGCUGCAUGUGGCUCAUGUGUGUGUAUGCGCGACCUGUGCUUGGUCGCGCAGGCCCGAGGCGGCGGAGGCGCCGCACAGCAACACGGCCGUCAAGUUCGUGUACCAGCAGCAGCCCAGCCCCUACAGCCACGACACGGACGCGGCGGGCACCACCAGCACUGGAGGGGCGGAGCAGGUGUGCCGUGCGGCGCCGUGCUGCGUGCCACCGCACGCGUGUGCGCUGCUGCGUCCCAAAUCCCCUUUCCUCGCUGUUGGCGUGUCCAUGCGUUGGUGCUGGAGAGAGGGUUGCUUUUGCUCUUACUUCUCCAUAAACCUACUCUUACAUCCUGACUCCCACAUCAUCAUGUUCUCUACGCUUGCAGGUGGCCCGGCAGUACAUGGAGACCGCCGGCAGCAGCAAUGAGACGUCGCGGGCGGGCGGGCCCACAGACGACAUCCCCGAGCUGGGCGGAGUCAGCGGUGAGCGGGGUUGGCGCCGUGGAGUGGCGGGCGGUGCCUUCCAGGGUGCCGGGGUGGUUGAGGGGCUCAGUGGAUAGCUGACGCGACCGUGGGAGUUGGUACUUAUGCGGGUGUGUUGGCCCACGGUGUUGUUGUUGGUGUUGCCUACCCGCCUGGGCGCCCAAUUGCGGCAAAAGCUGAUGCAGGCCGUGUCUCCACACCUCCCACCUCGCGCACGCACAAACUGAACUGUCCAGGCAUGUUUGCGCCGCGCGGUGAGAUGGGGUCCGACUACGGCCUGCGCACGCCGCGCCAGCCCUUCAGCCACGGCGCGCCGCCCGAGGCCGGCGGCGGCGUCCGCAGCGGCUCCGAAAUCCUGGGCAUGUCCGGCGGCAGCGGCGGCACAGGCGGCGGCGGCGGCGGCGGCACAGGCAGCGGCGGCACAGGCGGCGAGGGCUCCGACCGCAGCGGCAGGUCAGACGGCGCGGCGGCAGGCGGCGGUGGUCAGGGUGGAAGUGGAGGUGGCGGUGCUGGCGGUGGAGGAGGAGGCGGACGCGGCAGUGUUGCGGGGAGCUGGCACGUCAACCUGGUCGGCAACGGUGUGGGCGAGACCGUGAAGGCGGGCGUGGGCCGACUGCAGGUGCGGAGGAGCUGGAGGGGAGGUGGAGGCGUGGAGGCUUGGAGGGAAGGGUGGAGGGUGUGACGUAGUGUUGUUGAGUGGUGGUUGUGGACGGUUGCUCGUGUGGCUGGUGCUGAGACAGCGCGGGAGUGCACAACCCCUUGCCCCCGCCCUCCACCUCACGUGCUGCGCCACAUGCACACACAUGCACACACAUGCACACACACAUGCACACACACAUGGCGGGAUUUCGUUUCGUUUCGCAACAUACACACAUGCACAUACACGUGCACCAAACAGGAGGCCUACAAGGUCAUGUUUGGUGACGGCCCGGCCCGCGGAGUGGGGAGCGACCGCGCGCCCGACCGGGCGGGAGCCGGCGGCCUCGAGUCCCGCCCCGGCAAGCCCACUGACGCGGGCAAGAGCGGCGGCCCGCGUGAGGGGUGGAACAGCCCCUGAUGGGGUUGGCGAGGCGGAGCGAAGUGGCUUAAUCGGCUUAUGGACGGCUUGACAUGUGAAAAGUUCAACGCUGGCCUGGGUGUUGGAAACGGAAAAGUGUGUGCCCGUGGCUUUGGGCGCUGUAGGAACGCUAGGCACAGGUGCAGACGACGACGCGUGCACACCGUGUGGGUAGGCCGGCGCGUGGUUGACUGGUUGUGUGGGGGACUGUGUGCGCGAGUGCGUGUUCGGUCAGGGAGGUUGUACAUACCGUAGAAGGCGAGGUAUACAUACCGUAUGGUAUGGUGCCCACGGCUGUGAGGACUUGGGUCAGCGCAGUUGCAGAGGUGGCGCGGGCGGGAUAAGAAGGGUAGCUCUGUAUGGCUUACAAGCAUAUCAAAAAGCAGCAGGCUCGCGGAUCGUGUUGCCCCUCGAGAAUCGAUGUCUGACGCUCAGUACGCGCCGGCCCUUUUUACCAGCCACCAGGCGCGCCUGGCCGCCGCCCGAAGCCCGGCCUGCAACCUGCAGUACUGUUCAUACGUCUACACGCUCGAACGAUGUCAAACCCGUCCCUCUGUGCUUUGCUCAUACAUGACACCACUGCGCUAUCUGAUUCGCUCUACCAGCUACCACCACUGGCCAGUGGCCACCUCUCGUCCGCCGUCGAACCAUCGACCUCGACCUCAUGCGGCUGUCGCAAACCCUUUUGCUUGGCACAUACCCACGCGGGCACCCGCCGUCACGCACCGUGCCGCGGCACAUCCGCUAUCGCAUAACCCGGCUCCAAUCCGGAGCGGACCGAUGCCACACCGCUUCUCGGAACCUUCAGGCGCACAGCCACUUGUGCCCACCCAGCAUCCGGCGUGCUCAGCAACGCGGGCACAGCGCCCCUGCCCCCCAUUUAGUCACUCCGUUCUCCACACCAACGGCUAACCCCCCCCCACACACGCACACCGGUUUGCAAUGAUUUAAUUGGGAUUGGUCCCAUCCCACGCACAAGCACACGCGCCUCCCCCCUCACGCCGCUCGUGUCAUGUGUCGCAGCAGCGGCGUGGCCGGCGCCUGGUGCAGCGGCACUCCGUCCACCAGCACACUGCUGCGGCAGCCGGGGUCGCAGCCCACCAGCAGCAGCGGGAAGGAGUAGGCGCGCGGCGCGGCGGCAGGCGCAGCAGCAGGCACGGGCGCGGCAGGCGGGGCGCUGCCGGCACCGGGCUCCGCUGUCGCCGCCUCCGCCCCGCCUGGCUGCGCCCCGCACUCCACCCCAGUCGGCAACGACUGAUCCUGCCCUGGCCCGGGUCCUGUUGCGGACCCUGCCGGCUCAUUCUGCGGCGGCGGCGACGGCUGCUGCUGCUGCUCCUCGUGAGGCGGCGGCGGCGGCGGCGGCCACGUGACGUGCACGUGUCGCAGCUCGGGGUGUAGUACGGCCAGCAGGGCAGUCAUGUCGAAUGCGUCGUGGGGGAUGUGGGUCAGCGCCAGGGCCAGCACGGCGCCAGCAGUGUCCACACACACCAGGUAGCUGAGGGCAGGAAGUGGGCAGGGUGAGGGAGGGUGGGGGAGGGUGAGGCAGGGUGAGGGAGGGUGAGGGAGGCCGCGGGGAGGGUAGGAAGGGGCCGGCGGUGGGUACUGCCUCGGGUGCGAGAGCAUGCACGGGACACAGCUCCUGCUGGCCAUGCAGGGGGUGAAGCAGUGAUGGGUGCCGGAGUCUGCGCGACAGCAGAGCCUUGAGGAGCACGGCCCGUGUCUGUGCUUGCAGCCCUCGCGUGUGUUUCCACACCACUCACAGUGUGCCGGAGGAGGAGGCUGCCAGCGGCGGCGCCACGAACACGAGUGGCCGGCACAGCAGCACCACACCCCGGUUGGAGCCCGGCACCAGGUCCUGUGGUGUGGGCAUGAUGAGGUUACGAUGUGGUUAUGAUGUGGUCAUGACGUGGUUAUGAUGUGGUCAUGCGAACCCAUGUGUCGCGAGAAGAAAGAAAAGCGGGAGGAGGGGUGGUGGGGGCCAGGAGGAGGCGGAGGGGUUGGUAGGCGGGAACCCCGGGGACCCUAACACGCAGCGGCGCCCCUCCGUCACGAGGCGUAGCUGCCAGAGCCCUAUGGCAUCCCGGGGUAUUCGGACCCUUCCCUGCCCCCGCUGGUUUUCGUUGGUUUUGGUUUAGUUUGGGCUGGUAUUUACAACCCCCCCUCGCCCUCGCCGCACCGUCAAUGUCCGCAGCGCCAGCCGUUCAUGGUGCAUCCGCGGCAGCAGCUCCGCGCCCUGCGACGGCGCCGGCGACAACACAGCAAUCACCGUCGCUUCAGCAGCAGCCGCACCCAACAGGGCACUGGCUGCUCCCACGGGUUCCUCCCCUGAACUCGCCUCACAUCGUAUUACUACCGCCCGCUCGCUCACCCGCGCCGCAUCUGCUGCCAGCAGCGACGUGACUGCCGCCCAGUGCCGCUCCUUUACGCCGCCCCGCCCCGCCACCAGCCCCGCCAGCUGGCCCAGCAACACCAGCAGCGACUCGGACUGCGCGGCGGCCACGGCCGCCAGCCCCGGGUCCAGCCGAGCAGCCGUGGCGUAGUCCUGGCGGGGAGGGGGAGCGGGAGUAGGAGCGUGAGGGGGAGCUUGAGUUGGAACGGGGAGGGAGAAUGAGACUGUAAUAAUGUGUGGUUGCGGGCGUCUUCACGUCGGUGGCGGCGUGACAGGCCUGAAAGAGCCAGCGCUGAGCCGGCGCACGCAGCGUGGUGAGACGAAGAGUGAGCGGACAGAAGGGCAGAUUAGACUCGUUGAACACCCACCGUCCCACACCCACAACCCGCACCUGCAGUGCUGCGGCAAAGUCCUGUAGAUUGUUGGACAACGCACAUGGCAGUGGGGCGGGGCACAGGGCAUUGUCAACAACAAGCUCGAGGCCGGGCGCCAAAGUCUGCAGAAGACCCUGUCUGGCCAAGUCCCAGCGUUGCCCCUUCCUGCCCCCACGUGGGCUUGGCUCCGGGUUCUGGGCCUCAGGUGAUUGGGCUUGGCCGCGACCCCUUGGGUUAGCAAUGGGUUAGCAAUGGCCUAUUUUGGGAUUGGAAUGGACUACGCCUCCCCACGUGCCCUCCCCAUCACACGACCCACCCACCUGUGUGAACGCGUGCAGAGCGGCCCGGUUGUAAUGCAGGUCGGGCAGGUCGGCGCAGCCACAGCGCUCCGCCUGUUACGUAGUUGGGUAAGGAUGCGCAAAAGGGCUUUACUACGGCAUUCGUGCUGAGGCCGACGAGGCAGGCUACGGCACUCCAAUGCCUACGCUGCGCAGCUGGCCGCCCGCAGGCACUUCAGGGGGUAGGCCGGUAGGGAAACGUCCUGGCGCCCCGGCCGCCAGGACUGGCACGGUCCCGGCUGAAGUACCCUGGCCCGCAGGCACCCGCUGCACUACACACACCUGCGCAAACGCCGCCAGCACGCGGUGCAGCUCGCCGCGGCCGCCUCGCGCCCCUCCUCCUCCGCCGCCGCCGCCGCCCCAGAGCCCCGCCGCAUGCUCGCCCUUGAAGUAGGCGGCCAUCUGGGCCAUCGCCAGCACGUCUGGGGCCAAGGAAAAGGGCAUUCUAAUCCACUUGAGGGCAGGCAACAUGGUUGUGAGGGUGAGCAGGCGUAUCCGUUAAUGAACGCGGAGCGCCUCGCAAGACGAGAUUAAAAGAGGCGCGCGUGCUAAGGUUGGGCAGGCAUGCGCGGCGCAGGCAAAGCGGCCAAAGAGAGCGCACCCGGCCAUUGUAGCGGAGCGCAUCAAGCAGCAGUGAAAAGCUGUAGCACGACUGACACACACGCACACAAGGCCGCUACCGUACUCACACCAGCUGUAGCCGUUCUCUAUGUCCAUCUCCAAAGCCCGCCGCGCGUGUGACAGACUGGCCGUCAGCGCCGCCGCCGCCUCGCUUGCCGCGCCCGGCGGCGCCGCAGCGGAUGACCAGGCCGGGCCCGCGCCGCCGCCGCUAGUGUUGGUGCUGUAGCUGCUGCUAUUCGUAGCAUGACUGCUACUGCCGUUCCAGCUGGCGGCGGGGGCAGGACCGGCGGCGGGGGCUGCGGCGCUGGCGUCCGGUUGGCCGCUGGCCGCUGCGGCCGCGCCGCUUCCUCCUGCAGCUCCCGAUGAGCUAGUGCUUGCGCCGGCGUUGCUGUUGCUGCGGUCCUGUGCUUGCGAGGACUGCUGCUGCUGCUGCGGCGGCGGCGGCGGCGGCGGCGGAUGUGGUUGUGGCGCAGGAGUCGGCUGUAGCAGGGCGGCCCCCGCGGCGCCACCCUGCUGCCGCACCAGCAGCGACAUCAUCUGGUGCGCUGCCACACUGGGGCAGUGGCGAAGGCCCGAGGCCAGGCAGCAGCCAGCCAUGAACUGCAACGAGCGCGAGCAGGAGAACUAAGAGAGGGCAACAUGUCUGUGUUGGGUGGCGUACUCGUGUGUGCAAAGUAUGAUGCGACUUAACAUGGCCGUCCACGCAGCGGCCCACCAGCUUCACCAACUCUUUCCGGUCCCAUCACAACCGUUUAGGUUUGUCCGGCUCUCACCAGGUCCCCUCGCUCCCAGUAGCUGUGCGCCAGGCAGUUCCAGGCCGUGGGGUUGAGAGGCCGCAGCUUCACCUGCGAAUAAAUUCAGCACGUGAGCAAUUUCACAUGCCGAAAUAACCAGCCACCUCACAUCCUCGGCAGGUUUCUCUACUUCGCACCGAGUCCUCUACCUCACGCUGCGCUCCAAAUACGCUCUGAAGCCCGCGAAGCCCCGCUCCCCCCACUGCCGCGCCACCCACCGCCGCCUGCAGCCCCGACACUGCCGCGUCCGAGGCGCCGCCGCGCAGGAACGCGACCAGCCCCGCCGCCAGCAGCGCCGCGCCGCGCAGGGGCUGGUGCCGCGUGGCGGCAUGCGGCUCGUCGGACAAGAGGGCCAGCAUCCUGGACGGAGGUAGGGACAAGAGAAGAUGGGUGAGAGUUUGUGUGUAGAGAUGCUUAGUGGGGUACGCAAGUGCAGGCUUCGGCUGAUGGUGCAAGAGUCCUGCGCAGUCCGCACAAACCCGGCGUGUCAUGCGUGUUUCCUCCGAGUCAUGCGUGUUUCCUCCGAGUCAUGCGCCCUCUGACACACAUACCGUACACACACCUGGUGCUGCAUUCGUCCGCUCGCUGCAACAGCGCCGCCUCAUCCUCAGGCCCCAGACGCUGCUGACCGCCGUGCCCCGCCGACUGCUGCUGCUGCUGCUGCUGCUGGUCCCGCCACGCGCCCUGCGCGUCUGCUGCUGCGCCCGGCGGCGUCGCCCCCGCCUGCCGCCCCUCGCCUGUGGCGUCGGGCCUCCUCGGCGCGUGGCCGGCGCGGUGCGCCCCCGGCGCCGGCCGCACGCUGCCGUACAUGCGCUUGGCUUCCGCCAGCUUCGACAGCUGCUCAAUGAGGUCCUCCAGCUCCACACGCAGCUUCUGGAAUGCGGGAGGGGCGGAGCGGAUCCCGUCAGGGCGCGAGGGGGCAUCACCCUUGACACCAACACGACGAAUGGUGGUAUGGGUGUCAAGGAAGUAGAUAAGAGGGGGCAUGAAUCAAAUCGCGGGUCCUGCUUGCGCAUACCAACCCCAGGCUGCGAGCAGCAGAACCCCUCGAGCACCCCUGUUCCCAGCUGACCCCAGGCCGACCCCACGAGCGGGGGCAACCAACGCCCUUGGCGCCCUUAGUGCCCGCACCUCCAUCAACGCGCUCGCCGCGCUGCUAGGCAUUUUUAACUAAGUUGAAAGUAUCAACACAGCACUGUUAGGAAAUGGUCGCUGAAGAAAGUACAUUUGGAGCAAAACGCCGAGACGCCGAGUUGCUGCCGAUAAAACAUGUUCUAGUGAAAUAGAUGGCUUACACCAAUUAUGAAUUGAAACACUGGGACUGGUACGUGAAUGAGCUUCAUAUUCAGCUUCAUAUUCAGCCGAACACGGCACGAACCCCUGCCAACCCUGAGGCCCGAGUGCGAUUGGAACAGGAUCAAGCACAAUUGAGUGGCACUCUGACCACGCAGCAAUCCCCGGCCCGCCUGCAACAGUAACGGCCUGCAUUGGGCGAUUAGCGGUGUAGGUAGGGGGUCACUGGUGGCACCAAGGGUGGCACUAGUGGAGCACGGCCUAGUAGCCCAAGGGCUGUCAGCGCUGCAGGUGGCGCCCCCCUGAGGUAGCGCAUAGGGCAGCACAUCCGUACUCCUAGUGCGUGUUCGCUGGCGCAUGAGCUGCGUGCUUGCGUCAUCAGGUCCCUUGUGUAACCAAUGCAACCUCCCAUCCACCUCUCAGCCCCACAAACUGCUACGCCCCUUGGCUUUGCUUGCGACUGGUGGGAAUACACCACGCCAUCGAGGGACUUACCCGCCUACCAAGUUCUUAGAUGUCCCAGGCUGUCAUCUGGUCACGCUCUCUUCCCUCCCAUGGUUACGACAAAGAAAAGGAGGACGAUUCGUGUAUCUUAUUACACGUGCACGAGUGUGUGGCCACCCAUCAACCUUAUCCACUGCGCUAUUCGUUCUGCACAUCCGCUGUCUGCUGCUGCACCUUUACGUUCAGGGCAGUUACCUGCCCCUGCCGCCUGAAGCACAAUCACAGCCAGUAGCUACGCAGAUCGAGAGCUCACAACAGUCCAGCUGCUAUGGCCUAUCACACAAGAGCUAAUCCGACGAGAUGAAUGUCCAUGCUGAACUGUUCACAUGUAUGAAAUUCGAUGUCGUUAUGGUCACGAAGGCAAUGGGCCCCCCUCCCAUCUCACAAUCCGCCUCCACACCAAAGCGUCAAAUGGCAAUCACAUGUCAAGUUGUCUUCAGUCAGGGAUCCUUUGUCCAGGGUCAGUCACGGUCAAAACUGCCAAGGCCGCCACAGUCACGCUACACGUUCAGUGGCGCAUGGAGGUGCCGGCAUUUAGGCCUCCUCCUCCUCGCCCUCGAACUCGCCCUCCUCCUCGGCGGAGGCGUCCUGGUACUGCUGGUACUCGGACACCAGGUCGUUCAUGUUGGACUCGGCCUCAGUGAACUCCAUCUCGUCCAUGCCCUCACCGGUGUACCAGUGCAGGAAAGCCUUGCGGCGGAACAUGGCAGUGAACUGCUCGGACACGCGCUUGAACAUCUCCUGGAUGGCGGUCGAGUUGCCGAUGAAGGUGGCGGACAUCUUCAGGCCCUUGGGCGGGAUAUCGCACACGGACGACUUGACGUUGUUGGGAAUCCACUCGACGAAGUACGAAGAGUUCUUGUUCUGCACGUUCAGCAUCUGCUCGUCCACCUCCUUGGUCGACAUGCGGCCGCGGAACAGGGCCGAGGCGGUCAGGUAGCGGCCGUGGCGGGGGUCGGCGGCGCACAUCAUGUUCUUGGCGUCCCACAUCUGCUGGGUCAGCUCGGGGACGGUCAGGGCGCGGUACUGCUGGCUGCCGCGGCUGGUCAGGGGGGUGAAGCCGACCAUGAAGAAGUGCAGGCGGGGGAAGGGGAUCAGGUUCACCGCCAGCUUGCGCAGGUCAGCGUUCAGCUGGCCGGGGAAGCGCAGGCAGCAGGUGAUGCCCGACAUGACGGCGCUGAUCAGGUGGUUCAGGUCGCCGAAGGUGGGGGUGGUCAGCUUCAGGGUGCGGAAGCAGAUGUCGUACAGGGCCUCGUUGUCCAGGACCAUGCACUCAUCGGCGUUCUCGACCAGCUGGUGCACCGACAGGGUGGCGUUGUAGGGCUCCACCACCGUGUCGGACACCUUGGGCGAGGGCACGACCGAGAAGGUCAGCAUCAUGCGGUCGGGGUACUCCUCACGGAUCUUGGAGAUCAGCAGGGUGCCCAUGCCGGAGCCGGUGCCGCCACCCAGAGAGUGGCAGACCUGGAAGCCUGAGGGUAGGGAAGAACAGGGGAGAGAGAAGUCAGCAACGUGUGAAGACGAAGGGGCGCACAGCCCAAAGCAGCCCGUCAUGCCGAGCCCUGCGGUCCAUACACUGACACCCGACGGCCCGUGCAGAACUGCUCACCCUGCAGGCAGUCGCAGCUCUCAGCCUCCUUGCGGACGACGUCCAGCACGGAGUCAAUCAGCUCAGCGCCCUCGGUGUAGUGGCCCUUGGCCCAGUUGUUGCCGGCACCGGUCUGGCCGAACACGAAGUUGUCCGGGCGGAAGAUCUGGCCGUAGGGGCCCGAGCGGACGGAGUCCAUGGUGCCAGGCUCCAGGUCCAUCAGGAUGGCGCGGGGCACGUAGCGGCCUGAGGAGCAAAAGGGAAGGGAAGAAGGUCAGGCAUUCGCCCGCAUGUCCGAGCAAGGAAGAGGAGCAGACAUCAGGCUGAGCAAAAGCACCAAACCAUGACGGCAAAAACAUUAUCAAGCAUUGGCUGGGAACCGGCGGUGCCGAAAAACGCGCGCUCCAAGGAACACAAGUCGUGCGCUAGCACAACAGUAGCAUCAGCGCUAGCAACCUGCCCGCGGCUCGCUACAGCCCCAACAGGAACUCUUCAGGCAACUCACCACCGGUGGCCUCGUUGAAGUACACGUUGAUGCGCUCCAGCUGCAGGUCUGAGUCGCCAUGGUAGGUGCCGGUGGGGUCGAUGCCGUGCUCGUCGGAGACGACCUCCCAGAACUUGGCACCGAUCUGGUUGCCGCACUGGCCACCCUGUGGAUGUAAAGGCGCAAGCAGGCGGAGCGACGAUGAGCCUCGAAGUCGGAAACAGGUUUGAAAUUGAGCCGCGGGGGUGUAGCCACGACCCCGCGCCCCUUGACUGCGCUAGCCCUCAGCCAAUGCGCUAAGCGCUUCAACGCACCUGGAUGUGGACGAUCUCACGCAUGUUUGCGGGUUGUGACUGAAACGAAGAGGAAGAGGCGCCCCCUUAGCGGAGUGCGAUCACAAGCUCGAGUGGCCUGUGUAGAAGUGGUAGUGAUCUAGGUGUUUGAAUAUGGCUUUGGUAGCUCGCUAUAAUGUCUUUGCAAUCGGGGGCCUGGCUAUUUAAACAGCGCUCGCCCUGGAGCGGCAUCGGAGCGCCCAUGCAGCCCCGAAGGAGCUUCGGGGGGUCGAAGCAUCAUCGGUGUUGCAUGCAGCGCCGGGAAGCCGUCUCGCAGCCCGCCCUACCUUUUGCUGGAAGUGUCAUAGCGCAAGAAAGUGCCAGCUUGGCUUGGCGGGGCGUGCUGGCGCGCCCGCCGAGAGCGCGCUCUCUGCCGUCGAUUCACCUACCUCCCCGCUGCCAGCCCUGCCAGCGCUACCGCCCAAGUAGUAUACACAUGUAGCCACAAUGACCAUGCAGCGAUGUAAACAAUUUCUGGGCUUGGGGAAGGCUCGGCAAGGAAACUGCAUUAGCGCCAUCCUCCGUGGAUGCCAAACGCUUCAGUUCAAAUGUUGGGGGGUGGGGGACAACAUUUAAAUACUUGACAACCACCAAGCAGGCGCUCCAUAAGUUACGUUGGGGUCCUUACUGCGAAGGACUCGGCCGACCUGGAUCGCUGCCGCGCGGCUGCGGCAGGGGUCUGCGGCGGGUUUGCGGCGGCAGCGGCGGCUGCCUGCCGGAGGACAGCUGCUUCAUUCCCGUGUCCCAGGGGCUAUGGGAUGGAAAUAAAGAAUUGAGCGAGCGCGGCGUGGGAAGGGGGAGCCCGCCAGCCGGGGGGCAGCAGUGUGCGGCGGGGGGGGGGGGAGCUCGCGCCUGCUCGCGGAAGCGUCCCGUUCUGUUCCUUGCCGUGCACCCACGCACGGGGCGACUGCUGCGCCCGCUGCUUCAAUGUACAUUUAAUGCCCGAGGGAAAGUGGGGGUUACAGGCUUACAGCGGGAUUUUUAGUGUGUAGGUAGUGGGUGCGGGCAGGUGCGGGCGUGCGGCUCAACCUUCCGGGGGUGACACCGUGCCCUACCCUAGUAGCAGCCCCCCUGUUCUUGCCACACAAUCACCCGUGUACCGAGGGCCGUGUGACCCACCCGGGCAAAAAUGCGAAGUGCCCGGGCCCAGCAUCCUCGCGGAAACCCUCUGGAUGCGGCCACGGCACAUUUACCGUAGGGCUUGCAUCUUCCAAGGGUAGGCCGGCGCCGCGGGCGAGAAGGGCCCUAACCACGUCCUCGCCCACGGCAUCCAGGGGCCCAAAGUUGCGUAGUUUUUAGCGUUGGGGGAGGGUCCCCCCCCCAACCCUUCCGGCAAGGAGUACUUGGCGAGAUUCGGGGGCUGUAUGCAGCCUCACGCGGCGAGAAUGCAAUGCCCAAUCUUUCUUGCCCAAAGGCCUACAUUGGGGGCAAUUUCUUGCCGCGCCCCGGAGAUGCAACCCCUGGCACGUGAUCGACAACGCUGGGCAUGACAGCAUGUGAUGUGUUCAGCGCCCACCCCCACCCCCUCGUAAGCACACUGAAAGCGGCUAUGGCAGUUUGCCAGGCAAGAGGGGGCCUGAUACCUCCUUGGUGCCUUCGAUAAGAAUGCGAGGUAAGUAGAUUAGUAGGGGACAGCAAGGUCUGCGCAAGGAGGCGGAUGAGCACCCACGCACAUCAGGAUUUAUAGGAUUCCCGCCUCGCACCGAAUGCACCGCCUGCACCCACUGCCAACCAAAACCCGAGCCGAACCCCCAUACACGUUCCCUGGGUGCAUACGGUACGAACUGCGGCAGGCAUUGACAAGCCCUUGGGCGGAGGGCUCCCGGUCUGGUGAAGCGUGUGCGGAUAUGUAUGUGACUGCUGUGUGGAGGCGGGUGCUGCACUGGAGCACGCGGGCACGCCUGCCGUCGCCCCUGCCGGGGCCGGCGUCGCCUCAAGAGGCGGCCGACCGGUUUGCGGCGGCGGUGGCCCUUCUUCCCGCUGGCUGGGCUGCCGCCGCGCGUGCGGCCCAGCUGGCUCGGGGGCCUGCCGCCGCGCUGCCGCUCCCGGUGGCCGACGUCGUGAGUGCUACGGCGGAGUCGGUGCAACGGGUGGUGCGGGGACUUGGAUGGUUGCAGUGCGGGGGGCCGCCCAUCCUGCUCACUGCCUACACGGUGAAGGCGGGGACCGUGCUACAAAUGGCUCCACAGUUAGCCGCCCUGAAGGCUAAGCAUUUGCAGUAUGUGUGCGAUGCGGGUGUGUCGGGGGUGGGGGCUGCCCUGGCGGCGGGGGCCUUCGUGUGCACCUUGGCCCGCUUGUGGUCGCUGAAAUGGGAGAAUCAUCAUAAGGAAGCACUGUGGCGUGUGGCCGCCAACGCUUGCUGGGCGUUUCCACGGCAUGCUAGCGAGCGGGCGCGAGGCGUUACUGUUGACCCGUGUUGGGCGUGUGGGGUGGACAUGCAGGAUGGGGACCGGCGUCAUUGGUUUUGGGACUGCACUGUUGCGCUGUCACUGCGGGAAAGUAUGGGGAUGGCUAUGGGUUUCCUGCCGGAGGAGGCUCUAAGUGCCUUCUCUCGUGAGGAGUUGUGGUUAGUGCGCCCGCCUGCGGGGCUUGCGCCACCUGUGUGGGGUGUGGUGUGUCUCGCUGCUAUGUCUGCCCUGGACUUUGGUCGGCAGCGUGUGGUUAUGGCCGGGUUGGCGGCGCGAGCGAAGCUGCCGUCGGCCCGGGUGCUGAGCAUUGGACUUGCCGUCGUAGCUGACUUCUGGGGUCGUCUCCAGACGUUUGUGACUUUGGGUAUCAGGCCAAAGGGUUGGGACGCUGUGCCGUUUGCGCAUCCCUUCAUAUCUCGGGCUGUUGGUGACGGCAUGGUUUUGCGCUUGCCGUAUGACGCUGAUUCCCCGCCCCCCUCGCCGUGAGAGGUUGUGCGUGGUUGGUGGCUAUGUGUGUGGGCAGGAUGCACGUGUGGGCGACCGUUCUAGUACCUGGACGCUUGCGCCCUGGUUAGUGCGUGCGCUGUGCGUGUGUCCUGCGGCCUAGACGUUUCCCGGCACUCCUGUGCCUAGGCUUGUGGCGUUGAGGCACAGCGGUGGGGCUCUGGCGGGUUGAGGCUUGGCUAGGACUCACUGUGCGCGGAGUCACACGGACUUUGCCCGCGGGAGGGUUUGCAGCAAAGUCGGGGUUGGGCCCUGAUAGCAUGUGAUGGCUCGGCGUCUUCGGGAGCUGGGACUGUCCCCUCUGUAACAUCCGCAUCCAUACGGUGUAUGAGUGUAUCCACGUGGUCGCAUGUUGCAUCAGUGAAGCAGGGAAUCAUUCAUCCUAAACCCAGUUCGGGAGUGCCUAUCAAAAGCCAGUAAUCCUUGCAGUAAUCACACUGUGAUCGCAUCCGUAUCGCGAGUGUUGCAACCACACGUUCCGCUCAGCGGCCCAAACGCAUGAGCACUCAUGCAGCAACGCCUCCUCUGUGGGUUCACGCCUGGUCUCCACUCAACCUUGCCGGUCCGCACUCUCCAUGUCAAGUGUGACGUCUCACAUCACAGGCUCACUGUUGUCGACCCACACGAGGAGCGCGGCUGCGCUCGGCUCAUACUGCCGCGGUGCCGCCUCCUGCGCCCCAACCUCGCCAAACCACAGGCAGGCCGCCCCCCCCCGGGGUCCUGUGACCGCACCCAUCGUUGUCCUUGCCUAAAGCAUAACGUGCAUUCUUACUGAAGCACCAAAGUGACUAAAAAUACGGUAUGCGUGCUGCCGUUGGCUACCCGAGUUCCGUUCACUAGGGCACCCUUAGCGCAGGGAAGUUUCGGUAACUAGACUGGUGAGUAGCCCAGACAUCAACCGUGCGACACCCGAUCUACGGCAAUACCCUCUGGCGGGCCACCACCAGUCCGUCAGCGCCAGCCGGGGCACACGUGAUGCGCCUGUGCGGCUGGGCCUAAGCGCCUGUGUCCAGCUCAGGUCCGCGCCCGAAGCCUCACAGCCGCGUGCGCACACUGCCGCCUGCUCAGUGUAUGCCCCUAGACGCCUCAGCACCUGUUGCAGGCCUUGCCGCCUGAAGCUAUGAUGUCUUUGGUCACGGCGUCCACGUAUCUGCGGGGCAGAACAGACAGCACGCAGAUAGGCACUUCAGCUCCUCACUCUCUUGAGCUCGGCAGCAGUCGCCCUCAAGCAUGCAUCUACGCACGUCACCCUGCUGCGCUCCCCGCCCUCGUUGCGCCGCCCCCGCCCGCAUUGCCCCGCCCCCUCACCGUUGCCCUGCCGCCGUCUCUGCUACAAACUUGGCGACCAGCAGGCGCAGGGUCUCGUCCUGCUCGUCGCUGUUGAGCGGGUUGGCGAUGGAGGAGCCGCAGCCGGCCGGCGUCCAGUAGUAGAGCGUGGGCACGUAGUGCACCGGGCACUGGGCGUCCACCCUGCGGGCGGCGGAGCGGAGGCCGGGGAAGGCGGUGGCGGCGGGGUAUGGGCGGUUGUGUCGGCGGCGCGGGGGCAGCUUGAUGCAUGCUUGGGGACAGGCGUAAGUACAAGGGCACGCAAAUGCAUGGCGUGGCACGGCAUAGCACGGAGCUGCACGGAGUGUCGGGGCCGCUCAAACGGUAGUCACCUGAUGGGGUGCUUCCGGUCAGCCCACUCGUUGCGGUCGCCUGCAUGUCACAAAUCACGGCAAUGGCGGCACGCACACUGCUUCUUGUAUCUGUCGAGCGUGCCCCGAGCAUUCUGGCCCUUCCCCGGUCGCAAUGCGCUGGUGGAUCGGUAUCCCGGCUGGCGGCACGUGCAGCUUGCCCCCACCCCGCCCACUUUUACAGGGACUUCACACUCGCGCUCGAGGUGUUUCCAUCGGAUACCACACGCGCCACGUCCAGCCAGCCUCAGAUCCCACCUGCUGUCACUUCGAGCAAGGAGCCGCCCGCAGCGAAGAUGACCUCCCUGUUACGUGUGCGAGACAGCGAAAGGCGAAGGGACUUGCGGCGACGAGCAGUGGCACGUACUGUAUACAAGCAGAGGAGCACAUGCCGUGCACCGCUAUGCGCGCAUAAACCGUUGCCCCCAAACAUCCUUGCACUCAACCCCCCGCCCUCCCGGCGCGAGGCGAGUGGCCCGUCAGUGAUCCUGCAUCCUCCAAGCGACACCAUGUCGCUCGGUCCCCACUGAACCCUUCACUCCGUGGCUUCACACUAAACCCCAGCCAGCAGCCACUUCCGUCACGCCUGUGCUCGGCCCCCAACUAGCCCCCUCACGCCCUUCUUUCACGAGUGGCAUUCCACGCCUUCCUUGCAGCAGCCAAAGAGCGCGCCACCCUCGGGCCCAGCGGACACCAGCUCACUGGUGCACUUACUGACUUACCGGAUGAUUGGGUUCGACUUGGAGCAGUCGGGGCACCAGGGGCUGCCGUCUGAACUAACGCCGCUGGUGAACAGCACCUGCGUGCGGCGUGGCGUGCGGUGUCGCGUCACCCAUUGUCCAGGGUCCUAUCACGCGCGCCCGUUACAAGACGCGCGCUGCUACCGCCUGUGCGCUUUCCUUCGCGUGUGCCCGUCCGCGAGCAACACGUCUCAUAUCUGUGGUCCCGACGCUGCGUGUAUGCAGCGCGCUACUGGCCUAACGCCGGGCUGCGUGCUGCCAUGCUGCACAGGCCCCAGCCCUCCCCCGUCCUGGUGUUCAGCCCCGCACCCACGAAAUGCGGCUCCGCGGCCUCCAUCAGCUCCUGCAGGUGCUCGCGGUAGUGCUGGUGCUCCACCACCUUGUGCAGCCGCGAGCUGCAGACAGCAGUUUUGGGGAUUGAGUCAGACAGCAGUUUUGGGAAUUGGGUAGGAAUGGAGGAAGGCGUGAGCGGGAGACGUGUGGGCUGUUGCACGCCGCCUGCGGAACCCCUGGUUCUUGCUGGGGUGCCGGCUAUACUGCCCGCACUCACGGUCCAAAGAACCUGAAUGGCCGCGAUCCUGCCAACUUAGAGGCAGCGUUCAGUUGCACGAGGACGAGCGUAAGGGUUGCGCCAAGCACCAUGCCAGUAAGCAGCGUGGCGAGAGAGCCCCCGCGCCCACUGCCGCGCGUGCUGGCGCCAUGCACAUGCUUGGCCAUUUGACGCCUCAGAUGCGGCUAGCAAGCGGCCGGCAGGCAAUGAAAAUGGGACGAGUGCAAUAGGGCCUGUUCAUGCCAUGAUUUACUAUGUGUGGGGCACACUGUAGUAGCCUAUGUAGUUACUGAAUAUUUGUGUUAUGAAUACUAACGCGAACAAUUAAUCGUGCAGCGCCACACCGAAUAGCUUUCGAUCCGGCGACGUUUGGCAGCUUGGAUUUCGUCCCCAAUUUCUAGGACGUUUAGAGCUUAACCAAAUUCAAGGACCUUUUGGCAUAAUGCAGGGCCAGGCGGUGCGCACGAUGCUGGGAGCCAGUGCCAUGUUCCGUGAGUCUCCGAGACUACGUGCCAAGUCGUCCCGCGGGCUUCGCUCUGCUGCAUUCGGACUAUACCCUAACAAACCGAGGAUCCAAUCCAACUCUCUGCAGGGUGCGCCGGGAGCAGCGCGGGGACCAAUGUUUCUGCCUUCCUCACGACGCCUUGGCUGGCACAAGCCACGCGCUCGGUUCAGGCGCCCGCUGACCCCAGCCGCCCCGUCAUGCUGCUGACACCCAACAACGUCUGGUGGGUCUACCAGCUCGUGCACGGGACACGGCCGCAGCAUGGACCAUUCGCACGCGCCCCCGGCUGGCCCUUCAACUUGUGCCGGCCGCGCGACCGACAGCCUGAACCCAAAACCCGCACACGCCACGCCGGCGGGACCUGCCUGCCUGCCCGCCUGCCUCAAGCCCUUGCGCACCUGUGUGGUGCUGGUGAUGCGCGCUGGGCUGUCACCCGGUCCAUGUGUGACGCGUGCGGCGGGCGCAGGUGCAUCGGGCGCAACUACGCGGAGCACGUGCGGGAGCUCGGCAACGAGGCGCAGCCGGCGGGCGAGGCGCCCAUGAUCUUCCUCAAGGCCGGCAGCAGUGUGGUGCCGCCCGGCAACAUCCACCUGCCGGGGUGGAGCCAGGACGUCCACCACGAGGUGGGAGAGCGCGAGGGUGGGGGCGUGAGGCUGGGGGCGUGAGGCUGGGGGCGUGAGGGUGGGGGAGCGUGAGGGUGGGGGCGUGAGGCUGGGGGCGUGAGGGUGGGGGAGCGUGAGGGUGGGGGCGUGAGGGUGGGGGCGUGAGGGUGGGGGAGCGUGAGGGUGGGGGCGUGAGGGUGGGGGCGUGAGGGUGGGGGCGUGAGGGUGGGGGCGUGAGGCUGGGAGAGCGCGAGGCUGGGGGCGUGAGGCUGGGGGCGUGAGGGUGGGGGCGUGAGGCUGGGGGCGUGAGGCUGGGGGCGUGAGGCUGGGGGCGUGAGGAUGGGGGCGUGAGGCUGGGGGCGUGUGGGCGGCUGGGGCUGUGUGGGUGCGGGGGGGGGCGUGUGUAUGUGCCCCGCCCUACGGAGGUCCCAGGGGUGGUGGGGAGCGCUGUGCCACGUCGCUGCAACCCGCCUUUCCACACAUGCUGCACAAGCCUGCACUUGUGCACACAGCUUGGGUGACCGUGUGACAUAGCGGCCUGCUGGCCCGCUGUUAGGUGGAGCUGGCGGUGGAACUGGGUCACGACCUCAAGCCGGCGCGGGCGGCCGUGGCGCUGGACCUCACAGCGCGGGAUGUGCAGGUGGGCGGGGGCGGCGGCGGGGGCGGGGUCAGUUCAUUCAGUUUCUCCCAAAUAACCCAACGAGGGUAACCAACAAACCCAAAAGGAAGGUCACAGUGCGUUGGGCUGCACUGCAAGUUGCUGGAGAUUGUACAAGUAAAACAAGGGGGUAACCAUAAUACUGCUGUUGUGAGUGAACCCACGACCUGAUAGCGGCUACGGCGGCAGCUUGGGCCGUAUGUGCCCGCUGCUAUUCCUCAACACACACGCACCGUGCCCACCUCGCCCGCCACUCCCCACCAGUCCAAGCUCAAGUCCAAGCAGUGGCCGUGGACACUGGCCAAGAGCUUUGCCGGAGCCACGCCGCUGGGUCCUGCGUUCAGCCUCACGGGUGGGUGGGCCGACCGGGGCUAGGUGGGCUGUGGCUGUCAUUGGUAACCGGAACACCCAUUCCCAAGUCGCCGCGCUUCACCCACCCAGCCGCCCACCGCUCCGCCCUCCGCGCCAGGCGUGGACCCGUCCAAGCUGUGGCUGACACUGGACGUGAACGGCAAGCGGCGGCAGACGGGGCGUACCAGCGACAUGAUAUUCAGCCUGGACACGCAGGUGGGGGGGGCCGGGCGGGCGAGGUGGGGCAGCGCAAUGGGGCGUGGCGAGGCGGGGCGGGGCGGGGCGGGGCGGGGCGGGGCGGGGCGGGGCGGGGCGGGGCGGGGCGGGGCGGGGCGGGGUGGGGCGGGGCGGGGCGGGGUGGGGCGGGGCGGGGCGUGUACAAGCGGCGCCGAGAGUAGGUGUCCUGGAUCAGUUGUGUACCAGAGGGGCCUAAAACCUGCAUGCCGCAAUCCGUGGACUCGCUGCAAUGGGCCCCGUGCCGCCGAUCUCUUACAGCGCCUCACAGACGGUUCCACGAGACGGCUCACCACCCACCACUGACUCCCGGCAUCACGCCGCCCCUUCCUCCAAACCCCAUCUCACCCACACACGCCCCAGCUGUCGUACGUGCGUCAGCACUUCCCGGUGGUGCCCGGCGACGUGCUGCUGACCGGCACCCCGCACGGCGUCAGCCGAAUGGCGGCCGGCGACGAGAUCCUGGCGCGCGUGCUGGGGCCCGAGGGCGAGGUGCUGAGCGAGGCGGUGUGGCAAGUGCGCGCAGCCAACCCCAAGUGAAUGCAGGUCAUGUAGUGCUUCAGGCUGCAGGGUUGCAGGGUUGCAGGCGGCAUUUGGUGGGCCUGUGCUGCCAGAAGAGGAGUGGCGCUUGAGUGGGGCUUAGGCAGGCGUGCAUGCCUUUGAGUUUGUUGGGCAAGUUGGGUUGGGGAGAGGAGGUAGCUGAGUGUUGCCUGUGACGCGCCGGUAAGGCGGCGUUAUGUCCGAGGGAGGUACAGCGUGGACGCGACGCAACGAAAAAGCUGGCGGAAGACAGUUAGUUUGGCGUUCGGCGGUGGCGGCGCACGGGGCAGCAGCAGCAGCACGGUACGAAGGUUUGGAGCAUUUCAAGGCGAGAACAUAUUGCACACAUUGAUUGGAGUGUCAAUUGGUACUGGACACUGGCACGGUGUGGUGGAAGGGAAUUCUGGAAGCGAUGGGCGACGCGGGGUCUUGCAUGGUGCCACGUACGGUCCAUGGGCGCAUGGCCAGCUGCCGCUGUGCGUUGAGGAUGUGUCGCCUCGAGAUUGUGCACCAUUAUAAAAACGUUGAUAUUGUUCAUACAUUGCUCAUAUCGCUGUUUUAGCUCAUGACAGCUCGCUGCGCCGUUUUUAGCAGCUAAACUUUAUACCCGCACAAAGGUUGCCAGACAUGGCACCAAGAACUCUGUCGGCGUCUUCUAGACCUAUUCAUACUACCACACUAGCGACAAGGCCGCUGCUGCGACGCUCGCGGACUUCGGUGUUAGUUUGUGCCCGGCGAGGGUUCUCUGGACAGCAGAGCCUUGAGCAAGCCAUUGGUGCAAUAAAUCGUAUCAUUACCGACAGCGAGAACAGGAAACGGAAGAAAGCUGAGCAGAAUGGGUCUCGCGCAGAGCCGGAGGUGCAGCCGCUUGGCAAACCCAUAACAUUUAAGGCAUCUGCAAGGUCAGAAAAACUUGUGAAGGUACGUUCUCGGGUGUCACAGGGUCGCGUUGCGGUGGGGUUGUCUAAAGUUGCCGAGGAUGCUUCCGACGUCGGGUGCGGUUCGGGCCGCGUGCAGCCGACACAGAUGGUAAAUGCGUGAGGACUCAUGUCGGGAGCAGCAUGACUGCUAGCGGGCGGUGGAAGCGGGGCCGGUUUGCCGCAGCCGAAACCCUUGCUUGCACAACACCCUCUCAGUCUGGUCGGUGCCCCGUGGCGGCGGUCCCCUUGCUGCGGUCUAAGAAGCGAUGCACCACUGCAUCGCAAUCGCAAGCGCCCUGUUAAUGGCAGAGCUUCUGUGCUUCCACCACCUGCACCGCUUGCCUGAUCGCACCCCUGCGCACCCCCUCCCCCUUCAACCCCCAACCCGCACCCCAGGAGCCGGCCGGCUCCCCCCGCGACCUGUCCGCCUACCUGUCCCUGCCGCUGGACCAGUACAGCCUGUUGGAUCCAGGCUGGAUCUCGCGGCCCGACCCGGCGGGUCAGCCCGACACGUUCGUGCUGCGCAUCCCGCUGUUUGACCUGGUGGGGCUGGAGCUGCAGCCGCAGAUCAGCGUCAAGGUCAAUGUGGACCCACGCAACAGCCAGGUGCGGGCUGGGGGGGGGGAGGCGCUGGGGGGGAGGGGCUGGAGAGGGGGCUGGAAAGCGGGGUGCGCCGGGUGCGGGGCGGCGGCGUGUGGGGACUGGGAAUUAGGGGCGGCGAGUACGCAUGGGCCGCCUGGACAGGCCGCGACGGAUGUAGCAUCGCUGUGCAGCCCAGCACGGCGUUUCAAGCGCUGCCCUACCCCGGGCCUCGCCCGUCCACAUCCAUCACACCCUGUCUCUCCUUACCCCUCCCUCCCUCUCUCCCUCCCUCCCUCCCUCCCUCCCUCCCUCCCUCCCUCCCCUCCCUCCCUCACCUCCCUCCCUCCCCUCCCUCCUCUCCCUCCCUUCCUCCCUGGCUCAGGUCCACUUCCUGGCCGACCAGUUCCGUGUGGGCGACCCGCGCUUCGACGACGACUUCAAGCUGCACAUGCGCGCCACGCUGCGCAACAAGCCCGUGCCCACACUGAGGCCCUUCAGGUGUGCGCGCACGCGUGUGUGUGUGUGUUUGGCCUGGCGCCGUGUGUCCGGAGGGAUCGGGAGUGGGGGCGCGGAUGUGUGGAGUGGGCCCAGCGGGUAGUCCGCGUGGCCUGUGCACGCCGCGUGGUGCCCUUCACACGGUGGUGCGGCCAUGGCUGCCCUGGUCUGACCUUCUGCUGUUAUUUCUCUUGCUCUGUUGCUGUGGCUGUGUCGCUGUCCACACAGGUCCAUCAAGCGCAUGUGGUCGCGCCGGGGCCAGAAGCACCAGCAGCCGGAACAGGCGCAGGGGCAGGGAGCCGCAACCGCAGCGGCCAUAGCGGGAGCCGCUGGAGCCGCUGGCGCCGCUGGCCAGCAGCAGCAGCAGCAGCAGCAGCAGCAGCUGACAGGCGGCGGGUCGGAGGAUGGGGUCAGCCCGACCGGCACGUUGUCCUCUGACGAGGAGGAUGACAUUGUGGUGGAGGUCGAGGGCGUGGACGACGAGCCGGGGCCCGGGACAGCGGGGCCGGGCAGCAGCAGCAGCGGCAUUAGCAAUGGUGCGGGCAGUAGCAGUGGUGGCAAUGGUAUCGGUGGCGGAGCGCAUGCCAGCAGUAGCAGCAACGGCGCCGGCGUAAGCAGCAGUGGCGGCAGUAGCGGUGGCCUGCCGCGGGGGUACGACCAGUACGAUGCGGCGGCGCGGCUGGAUGUCGGCGUGUCGGGGGCGGCCGGGACAGCGGCGGGAGUUGGGGUUGCGGGUGGCACGGCCACUGGCGGCGGCAGCGCACCGCACCAUCCUCCGGACCUGCCGCCGCACGUGACCAUGCGGGACCAGGACGACGGCUGGGGGCGGUCCUCGCCGCCAGCAGCAGCAGCGGCGGCAGCCGCAGCCGCAGCCGGCGGCACGACACCCAUACGGCCCUGGGGCAGCCACGCCCGCAGCGGCACGAGUAGCCACGGCACAGAUAGCAGCAACGGGAACGGUGGCAGCAGCGGUAGCGGCGGCAGCAGCAGCAGCGCCGCCACGGGCCCCGGGGGUGCCGCUGCCUGGCCGGCGGGCGGCGCAUACGGCCCCGCCCACCCAGCCGCUGCGUCCACGUCCGCCGGCGCAGUAGCAGCUGCUCCUGCUGCCCCGGCUGCUGCAGCCGCGCCGCCGGCUGCUACUGCCGGCCCGCCGCAGCCGGCUCCGGUGCGGGGUGAGGUUCUGGAGGUGGUGGAGCCCAUCGUAGUGUCGGAGGGGGACCAGGGCGGCAGUAGCAGCACCGGCGAUAGCGGCAGUAGCAGUGGCAGUGGCGGAGCGGCUGCGGGCUGGUCAGCGGGAUCCUGGUCAGCGAGCAAUGCGGCGUCGGCGGGCGCGCCGCCGCCGGCGAGCACCGCAGCUGGCUCUGGUCCUGCUAGCACCAGCACCAGCGCCGGCACCGGCACCAGCACCAGCACCAGCGCCGGCACCAGCACCAGCGCCGGCACCAGCACCAACGCAAGCAAUGCGGCGGCGGCGGCGGCGGCGGGCGCGGUGCCGUUUGUAGAGGCCGACGUCACGUACGUGCCGGCUGGGCAGUGGGGACGGGACGCGGCUCCGGUGGGGUCGCGGAGCCGUAACGGCGCGUCAGCGCCGGCGCCUUCAGCCGCACCCGCGUCCUCGUCGUCAAUGCAUUCGGCUUCGGCAUCGUCAGCAUCGGCACCGUCGGCGUCGCCAUCAGCGGCUGCGGCUUCAGCCACCGGCUGGACCUCGGGUGGCGGCGGGCACUCGGCGACCUGGUCAAACUCACCAGAGCCAUCCUCGUCUGAGUCUUCGUACUCCUCUUCCUACUCGUACUCCUCCGGAGCUGCCUCAUCGUCGGCAUCCUCGUCAGCCGCGACGGCGACGGCAGCGGCCAGGAUGAUGGGCGACGCUGCGGCGGCGGCGGUCGGCAUUGCGGGGCAGGCGGUGGGAGUGGCGGCGGCAGCAGCUGCGGCGGCGGCGGGCGUGGCGGUUGGUGCCGCAGCGGCGGCCGGGGCGGUCGCGGUGGGAGCGGCGGCGGCGGGUGCGGCGGUAGCGGGGGUGGCGGCCACGGGUGCAGUGGCCGCAGGCGCGGCGGUGGCGGGAGCAGUGGCGACGGGAGGGGCCGCCGUCGCGGAGGCCGCGGCGGCGGUACAGGCGCAGGCAGCGGCAGGGUCCGGGGCGGGUGCCGGCAGCGCUGCGACGCCCCACGGCGCGCCACCGACGCCCGCGGCCAUUCCGGGUGUCACGUACAACGUGACGGCUGAGAGGCCGGCCGCAGACGCCGGCCGCGGCCCGACAGCUAGCGCGGCGGCGGCGCAUGCGGCCACGGCAUCGCCUGCGGCUGCGGCUGCGCCGACGGCGCCGCCAACUGCGGCGGCGGCGGCACCCGCUGUGCCGGCGGCCUCGGCGCCUGCUGCGGCGCGUGUAGAGGGCAUGAGGCCGGACUCUGCGGCAACAAUCCAGCCUUCAGCGCACUCCCCGACUGCUGCUCCCCCACCGCCGCCGCAGCACGCGACCGCGCCUGCCGUGCCCACGACAAGUGACACUGCUGCUCCUGCAGCAGCAACAGCCACUGCUGACCCUAUCGCAGCGGCGGCUACUGCCGGCCCCAGCCCCGGCCCAAGCACCAGCGCUCAGGCGCCAGCUGCUGCCACCGCGCCCGUCCACACGACGCCAUCGCCACCGCCGCCUCCACCGCCGCCGGCCAUCUCUAUCCCCAGUGCCUCCACAAGCACAGCCGCAGGGCAGCUCGUCACCACUAGCAGCAGUAGCAGUAGCACCGGUGGCGGCGGCGCGGCUACAGCCGAGGACAACCCCACGGCGCUGCUGGUGGGCAGUGUGGACGUGGCGGUGACGGUGGUGGUGCCGGCGGCUCUGACGGCGGUGCCGCGGCCGCUGCUGGGCAUGACGGGCAGCCUCAUCGCGCGCUACGCCAUCUCCUCGCUGCUGCCGUCCUUCCUGGACCUGCUGGUGGCGGACUACGGCAGGUGCGGGGCGUGUAUGGGGGUGCGGGGGGGGGGGCGGGGCGGGGCGGGGCGGGGCGGGGCGGGUGGCUCUGGAUAGGUGAGUGGUUCGGGAUUGGUGGGUGGUGGGGACAAGAGGUGCAUGUGUGUCCAUGGUGUGUGCUUGUGCAAGCAGCCCGUCCCCCGCCCCAUUUGAUAACGACUUCGUCUGCAGUCUUCAGAGCAUCCGGACCGCUUUUCCAGACAUCCUUGCAACCCUCCGCCCUGGGCACCCUGCUAGGACCCGCCAUGAAUGGGCUCUUGUGAAGCAUGCUGUGUGUUGUGUGCUGGGAUCCCAUGGCAGGUGGUCGUCUGGUCAGACGGUGGCGGCUCGGGCGGCACCAGCCGGCGACCUGGCGGCGGCGGCGGCCGCCGCCGCGGCGGCGCAGGGCGCUCCGCCGCCAGCACCGCGCCACGGCGGUCCGGACGCGGCAGCGGGCGGGCACACGGCGGGUGUGGGUGCGGCUGGACCGGCGGCAGCGACAGCGGGCACGGCGGCGGCGGCGGCGGCAGCGGGCACAGGUGGCUCGGCAUCGUCGUCGAUUGCGGAUGCGUAGUUUCGUUGGCUGGUGGAUGGCGGCGUGGCUGUUGGUAGUGCAAGGGACCACACAAGGCAGCGUGCUAGCACGGGCCCUUUAAAUAAGCAUCUGGUGCAUAUGCAUUGGCGUGUCACACUGCCGUAUGUUUCAACGCCUGUGGCUUGGGGUCUAGCGAGCAGGAUACAUCAGCGCGGGGCGUGUGUCAGCGCUGUCGCAUUGAGUGCACGCUCUUGUGCAUAGCACUGUUUGGUUCGCCGGUAACCAUUACCCAGUUAGCUUUCAGGCACUGGGUAAUCAAGCAUUGAGCCGCGCUGUGCUGUGCCACGCAAGUCGCAACGCCGCAUGUACUCUCUGGUCGCCUGACAAGUCUGCUAGGUGGCUCUUUGUGUAAUGUGCCAUGGUGAUGUCUCCUGGGUGUAUGCCUCGAGUGUCACGCCCUGACGUGUGACCGUGCAUGCCGUGUCACCGCAUGGUGUUUUCACGCAUUACUUAGCAUGAUUGCCACGUAGAAGAACCAGCGGGGCACACCACAAGUACGCCAGCACACGGUAUCGCGUGACACGAGUUCGAGUUCCAAUUAGUACUGGGGAAGUGACACAGUGGCAUAGCGGCAGGUCAUGCAAAAGGCUCUUCAGUAGCUGAGUGACUGAGUCCCGAGAAACCAGUGUAGCCUAGUGUAGCCCGCAAGCUCAGCACUACUCCCGACUCACUCACCGCCUGACCCACAGUCCGCCUCGCACGAUACGGUGCUCACACUCUGUCUCAGCUCUGAUAAUAGCACACUGACUGACAUUUUUGUUGAUUUCCUUCAAUGAGAUACUGGUGCACCGCGGCGCUCCAGCCAGCACUCGGCUUUCCAUCUGUCCCCUAUCGCCGUGCGCUUGGGCCUACUUCUGCUUCUGAUUCAGCCGCCACUGCCGCACCCUGAUGCGGUUGCCGCAAGUUUUGCAGCUCAGCAUGUCGCGACGAGAGUCAGCGAUUUGCGGGGAGACCGUCUCGAGGCGGCGUGCCGUCUCCCACCCCACUCUGCCUGCGAUGCAGGCACAGGGCAGCUCUGUGUAGCCAAGCCUGCCUACCCAGGCUCAACGUAAGGGCCCGACGCUGCACCCACGUACACUCCAUGAAGGAACGUGGGGGAGGGGAGCCGGCCGCACAGGCAUGCUCCUUUACACGAAAGCGCAAACACAGCCACAAGCUUGAAGCGCACCUACUGCACCAAGCAGGUCGGCACUCGGCAGCGCCGGCGCAGGCAGUGUCCGUCCCACCCAGCACACACCUGCUCGUGAGGGGUCCGGAUAACUCGCAGUCUAACACAUCUAACCCAACACAGUGUUACAAAGCAGCAGAGCAGGUGUGACAGGAUGCGCAGCACGGCCGUGCUGACGGUUCAGGGGGGUCGUGCCACACAACACAUUGCAUCUAGCUAACCAACUCAUCGCCGAGAGCCCUGCCUAGAACCCCAACCCUGCAAGCACAUCUCGACAGCCGCCGGCGCGGCGUAGCACUGCAUGAUGAUGCAGGCACCGGGUGCGAGCUACCACGGCCGGCUCCGUGUCCCUGCCGCGGCGACAUCCGUACAGCACCUCAAGGCCCCGCGCACACAUGACGAAAACACUCACGCACCACUCUGUGCCAGCUGCCACGCCAUUCCCGAUCAACAGCAUGUACACACACAUAAACACCGUCCGCUCUCGAGAACCAAAGAAUACUGGCAACGCCUCAGCCCAAAGUCAGGUCAUCCUACGUCCACCCGCCUUGGUGCUUGCCCGACAAGGGCCGUCGCCGCACACAGUGCUGUCGCAUUGCGGCCGCAGCUGCUGUACAACCGGGCCACCAACUGCAGCCGGCUCCUCCUCCUCCUCUCCUCCUUUUCCUCCUCUCCUCCUCCUUCUCCUCCUCCUCUCCUCCUCCUCUUCCUCCUCAUCCCGGUCCGUUUCAGUCCACUAGCCUGCAGGCGGCCUGUGGCGGCCGCCUACUUGGCCUUGGCGAGCGCGGACUCGGCCAUGCCGUACAGCUCCUUCACCUUGGCGCCCGCGAGAGCCAGAGCCUGUGCAGUGGGCGCGGGGUGUACGUGCGUACGCGUGUGGGUUUGGCAUUCAACGGCCAAGUGUACGAUGUGGCGGGCGACACACCUCACAUAGCAGGCGCUCCCGCAUGCUGCCCCGAAGGCGUUGGUACGGAAACCUCCCAGCUCAGCUGAAGUGGCCCAUUGUUAAGGCCGCACCCCCUUCCCGGCUGGUUUGUGUGGGCUAGUUUCGGGUUCUGAGUUUACAUGGACUUGGUUUGGCUAACCCCACCUUGUUGGUCUCGGCGCUGUACUUGGUCGCGGCCGCCACCACGCCGGCGAAUCCGCCCAGCACCACCACCUCGGCCAGGAACAGGGGCAGCGGGCCGCGCCGCUUCUGCUUGCCGGCGGGCUGCGGCGGGUGGGGGUUGUUUAGAACACGAGGCGAUCAACGGGAGAUUCCCUUUACCAUUGUCCAUGGCGCAUGAAGAAAGAGGAGAGGGGGUCAAGCGGAUGACACGGCGGGCGGAGGCACGUCCAUAUGACACAAGGUGGCAGGGCCUAAGCUGGAAAGCAGCGACGGGUAGGGUGCGGCAAGGCGUGACCCCUUGAACCUGCCCACCUCCUCCUUCUUGGGCUGCUCAGCCUUCUUGGGCUCAGGCUUCUUCGCCUCCACCACCGGCUCGGGCUGCGGGGGUGGGGACAGCCGGGGCAGCAAAGGCACCACAUUGGCACACUGCCCAAGACACCACACCAGACGACACCAUAACACAAGCAAGGUACGGUAAUCAUCACUCAGCAAUUCGCAAUACCGUACCGCCCUGCGUCAAUGGCGGCCCAGUCACCACUCGGCCCCUGCUGCUUGCCGAAGCGACCAGCCAGACUUCAGGGGGCGCGCUGUAGGCACGGUAUACAAUGUUCCUGUACCCACCUUGGGCGCGGGCGCGGGCGUGUUCCAGGAGAAGGCCGGCUUGGCGGGCUCCGGCGCGGGCGUGGGCUCCACCACGGCGGGCGCGGGGGCGGGCGCCGGGGCGGCGUUGAAUCCGCCGAAGCCGCGGUAGCGGGUGGUGCUGGAGCUGCUGCUGGCCUCGUAGGCGGCGGCGGCGGAGCUCUUGAGCUCGCCGCCCACCGCGGCUGAGCGCGCCGCUGAGUGGCAGGGAGGGAUGGGAGCGGGUUCAAGGAGGUGGGAGGUGGGAGGAGUCAGGGAGUAGGCGAUGUGGUGCGCCAGGUAUGGAGGGGCGAGGUGGGCAGAGUGAGGAGUGGAAGCCUGGGAUGAGGUGGGUUACGGUUGGCUGAUUGGAGCUGGGCGCAAGUGUGGUGGGCGUCCACCAGGCCCCCCUUGCCUCCCCAACCGCUGCCGUCAGCUUCACUUGUCUCCAAUGUCCUAUGUCAUUUACUCAUGGCGAAAAGACACGUGUACAACAUCUCAUCCGCUUCUGCCGUACACUGCCAAUGGCUUAGCAGUGCAUAGCGAGCUCUCGACUUGUGCGCGCGCAACCAGCAGCAACACAGGAGGAAGGGGUACUUCCGUCCAAAUAAACUCAGACCCAGAGCCCAGGGGUUUGUGCGAUCACCGCCACCCGGUCCUUGCCCCAGAGCGUGUGCCCGCCCCCACCAUUGGCGGCGUCCACUGCGGCGUCAGCGGCCUCGGUGGAGGCCGCGGGGGCGUCGCCGCCCGCCUUGGCCUCCGCUGCCUCGCGACUGCGGGUGGGGUAAAACACACACAGCACGUGGGUAAAACACACGCGUGUGCACAAGGACGGGCGGGCGCCUCAUGUCGCCGGUCAGGGUGAAGGCGGUAGACCGGUGCUGGCGUCUGAGGACGUGGCAGCGCACGCCCCGCCCCGCCUGGCGGCACACAUUGGUGCCGCGUGCCAUGCCCCGUUCCAAACCCGCUGGCUAGCCCGGCCGGCACUGGACAGGCUGCGCGGCCGCGCCAAGCCGACACGCUACCCGCACAAUGCAGCAGCACAGAGCUUCACUCGCACACGGCCCGGCACUCACGCGGCGCGCAGCAUCUCGCGGCGCCGCUCCAGCUCGCGCUGGCGGCGCUGGUAGGGGCUCAGGCCCUCCUGCAAACGGCGCCAGGGCCGGGCGGGGGGUACACAGGUGACAAAGGCUGUCGCACGGAAGCUAAGGGUGAUAGGGGCCAGCGGGACUUUCCAAGCCGAAACCCAACUCUGCAGCACACCUUCCCAUACAACGUUUCCACGCAGCUGUAAAAACAAGCAGUAACCUGUGCAAGCACCGCCACGCCCCUCCGUCAACACCGUCCGGGGCUCUCACUCACGUCGGACGCCUCCUCCUCCGCGUGCGCGGGCUGCACCAUCAGCGCCGCGGUGGGGUCCAUGGCGGGGACCACGUUCAGAGCCAGAGUGGCAGCGGCCAGCAGCGCGGCGCCCGAGGCACGCAGCGACACGGCGGUGGGCUGUUUGGGGCGCGCGGGGGAGCGAGCAAGGGAAAGUUGGCGUGAGAACGGUCUCGGCGGUGCAAGGAUAGCAAUGAGAGCUGUCCCGAUUCAGUCGCGACGUGCAGUGGUUUGAGCGUAGAGGCACAAUAUCCCACAAUGCAGUGUGAACCAGAAAGCGAGUGCAACUAUCACCGGUGGCAUCCUCAGCAACCGUGUUCCGGUGACCCGGCGUGCGAGUGCUUCCGUGUGCCGAUCUAGUCGCUCCUUCGACGACUUACAUCCUUCACGCCAUCACGCUGCGCGCGGACGAUAAUCGCCCGGCGAGAGGUGCGGGCACUGCAAGCAGGGCGCUGGGCGCGGGUGGCCUGCAGCAUUUUUGUGCUUACUUAGAAAGAUAAAUAUGUGAUAGCGGGGUUAGGUGGAAACGAAGGAAGACUUGAAACGAAGGAAGACGUGAGAAAGAGGGCGGGGAAUUUCUGCUGCAUGGCAACAUGAGAGUUUUGCUAGUGCCCCGAGCCCUGCGCGAACAAGGGCUUGGUUCUCAAAUGCACUUCAUUUGAGCAUUGAGGGUACUAGGGGGCCACAGAACUCGUGCAGAAGUUUGGACCUUCCAAAGCGAAACUUCUCCCCCAAAGCGGGCUUCUUCUUUCUUCCACGACUUGGACUGAAUUAAACCUCCACGACAAGGUGAGCGAGCCCAGAGCAGCCAGCCUACAGUCGGUGUUCGAGGCCUCAGCUUUGACCUGGGCAUGAAAUCACCUUGCCCAGUGUGUGUCUUGGGCAGCAGCCAGCCUUAGCCAGCCAUAGUUGAUUGCAGCAGGACCGUGACUGACAACCUGCUCAGGGACAGCAGCGUGGGGCGGAAUUUUGGGGGCCCGCUGAUGAUGCAGACCCGAAUUGCCUCCGACCUGGUGCCAGCGCAGGAUGUCUCUGGAGGUGCAGUCCAAGUAUGACCGGGGGUACCAGGAUGAGGGGCAAGGCCUGGUUGAGCUGGGGACGGCGCACGACGCUGUCCCUAAGACGACAGCACAGCCGAAGUAUGGCGACGACGACGACCUGCUGCCCGUGGUGCUGGAGCGCUACUUGGAGAAGGCUGGCGUGAUGUGAGUCAAUGGGGACGGUGGAAGGCUGGACGCAAACAGCGCAGCGCGACCGAGCAGCGCAGAAAUUGAUUCUGCAUUGUUGCGGCUUGCAGGCAGAAGCUGCGCCCCUACCUGGACCCGUCGGGCCAGGUGAAGAACGAGUUCGCGCGUUGCCUCAUGGCAGAGUUCUUCGGCACGCUGCUGUUUCAGAUGUUCGGUGGUUCCGCGCCAGCGAAGGACACCACCGCGCCCGCUGCCAACGGUUUCGCGCUGGUGGCUGUGAGUGAGUACGCGCAGGGGCUGCAUCGACGAGGGCAGGGUUGAGGCUGCGUGGGGGAAGCACAGCGCGAGCUGGGGUUCACACGCACGCACGCAUGCACGUGCAUGGGGUGGUGGCUACACUGAGGCCGCACCACGUCUGCCGGGCGUGUCGGGGGCCCUGGCCAUAAACGUGCCUGCACCUUUCCACAUGCCAUUUGGCGCGACCUCAGCGCAGCAUAGGGUCGCACAGCUCUGGGUAGCAAGAGCACGGUAGCGCUGGGGGUCGUGACAGGCGCCUGUGCGCGUGCGCGCUUGUGGGCCAUGCUGCCCUCUGCAGCGCGGCCCGCUAUACAGUGCAGGCGAGGGCAGCCGAGGCCGCACCGCAUCGCACGGUUGGCGUUGUGCACGUUCGCAUGCCCUUGGGGCAGGCUCAUAGCCAGCUUCGACAACAGCCUUGUGGGUAGUCAGCGGACCCAGUCGAAACCUGCGCCGCGGCGGUGUGUGAACACGAGUGUACGUUAUGAUGCUGACCAUGCCCGCAGUCUACGCCUUUGCCAACAUCUCGGGCGCCCACAUCAACCCCGCGGUGACCUUCGCGCUCAUCUGCACUGGCCACAUGAAGUGGUGGAAGGGACUGCUGUACAUGAUUGCUCAGGUGCGCCGGCGCGCGAUGAGCGCGGGCAAUGGGCAUAUAGGGACAGUAGCCGACUGGGCCAGGGCCGUCCGUGCACACAGGUGCCCGUGGCCCGUCUGCCGCGGAAGUGCGGUCGCUGAGCUGGUACGGGCAGCGGUUCCACCCCAGCCCAUUAUUUGGCCAGCAAAAGCCACCGCCCGCCAACACGCCUACACUCCCCCCCCCACACGUUGCCAUACAGAUCCUGGGUGCUAUCUUCGGCGCGCUCAUCUACGCCGCUCUGAUCCCCGCGCUGCACCUGGGCGCCGGCGCUGGCUCCCCCGGCUGCUUCAGCCCAACCGCGGGCGUGAAGAACGGCGACGUGUUCGGGUGGGAGGUGAUGAUGACGUUCCUGCUGGUCAUGACCGUGUACGCUGCCGCCGUCGCCAAGCCGGGCCACGGCAACACCGCCCCCCUGGCCAUCGGCCUGUCGCUGUACGCCGCCGCCAUCUCGGGUGGGUGUCGAUGGAGUGACACAUGGGUGACUAUUGAGGAGUACUGGACGGGAACGGGUGGGACUGCUGCGCUUCAGCGCACGCUCUACAACAGGCAGAGGAUUUAUCAGUCUGAAAGCCCAAGAACGGGGUUCGGGAUGCUGCCACGUUGCAGACCAGGGGUAAUACUGGAAACAUGCAUGGUUUAGGCCCAGCCGCAUGCCCGACACAUAUGCGCCUAACCUCAAUAGCUGCUACAACGCCCAGUCGUAUCGAUCCGUGACAGCCCACGUCCAUACAGUUACCGUGCUGCAUGAGUCAUGGCAGGUAUCCUUGCAAGACGGGGGGGGGGCGACGGAUUCAUGCCAACUCUGCGACCCGCUGUGCCACCCCAACCGCCCAGGUGGCCCCUACACCGGCGCCUCGCUGAAUCCCGCCCGUACCAUCGGCCCCGCCGUGGUGUUCACCUGCAACGUGGGCGUCUCCUUCCUCUACAUCUUCGCGGAGUUCUUUGGCGCUGCCUGCGCUGCCGGCCUGUCCAUCUUCCUGUACGGCCGCGCCCCCGACAGCGUGCGCCGGCCGGCGAUUUAAGCUGCCAGGCGAUGGAGUGGAAUCCGUGUCGGAGCAGCGCGCGGGCCUGCCCUCCAUACACAAUGUGUAUGGCAGCGCGCGGCUGUGCGUGGGAGGGCUGGGCGGAGGCCUUCUUGGUGGGAGGAUGAGGGGAUGAUGGCAUGUGGUGACUGUUGAGUCAGGUGUGUGAGGUGUACAUCGGCGGGCUGCACAGAGGCCUUGAGUGACCCUGCCUUUUUGGGUUGCAGCGGGCAGCACGCUUGUGGCGAGUGCUGCAAUUGGCACGGCCGACGUGCACUAGAAACCAGCGAGCGGAGAUUGACAUGACUGACUGGAGUGAACCCGGAUGUGAGCGCCGUAGCUGCGUGCUGCGGUAGUGUUCGGAAGUGGAGGGCGCAUAGUAACAUGGAGGGUUGGGCCGAUGCGCGGCCCUGUGGGCAGCUGUGGGGACGCUGCUGGGGGUAUGGAGGAGAGAGGCACUACACAGACGUCCGUCUGACAUGCCCCGUGGAGAGCCGUAGAUGUACUUGGGGCGCCGCAUGACCUGCCAGGCAGGUGGACUACUGGCACACUUGGUCUUAUUGCCCCAGGCAAUAUCGGCACAGCGGGUGUAAUGCUCAAUCUUGCUUCCGACCUCGGAGUGUCCUUCAUGGCAUCAGAGGCGCGUGCUCGGGAGUCCCGCAGCACUGUUAAGGUCACCAAGUACAGCUGCAAAGGGAGGACAGCUAGGACCCCAUGCCACACUAACGCACGUCUGCACACGCGGUUGCGGUACGCGCGAAUACGGUACCGAUGGAAUGCGAUAGCCAUCAAACAUUGAAACUAGUCCAAUACGAGUAAGAAAAGAAACGGCGUGCGUGUCUGCCCCAGACGUGCGUCGCAAGCACCGCGCAAAGGGCUGGCCAUCCUCACAGCGGUAGGACCAGUGCACCCUCACGGCCUCACUGCCUAAACCAAUGAUUGGCUUCUGGUGCAACCCAUUUCAAGCUUCCCUCGUUGAGCAAUACAACCGUCAAAACUGUUGGGGGCCCCAUGCCAUUUGCCAAGCGACUUCGCCCACUUCAGGCCAUUAGUGUACAUCUACACAUGCUAGCGGGGCAAACGCCAUCUCCAUGCCAGCUUCGCCAAAAUUGCAGCAGCGCCGGCCGCUUCGGGACCCAAACAUGACGUACUCGCUACCUGCCGAUCCAAGCUGCGAAACACAGCCUACCGCAUGCUUAUUCGCGUCGCGUUGAAGUGUUAUACCGUAUCAUCGCGGCUGCUGCGGAUUGAGCAGCAGCAGCACGCUGGCGACCUUCAGCACCCGCGCCAGGGGCCACCUGCAGUUGGUGAGCGUGACGAGGCCGUACACAGCCGAGCACACCACCCGCUGGAUGUUCUGCCGCCGCCGCCAGAAGCGCCCACGCCCGCCCGCCCCAGGCCCGGCCACGUCCCCCAGCACCGCAAUGUCGCCGUCGCCACUGCCGCUGAAACGGUGGGCCCCGCCGGCCCUGUCGCCGGCGCCUCCGCCGCCCGCCCCUGUGAACUGCCGCCGCAGGGCAUCCAGCGCCGCCUCCAGGCGCCCGCACCGCAGCAGUGUGUACACAUACAGCAGCUCCGCAUUCCCCGCCGACCCCGGCCCCGACCCCGCGCCCGCGGCCCAGCCCGGCGCACCCGCGACCUCCACGCUGUGGCUUUGCCGCAGCUGCCGCCCACUACUGCUCGCCGCCAGGCCGUGCGCGGUCGCACCUCCAGGCCCGCCGCCGCCCCCACACGCCGCCCCCGCGCCGUUCGCCAGGUUGCUGCCGCUGCUGCCGCUGAAGGCAGCGCCACCGGCCAGUGCGGCGGCGCCGCUGCUGCUACAGCUGUUGCCUAGGAUGCGCUCGCAGAACCGCAUCACCAGCUCCUCAGGCAGCCCGGCCGCCAGCAGCACCCCCACGAAGCGUGCAGGUCGGUAGCCGCCGUCGCCGUGUCCGUCGGCAGCACACGCCAGCGCCGCCAGCCGCUCCACCAGCUGCUGCUCGUCCGGCUCCUCCUCCUCGCCACCGCAGCAGUCGCCUGCGCUUCCGCCGCCGCCAUUGCCAAAGCCCCACGACUCCAGGAGUCCCUGCAACGCCUCCACCUGCGCCGCGACAUUUGAGCAGUGAUUGGGUGGAUGAUGUGAUCAGGCCUCCUUACACGCCUCCUGGGCGACGGGCGCAGCUAGCAGCUGAUGCUCAUCCUCUCCACGGGUCCUUUGCCCAACGCAUACGCAGCCUGCGCACGUGGCUUGCCCACUCGUAACCUGGCCCCCACCCCCCACUCCCGCUUCAGAGCCUGGGCACCCGUGGCCCCAUGCACAGCUUUCGAUGUCAUGAGCAACUCCAUACCGACUGCAGACAGGCCCCCUCCGGACCGCCCCUUCCUCGCCUGCUGGCUGGUGUCGCCCGCCAGCUGCAGCAGCUGCGUAUACAGGGCGGCGGCGCGGUCGCGCUGGCCGCAGCCCACCAGCGAGGCGGCGAAGCGGCUGAGCGCCUGCGGGGGCGGAUUACAUUCAUGAUGGUUUAAGAAGCGAAGACGCAGCCAGAAACAGUAGUAGGGGGGGCGAGUGGGCACGGCCGGGGGCACAUACACACAUACUCUGACACUCUUACACGGGUUUGGGGUGCGCACGACAAGGGUAGCAAGGCCUGAGGCCCAUGCCCACGCCGUUCUCGCACCCAUCUCAGCCGCGCGAUGCGGGCGCCGUACUGCUGCCCCUUCCUCCCCAUGCCACGCAGCCCGCCAAGGCACGCGCAGCCGCACCUGGAAGUCGUAGAUGCUGCUGGGGUGCGUGAGGACAUAGUCCACCACCUCGGGCGUCAGGCCCGCCACGCCCAGCACGGCGCCGCCGUGCGGCACGCCGGCCAGCGCCCCCGCAGCCAGCUCCGCCGCACGCCGCAGGUAGCGGACGGGCGUGCGACAGCUGGGUCGGCACACCUGGGCGAUGCAACCCUGCACAGCUCGCUCUCGGUACGCGGCCGCCUGCGGGCAAUGGUGGGGGCGGGGAAACCGUGUGCGCGCAUGCCGGAAAACAGUGUGAACUGGCCGUGACAACACGAGCUCCGAGCCAAAGGCAGCUGCAGUUGUGGUGUGUGAUCCCGCCGGCUGGCGCAGUGAGAAGGUCGACAGCCCGCACCUUGCUCUUCAUGGGCCACACCGUGGUGAGCGAGGCGCUGGGUAGCGGCAGGUUGCUGAUUGGGUCCACCUGCAUGAACCAAUGGCCUUUUAUUGCCUGCACACGCUAGAAUGCGGAAUAUAUGCACACACAUACACACGCCUGAAGAUUGACCCGAAUGCAUCAGUUGCCCACGCACCAGCUUUGUGGCCAGUGCCUUCUCAAUGGCCGCCCGCUCGUACACCUGACCCGCCGCGUUGAUGACCGGCUCCACAAACACUGUGGAGCCAGCAAUGAGAGAAGGGGCGGAGCAUUCAAGAGCAUCUUGUUUGGGGCAAUUCCGCUAUGACGGCACUGAUGUCACCCAGGUUGUCCCCUCAGCACAUUAUGCCGCACCCAGAGGCCGGACAUGGCUGAAGCUGCCAUGCCCAUCGGAUGCAGCCUGUGCACCGGCCUUCCCUUGCUCACGUUCGUGCGUGAUGGGGCAGAUGAGGUCACUGGGGCUCUCCAGCCACUCUGCGUCAUCCGGCGCGUCGGAACUGACGCUCACAGAGCCCCGCGGCCCGCGUAGGCUGCUGGAAUGGGACAGGGCGCCCCCGGCCGUCAUGGCGCACCCAAAUGCGUCCCUGUGAGGCCCCGUGUAGGCCGAAGCUGGGCGGCGGAGCAGCAGCUAGCAGCUGCCGCAGCGCCCAAGGCUUCGGGCAGCUACCAGUUGCGGUGCGAGCACUGGAGGUGGGGUGCGCCGGCGGCUGGGUCAGCCGCUCUCGUCGUCCUGGCAGGGGUAGGUGGGAGUUGCAGACCACGUUUUGAACCCGCGAAGCAGGCUCUGCAAGGACCACUUCGCUGACGCCCUGCCAGCUUGAGUACCGAAACGGUGCUACGCGACGACGAGAGGUACUAUAGGACAGUCAACAAGGCCCCCGCGCGCACACCAGGUGCUGAACACCUGAAAAGUCAAGCCCCUGUCCCGAAGACGCCAACCACGAUCGCUAAAAUAUUAUCUGUAUGCAACUAUAGAUCCAUAUGGAUGCUUACCAGCAAUUUGCAAUGCCUAUGAUAUCGGCUUGGACCGACCGGAGACUGGCUCCGCGCGCUUCUAUGUAAAUGCGUUUGAAUAUGUUGGUAGUCAGCAGCAGAUUGGUAUACGCAGGUAAUCGCUGCGCCUCGACCGCGAUUUGGGAUACAACGCAGCACCAAGAUAAGUUCGUGCCCGAUGUUGGUCCAGCCCUGGGAUAGCUCAAACAAGGGCUAUGUAGUGUACGCGUCUGCACCUGUACUCGUGGCGCUUCAUGUAUGAAGGCUUCAUGGCGACGGCCAACCCCAUUCGUGAAGACGGUGUGCACACCUUUGCACAUCCGUCACCCGAGACACCCGGCCGGCUCCCGCGGUUGCCCCAUCCUGACCGUCCUUCACGGCUGCAGCGCGACCAUUCAGGGGUCAUGAGAGGAGGUGAAGCAUGCUGCGAAGGGGCUGCGAAGGUCAACGCGGCCGGCGCCACCAUGCGCCAUCCUCACAUGUGCAGGUCCUGGUCCUGAGGAGCCGUUCACCCCAAGGUUCACCAUCAAAUUCAUCAUGCCUUAAUAUCCAUCUGUGGGGUGUUAGAUGGUUGUGCAGUUAUGGUGUCACGACCAGGCUCACACCAGGGGCACACGCUAACACAACAUAGUCAAAGUCAGUGUACAGCAGCACGACGGUGCAUCAACUACGGUAACCGGUAUUGUGCUAGCCCGCAGACCCAGUUCUACUGUUUGCGGCCAGUUCGAAUUACACUACUUACAACAUGGGCAUAUAGCAUGUGCAAUUGUGCAUGAUAGCGUUUGCCUGGCUUAAGGUGCUGCAACGUGUUCACACAAAGGUUUUGUUAGUUUUGUGUGCGACCAGGCCUUGCUGCCGGACGCGCUGUGGAGCUGCGUGUCGGGGCGGCCGCACUUCGGCUCUCUGUGCUUCUGCCUGUGCGAUGACCCAGGACUACCCGGAGGCCGUGCAGCAGGUGCAGGUUGCACGUGGGGCGGUGAGGGCGGGGCGCAACUACUGUAGUCAAGUGUGUGUGCGUCCAGCUAGGGGUCUGAGUGCAUCCACGGCUGCGGCGGCGUUGGCAUCCGCGACAGCUGCUGCGUCAGCCCACACAGGCGCCAUGUUUGCGUCCCGGGUCAACGACGGUGGCCACGCCGUACGGCUGCCGCAGCAAGUAGAGGUUAGGUGACUCAGUGAUGGCUAUGACAACUCCAAGCCGUGAGUGUUUGCCGCACGUGCCGGGCAGGUGCCGAUGUAAGCUUGCUUUUGUUGUUUGGCGUGCAUGCUGGUCUGCCAACUGCCCUUGCAGCGUGGGAGAGGCGACGGCAGCAGCAGUACCAAUGAUAGGAGCAGCAGCAACAGCAGCAGUGGCAGCAGUAGCAGCGAACUGGUGACCGUGAGUUGCGCAGACGGACCUGCUACAGUUCAACGGCCCACGGCUACAGGCCUGCAGCCCGAGCAGGCGAGGGACCUCAUCCCGGUUCUAUCGCUGGAAAGCCCGGUAGGGGAGCUGGCGGGACUGGAGGGGGGAGCCGGAGCAGCCUUCAACGCUUUGCGCCUCAGGUGAGCAGCAAGCAGUUGGCGCCGAGGGGCGUUAUGACUUAUGAAGGAAAGUGUUAGACCCCAUCCCCCGAAACCCUUAGGGACCCCCCAGAAACCGGCCGACCGACACCCGACCACCGCAAUGGUCCCAAUCGACUCGUCUUCAGGUAAUUUGCGGGCUGCCUGCACAAGUUCACGUGCGCGGGAUUCAUGUUGCGUCUGUACUCUUGUGGGUUGGACAGCGCGGAACGGCGAAGGAGAGACCUGAAGGAGUGCCGUUGACACUUCUGAAAGCAUCACAAGGGGCUGCAGCUGCGAACUGGGGCGGCGCCCAUCCGUUGGGACGAAAUGGGCGGGAUUGGGGAAGCGUGUACCUGGGUGUGGAACUGGAUCGCGCCAAGGACAGGAGAACUCACCCCGUUACUCGUGCUAGCAGCUAAUUUUUUACAGCUCAAGUACAACAUUCAUGGUUCAAAUAAUGAAAGAAGAAUGUGGCCGGCGCUUGCUCUGCUGAGUUUAGUGUUUCUUGCAACGGGCCCAGGGCCACCAGGACUCUGUGCUGUCGCUUCGGAACUACACAGCCACACUAUAGUUAAAAAUCGGACCUGCGCGAAGCGCGGCGAUGGCGCAUACUGCUCGCUUGGUAAAGUUCGCGGCUAUGUGGGCCUUCUGGACACAGCCGCCCAGCUCAAGGAGGCUCUGGAGGCAACAGCUUUCAAGAAGGAAAUUAUAGUGUUCGCGGAGACACGUAUGACUGACACCGCACAAAUGUUGGCUAGGAUGCGUGGGCAGGCCGGGUAUGGGCACGUCAUGGCGCUAAUGAACGAGGUGCGCGACUGCCAGCGGCUCGCUAGGGUGAUGAUAUCCGCGCACCAUGAGCAAGGACCGGUUAGCUGCGGAGCCUACACCAGUAAAGACGCCAGGUGAGAGGGGGGGUUCUAUCGGCGGCAGGGGUUGCGCAGCAGCUGUCACCGCUGUCACCACAUUGUGUCUGUCAGUGGGUUACCCUAUGGGGAUAUGUCCCACCUUACGGGACGAGAACCUGUGUGUAUAUGUGUGUGCAUGUGCAUGUGUGUGUGUGUGUGUGUGUGUGUGUGUGUGUUUGUCAUACAUGCGUGUCUUCUGCCUGAACUCCGGCCACCGCCCCACGGAAACAACGCCGGCCCAAUCCGGACUGCCACGUGUGGGGUGCACCGCCCCGCAACCCCCUUUGCUCCUCCCCUCGCCAAUCACCACUCAAUCACACACACGCUCGCACAGUGGCCAGGAUUACCCCACGGGCUGGUACCUCAUGGCCCGACAUAUGGGCUUCACGGCCUGGUGGAAGAAGUGGUUCACCGUGGGUGAGGAGAGCGGGGAGAGCGGGGAGAGCGGGGAGAGCAGGGGAGUGGGAGUGGGAGUGGGGAAGGCGAGGCCGUAAACCCGACUGGUGUUGACCGGCGUUGACCGGCGCGGCGUCACGGGAAGCGAGCAAUGUGUUGCGUUGUUGCAGUGACGCCGUCCUGCCUCCAUUCAGCCUUGUGUAACAACCGCUGGUGGGGCUGGGGGUUGUCUGUGCCUCGCAGCCCGAUCCGUGGCUCUGGGCUACAAUGUCCUAGCCGUGGACAGUGACGUGGUCGUGUUGGACGACUGGUACUGGCGCGCCAAGCAGCCGCCGCUCAGCAACUACCAACUGCUCAGCCAGGCCGAGUGCCCCGUGUGCAUCAACGGUGUGUGGGCGGCCGGGGGCACAGCGGAAGAGUUGCUGACGCUUGCUUGACAGCAUCUUUGCAAGCCUGUGAAGCGUGUGCAUGUGGUCGUGUUCGUGUGCCGCACCUGGCUCUCUUGCGCAGGUGGUUUCUCCUACAUCCAGAACGCCAACCCCGCGGGCCCCGUGGCGUGGAUGUUCUAUGAGGCGGUGCACAGGGCCGGUGAGGGGGCGGGGGGGGGGGUUGGCUCAGGAGCAUGACGGGACGCGCUAUGGAGUGCAAAACUCGGGAAGCUGUGUGAAGCUGCGUGGCUCCGGGUCCCUGACGCGCAGCCCACACGUUUGAAUGCACCUGGCGCAGUGCGCUGGACGGAGGACUGGAGCGCGGUGGCGGCCAUAUCUCCAGUCAGCGGUGAGCUGGCGGGCCGCUUGAUGCGAUUGCCCAAGUCACGUGCGGAUACCGGGAAUGCGAACGUCCAUGCCUUCAAUUACCGUACGAUCACUCGCAACUACUUCUUGUUGGAUAUGCCGCAAACAGCCCCUAACCAAUCCCUCACACCUUGCCCCCCGCCCCCGGCCGCCCGCCACCCCCCACCGUCCACGCUCACACAGCGCCGGACCACAACCGUGUGGGCAUGGUUGACGACCAGACCAUGUUGACGGACGUGCUGUACAACUGCAUGGUGGGGCGGCCGCAGUUCAUGGCGCUGUGGUACUACGUCAAGGAUGACCCGGAGGCGCUGGCCAAGCUGCAGGUCGCUAGCGAGUCGGUGAGCGGGCGCCGGGUGGUUGGCCUUGGUCUACGGGUUGGUUCAGCUUCGGGCCCAAUUAGGGCAACCGGGGCCGAAGCACAGGGGCCUGGCAGUGAGGUUAACAGGAGAGGGAGAGAUUGGCAGUGGGGUUGGGAACAUACGCAGGCUACGUGGCGGGAUCGGUGGGAGGGAAGACGAGGGGGUUUGGGGUUGGGGCGGGGCGUCAGCACGCCGCAGAGUACCCCACACGCCAACUGACACACCUCCUGUGUCGCUACAGGCUUACCGGGAGCGAAACACGCCCGCCAACAACUUCUCUGACUGGGUGCGUCGACGUCGGGCGCCGGCCUCUGGUGCUGUGUGUGCGCGGGCGCCCGGCUUGUGUACAUCACAUUCUCCGAUCUUAAAGGAAUUCGUUUUUCCAACCGUUGCGUACUCCGCGCCAGCUACCUGCACCGUGGCAGCGCAACCGGGAGUAAAUGGUCUGUGGCAACGGCCUCAAAGGCUGCAGCACUGAGUCCCACUCCGGCGGUCUACAGCUGUCCGAGCAUUCUUGACUGCUGGGGUGCCACAUACGGACGAUCGUGUGCCGGUCUGCUGUGUGUGCCGGUGUGGCUCGCAGGUGUUCGACGUAGGUCCAGGGCUGGCGGGUCUGGUGCGUGAGAGCUUCUGGGACGUGAGCGGCGCCAACGGCGGCGUCAAUCUGGCGUCUGUGCGCUUGCGCUCCGCCACACUGCGCAUGCCUCACAGCGGUAAGGAGGCCCAUGUGCGCGACACCUCGCCAUGCCUGUGCCUGUGUAACGGGUGGUGUCUCCUGUUCGGGACGAACUUGGUGCAAAUCAUAACAUUGUUCGCACGCGUGAAGGUGCUGCUGCCACAAUCGUAACACGCUGCGUCAACUUGUCCCUAUGCGCACCAAGGGCCAAAUCCUGCUGCCUGCCCGCCCGCACGACCGGCCUUCCCCGCAGGCGGCGACUGGCCGCUCCCGCACGGCUCGUAUCCCUUCAACCGACAGCUUGGGCCGCGGACACAGGCCUUCAGGCAGGCUUUUAAGGACCUUGGUGCGUGCAUGCGUGCUGAAGUAUGGUGCUGUGCGCUUUGGCUGUCGACGAAGCGGCCUGUUCGUGCCGCGGGUGGGACACGGAAUGUAGAGCGCCGUUUGCGUCGUGCCGUGCAGUUCACGGAGGCGGCCCUUCACCACUGGUUCGUUCAUAAAUAUUUCCUAGGUGUGCCGCUGCCGCCCGACCCCGAGGACCCCGCCACGGAGGCCAUCGCUCGCGCAACUAAGCCGGAGAACUUCACGUUCCUCAGUCUCGGUGAGCUGUUGGGCGCACAGCGAACACGCCGCAUGGCGAGCACGCUUGGGACACGAGUUAGGCCAGGCCUCAACUUGGGCCACGGUGCCCUUACACUGCCCUGGGCUGCCGCUGCCGGUGCUACUGCCGCUGCAAGUGCCGGUGCUACUGCCGCUGUGGCGCAUACGUGCAGACGCCGGUGAGGGCUGGCGGCUGGGCGGCUGGGCCGAGUCGACCUGGGGCUCGUUGGGCCGCCUGGGCUACUGGCACAACCACCUGCAGCCGGCGCCAGUGCGGGUGGGCAGCGCGGGCUGUGGGCUGUGGGCUGUGGGCGGAGCAUUGAGCCGGGGUAGCAGGCGUGCCGACACGUGCAUGCUGAUGUCCAUCCCUCUGCGAUCAGGAUGUCCCUGCUAAACCGAUGCAUCUGGGUAGCAACUGACUUCCGACCCCGUGUCCGGUUGUCGCGUGGCCCCUCGUGCCACACCACCCCAGGCCAUGGGCCACAUCCACGCGGGGCUGUGGCCAGGCGAGGCGGUUCAGAAGCAGGUGGUGUUUCAGGCCACUGGCCACUUCGACUGGCGCGUGGCUGCCAGGUGCGUGCGUGCGUGUGUGUAUGAAUAUGGGGUUGGGCAGAUGCGUGCUGGUAUGGCGGCUGGGAGCGAUCGAGGGCACGCUCUUGCGUACCGUAUUACUGUCUGUCUUACAUGCGUGCCCUGUGUGUUGUGUCACGGCCAUUCUACACAUGGUUCCAGGCUGGGCGGCAGUCCCUCCCGCGCCUACUUCGCGGCCUGGCCGGGCACUGAGGCCUUUGCGAACGCGCAGCACGACCGCACAGUGGAGCUGCGGCGUGUGGUUGCGUACGGCCCCGGAGUUGUCACUGCCAGGCUUAGUAAGUGUUGCUUUGCCAAGCGUACGUUUUGCAGGAAUUCCAGGCGACGAUGUGCAGAGUUUGACGUCGAUGCGCUCAUUGUUGGUGGAGCAGCUUAAUUGCCAGGUCUAAGUGUGGCACUUGCCGCUCAUCCGAUCACUAUGCAGAUAAGACGCAGUUCCUCGCGGCGGCGCGGGGGCUGGCGCAGGUGGCGGUGUCACUGGGGGCGGUGGCGGCGUGGCCGGCGGUGCCCUGCGACGCCGAGUGGGUGAGUCGAGGGAAAGCCUGGAACACAUAACAUUGCCCAAGACCUCGAGCCAAGCUCUCGGCCCCUCCACACCGGUGCACAGGCCCUCAGCGACGUGGGUCGCAACAUGUCGCGGCCCAUCCGCCACUCCAUUCCCUGGCUCCACCUCAACACCAAGUUCGUGGUGAUGCCCUUCGGCGACAGCCUUGACACGCUGCAGUGCGAGUGGCUGGGAUUCGCAACUGCAGGUACCGUAUCGCAUCGUGCGCAUUACUUCCUGCUGCCAACCCAACGCCUAGGCCGUUCGUCCGUCGCUUUGCCUCCUACGCCUCCUCAGCCCACCUAGCUGCGUUAGAACGGCCAUGCCUGCUCCUUCUCCGCCGCCUGCUCACCGACCCCACCCCAUACGAUCCCGCACGAUUCUCACCUACCGUCUUCAGAGUGCCUGAUGGACAACCGGCGCGACGGCAGGGAUGGCGGCCGUGCCAUGACCGCCAUGGAGUUCGAGCACCUGGCCCGACGGAGGGAGCUGGAGCUGGCCGGGUACGUGCCGCAGAGCACGCCGUACAACCGCAUCAACGAGCUGGUCCACAUGGGCUCGCCGCUGCGGCACCUGCCCACCCCGAACAACACGCUGCGGCUUGGCUCGGUGAGGGGGCGGCCUGAGGGAGUGCAUGGGUGCCGGGAGGCUGAGCGCAUGUCGGGAUUUGGGGCUGGUGUUCGCGUGGGGAUGGGGGAUGCGCGGGGAUGGAGUGGGAGUGGUUGGCAGGGCGCGAGUCUAAGCGGCCACCUGCCCCACACAGCUAUCCCAGAGCGCCAUGCACACAAGCAGCCUCCUCACCGCUGCAUCCUGCACCGGUACCCUGCCUGGUACAGGUCGCCUCCGCGGCUGGCGCGGCACCCAGCAGCAGCGCUGACAGCGCCUCUGGCAUCGGCAGCAGCACGAGCAGCACCAGCGGCCCGUCGGCUCCGCAGCUGGUGGCCGUAGCGAUGUUGGAACUGCGGCAGCUGAAUGCGGAGAUGCUGAUGAUGAACCAGCAGCCGCACGAGCCCGUGCCCGUGUUUUGGCUGGACCGUCUGGUGGGGGAGGUGACGGGCAUGCAGGGGCGGGCGGCCGCGGCGUACGACACGUGGAGGCAGCGGUGAGUGCGGGGGCACGCGGCUGGGUUUGUGGGGCGGGUGAAGUGUGUGAUGAUAGCGGGGUGGCACGAGUAGCGGAGCCGGGGCCAUGGCUGCAGUAGGGGCACGUUUCAAUGCCUGCAUCGCCUGCCGUACCCAAUACCGUGCGCGUUGAGACCGCGUGUUGCUCGGCCGAUGCAGGUGUAGAGCCCUCCGCUACGAGGAGCUAGGGGAGUACGAGCGAAGCCUCUUCUAGCUGGUGCUGCACUGACAAGAGCAGGCCUACUGUUCCUGCAUCGAGGUUGUAGGAAUUGACGUGCGAUGCGGCGGGCGUGCAUCCGCGCUGUGAGACGCGCAUGUGUGCAUGUGUGCAAGAGCGAGCCUAGGGCCCAUGGGUGUUUACCAAGCGUGGCCGCCCGGGACUAUUGCAGCCUGGGGUAGCGGGGUCGCAUAGUAAGUAACGUGCGCAACAGAACUUUGGUGUCCGGUGGUGGCAGUGGUGGCUUUGGCUGGGCGUGCGAUGGGACAGGGUUUAGGCAGGUUGGCGAGGUCCCGUAGUGUGCAGCUGACGCCCAUACCCCGAGCAGACAGCAAACAAUUGGCCGCGGCAGGGCUGCGGGGGGUGUCUGUGUGAAUUUGUGUGGGUCACGACAUGCAAACAUGAGCUUGUGCUGCAACGACUGUGGUGGGGCAGCUGAGCUGCUGCGCAGCUGCGGUCGGAAUGGGUGCGGCCCAGACAAGGCCUGGGUAAGGCUUGAGGCCUUCAGCUGCGAUUAUGGGGGCACCCUAUGCGGGCCCCUGCCCAAACUGGUAUCUCCGAUCUCGGCCAGCACCACUUAAAAUUACAUGGCUUGCUCGCCUCUCUCCUCGAGCUCGCUUCUAACUGGCUCCCUGUUGUAUUCUAUGAUGGCCCCGGCGACUCGUUCCGUUGCUCGCCCCCUCCUCUUCCCGGUCCCGGCAAAACUGUGCAUAGCCGCAUCACUAGUAGGUUGCAAAAUUGUAGAUCACAGCACCUCCUCACCACAGCAUCGCCUCCCGACCCACAGCCAGAUCACAGUCGUCUUUCUCACAUGUAAUGCCCAACCGCCGCCGCCCCCCAGCUCAUCGCGACCGUACCUCCACCACACUCAAGCAUCCCUCCUACCCAUCGCCAUUUCCCCGGCUUUGCCGACAGCGAGGACCUAAAACAGGUCGGUGUUGCGGGUGGGCAGACUGCGCUUGAAGAUGGGCUCGUCGUCCUCGCCGCCGCCGUAGCCGCGCGAGGCACCGUACUGGUUAACGAAGUGGCCGUCGCUGCCCUUGCUGCCGCUGCCGUAGCUGCCGAAGCCGCCGCCGCCGCCAAACGCACGGCCGGAGCGGCCCACGAUGGCCACGCCGCUGCCGCCGUGGCGGCCGCUGAAGAAGGGGUCUGAGGCGGGGUCCAGCAGGGCGUUGCCCACGUCCGCACCACUCGCCGGCGGCUUGCUGCUGCGGCCGCCCUUGCCCACCGUGUGCCACUGGUCCUCGUCGCUGCCGCCGCUCGCGACACUGCCGCCGCGGGCGCUGCCGGCGCCGGCGGCGGCGCGCAGCGCGCCACCGCUGCCGGCAGAGGCCGCGUACAGAGCGCCGUUGGUGAGGCGCGUGUCACGCUCGGACGGGUCCGGGGCGCCGCGCUCACGCAGGACCUCCUCACGCGGCCGGGCCGCGCCGAACGGGUUGUGUGCGCGCUGCGCGCCGUCACCGGCGACCGGGACAGGCACGGCGGCGGCGGCGGCGGCCGGCGCAGCAGGCCCCGGACCCGCGGCGGGCACCGGCAGCGGCUUGGUGCGCGGCUGCAGGUUCAGGCGCGGGCGGGCGCCAGCCGCCGCGCCAGGCGGCGGCGGCGACUCCUCCCGGUCGCGGCGGGGCGGCACGUACACGCCCGCCGCGGCUGCGGCGGGCGCCGCAGGCGCGGGCUCGUCAGUGCCGCUGCCGGCGUUGCGGUUGCGCCAGGCGUCAGCGGCGUCCGCCGCACCUGUGGGCGCCAGGCCGUUUGCACGGUAGGCGUGCACGCCACUGUUGCCGUUGGCGUCGACCGGCGCGUUAGGGCCGUUGCGCCACUCGGCGUCACCGUGGCCGCUGCUGCCGCGCCACUCGGACUCGGGGGCCGCGCCGCCGCCGCUGGGGGGCGGCGGGCCGCGCGGGGAGCUGGCGUAGUUGCCAGAGCCCGAGCCGUUCGAGUACACCGGCGGGCGGCUGGGCGGCGGCAGGUUGUCCGCGGUACGGCUCGAACCUGUGCGAAGGAAGCAAGAGGUUGCAAAGCGUUUGAUUAGCACGGAUGCAAGAAUUAGGGCUAGCCCAGGUAAGCACCUAACUGGCUUCGCAGGUCUAUCCAAGACACAAACAAGCCUCCAAGCCAGCUUGCCAAGCAGCCACGCACGCGCUCACCUCCUCCAAUCAGGCUGGACUUGACGGCGUUCAUGCGCGCCAGCGCCUGCUGCGCCAGCCGCUCCGCCCACUCGUUCUUCACCGGCUCCGCAGCCGGCUGCUCGGACAGCGCAGGCUCCGGCUCAGCGGCCGCAGCAGGGGGCGAGUCCGGCUCCACGACGGCAGCCACCACCGCGACAGGCACAGCAGGAACGGGCGCGGCGGGCGCCUGCGGCGGCGCCGGAGGGGCGGCAGCCUGCUGCUGCACAUACUGCUGUUGCUGGGCCUGCAGCGCCUGCUGCUGCUGUUGCUGCUGGUACUGCUGUUGAGCCUGGUGCUGCUGGGCCUGCUGUUGCAGGUGCAGCUGAAGCGCCUGGUGCUGCUGGUACUGCUCGUACGCCGCCUGCUGUUGCAGGUGUUGCUGGUGCUGCAGCUCGAACCCACCCAGCCCCAGGCCCUGCUGUUGCGGCGCCGGAGGCGCGUACUGCUGCUGGUGCUGCUGGGGCGCGGGCGGCGCCGGGGCACCCGCGAAGGCGGGUGGCGGCAGCAUCUGGCCGUUCAUCUGCAUCUGGUAGCCGUGGCCGUUCAUGCCGCCGUUGCCGAACAACGGCGGUGCGGGCCCCAGCGCGCCACCCAGCAGGUUGUGGUUGAAGCCACCGGUGAGAUAACCGCCCUGCUGCUGCGCCUGCUGGAAGUGCUGGAAAACCAGCUGGGCCUGCUGCUGCUGCGUCGGCUCCUGCUGCUGAGGCAGCGUGAACUCCGGCAUCGGCUGGCCAAACUGCAGGGGCGGGGGCGCGUAUUGCUGCUGCGCCUGCGGUGGCGCCUGCUCAGAGACCGCUCCAGGCGGCGGUGCCACCUGUUGCUGCUCGUGCUGCUGCACCGCAGGAGCCGCCGGUGCCUGGCUCUGCUCUGGGUCGUGCUGCUCCGACCGGCCGUAGCGCGGAGGCCGCUGGCGGCGGUUGCCACCGGCGGCGUCACCACUGGGUUGCACUCCGUCGCGCUACAAAGGGGUACCAAAGAUGGAGGGGUUAUUUCUAAACGGAGUAAGGCAGAGAGCACGUACAGAUGAGCAGGACGAAACACAGGCCACCCUCCGGUGCAUACCGGUAGACGUACCUCUGCAGAAACGGCAGCAGCAGCGCCACCAUCCAUGUCGCCGCGGCGCUUGCCGCCACCGCGGCCCCUGCCAGCGCCCCGCUCCGUGUCAGCACCGGCCCGCUCAGCCACGCCGGUGCCGGCGGUGUUGGGCUUCUGGCGCUGCUGCUGCGGCCCCGGGUACUGCUCGUUGGGUCCUGGCAGCGGCUUCUUGCCUUGCUGCUGUUGGGGCUGCGCGCUUGGGGGGCGCACGUCCUUGCCCUUGCGCGGGGCGCCCUUACCGCCCUGCUGUCCGUCAAUGUCCCGCUGCUCGCCGCCCUGUUGCUGCUGCUGAGGGCGCGGCGGCCAUGCGUCCUUGCCCCCCACGGGGCCAGCUCCUGCAUCCAGCCUGGGCUUCUGCUCCCCGCGCGGCGGCUUGGGCUUCUGCUCCUGCUCGCCGCCAGGCUGCAGAUGGUCGGCAGGAGGGAUGUCCGCGCCGCCACCCAGGCCCCCUCCGCGACCGCGGCGACCGCGAGCCCGCCCGCCCUUCUUGUCCGCGUCCCCCAGGUCGCCCGUGUCACCGAUAGGGCCGUGUCCUCCGGCUCCGACCCCACCGUCGGCUCCUGCCGCCACUCCGUCGCCACGUGGCGGGCGCUUGUCACUGCGCUGCUUGGCCGGCCUUGGCAGCCGGUCGGCAGCGCCGUUCGCGACAACCAUGUCACCGCCGUCUCCGCCUGCUCCGGCUCCGCCACUUGGAGCGGCUCCGUUAGGCUCGCCUCCCCGGCCGCCACCGCGCCCGCCCCGGCGGCGUGGCUCGCGGGCUUUCCCGGCUCCGUCGUGGUUGGCGCCGUCACCAGCCGCGGGGCCGGAAUGGGCGCCAGCAGGAGCGCCUGCGUCACGGCCGCGCACGCCACCUGCAGUAGCUGCAGGUGCGCCUGCUGCGACACGUGGACCAAGCACGCCUCCGUUGAAGUUUGCACCCGGAGCGACUGCGGGGCCGGGCUUGCCGCUGGCGGGCCUGCUGGCAGCGUGGUUGGGGCCGGUGCCACUGGGCUGGGGCCCAGCAGCAGCAGCGCGGUGCCUGGCACCGCCAUCGACAUGGCCGUCAACACGGCCGCUGUUGCCAUUCUGAUUGGGGUUGGCUGGCGCUACGCCGCUAGCAGCCUGGGGUCCGCGCCCGCGUCCACUCGCCGCGCCAUGGCUUGAAGCCGAAGGUUGCCCACCGUUGUCCCGCUUCGCUACGACGUCAGAAGUGCCAGUGACAAUCCUACAGAAGGGAAAAAGGACACAACGGCCGGAGAUACGAAGCAAGGUGAAUGCGAGGCCCGUGGAAGGUUCGACACAGAAUUGGCGCCAUGAACCAAGGCCCUGAGUGUUCCAGCAGGGUGAUUCCUCAAGAAAUCAUCAGCCGUCCAGUUUGCGAUGUCGGCGAGUCCCGCCCCUGACUGUUCGGGGACUGCCAAGAACCUGACUCAAACUUUGGAAGAUCCGGCUCACCGCUUGCCAGAAGGGAGCUCGACUGCAUUUGAUGUUGUUUUGGUCGACGUGGUAUCAUUCCUCUGGCCGUUCUUGGCGGGCUUGCUGUUUGACAUAAACCUGCGGGGCAGCCGCGACACACGUCGGCAGAAAUCUGUCAGCAACGUUCCUCGAAGACGUCAGCUCAAACUUGGCAGGCACGCAGCCAGCAGCCCAGUCUGCUGUUCGCUGUGCCAAGCAGGGCGAUGCCGGGCCGACGCUGUUGGCGCGGGAACACGGCUCGCAAACGGGCCCCGCAACAGGCAAACCCCGCGUCCGAGGUCCAGAACCGCGACGCAACUAACUCAGGCACACAUAAGUACUAUGCGCUGCCCCUGCGCCUAGCGGACGCUAGGCUAAGUCACACAGAUGCGGCCGCUCAGGACACUCGGGCCUUAGAAAGUCGCGAGGCACCUUGCCUACCUUAACAAGGGUAUAGGAGCGGGACUAAGGUGCAGCACUAGUAGCCAGCGCCCGCGCGGCGGGCAACUUUUUGUUGCAAGGCCCGCGCCGGGAUGAGAGGCCCGAUGGCUCGCAGUCGCCCAGCGUCGCCUCAAGGCAUGGCUGCGCCUGGCCCUGACAUACAUAAUAGUCAGUUUACUACACUCAGCAUUCACUCUGCUGGUUGAGGGGAACCGCAGCAACUCGUCUGAAUCUCCUCCCCCGCCCGGUCAGCCCUGGACGGACUAUACUAAGGAGCUUGGUUGGAGAAUGGGCAGUCGGGACCGCUCCCGGUCGCGCGAUAGACGGCGUUCCAGGUGCGCAGCCUCCGGGCUCGCUUUGGGAUGAUUCAGUUUGCCUCGACGUGGGCCGGUAAAUACUGGAACAGCCCAGCUGGUGAAGGCCUCAUGUAGCAGCUGAGGCUGCAGGCCAACCUAAGGUCGAGGUCUCACACGAUCUCCUCCCCGCCCUCAACUGCAGGUCAAGGGACCGGUCUAGACGCUGGGACCGCUCACGCUCGCGCGAUCGGGAUCGCGAUCGGGAACGGGACCGCCGUCGUAGGUGAGCGUGGCCUUGCCUUGCAGGCUUGGCUGGAAGCCGGGGAGGGGUGGGGUGGGCUGCGCGACUGGCGCGCUGCGAAGACCUCAGCGCUAACCUCGACCCCCGUAUUUGGCCUUGUUAGCAGCAGGAGUCGGAGCAAGAGCCGCAGCCGGAGCCGGGAUCGCACCAAGUCGUCUGGUGCCUAUGACGCCAGCAUCAGCGCCGUGCAGGUGAGUCGGGCGCACGCCUGCCGACUGUAGUUUACUCCCCAUGGCUGGCUGCUGUCCACUUCGGUGCCGGCAACUGUUUCCAUCAUCUGCUUGCACGCCCAUGUGGCACGUACGGGGCACAGCAGCGAUUAACUGCACUUACCGCCCAACCGCCACAGGCUAUGGCGGCGCUGCAACAGCAGCAGCAGCUGCAGCGCCAACUCCUCGCGCAGCAGAUGCUGUUGCAACAACAAGCGGCGGCGGCGGCGGCUGCAGCGGCGCUAUCCAAGCCGGUCAUGGCGCAGCAGAGCACCACCGCCGCCACUGCCGACCGCAAGUCUCGAGAGAUUUACGGUAGGCAGAUCUACGGUAGGCCAGCGUCGCGUACGCGCGCGUUUGUGCCUGUGUGUCAUUGCCAUGCUGCACACUUGCUGCUUGCCUGCUUGCCCCAUGCUUGCCCUUCUUUGUCGCCCCUGCAUAAAGUAUAGCAUAUGCUUGCCUUGACCACUGACGAGUGCACACCGCGUCCCGCACGGCCCCUGCCGCAUGCGCUCCGCCGCUAACCUAACAUAUCACCUGCUUUCACACAAUUGUGCUCUCUCUCUGCGCCUUGCGCCGGCGGUGCCCUAUCUUUGUUUUCAACUCAUUGCGCAGUCGGCAACCUUGCGAUUGGCGUGGUGACGGCCGACAUGCUGAAGGAGCUGUUCAACACGAUUCUGGCCAACCAGGUGACGGACCCCGCCAACUCGCCGCCCGUGGUCAACGUCAACCUGGACCCCUCGGGUGAGUCAGGGCAGGCCGGCGCGCCCCCUCACGCUGGCACCCUUAAGCACCCGCCGAAGCCCGAUGCAGAAGCCCCUGCCUUACAGCACCGUGGCACCCUGCGCCCAAGCAGCUUGCCAACACUGCUUCCCUUCUGCCAACUUACCAUCCACGUGCACUCGCAGCUGGCCGCUUCGCGUUCAUCGAGUUCCGCACGCGCGAGCUGACGGACGCCGCCAUCCAGCUGGACAAGCUGGAGCUGUGCGGGCGCCAGAUGAACAUCGGCCGGCCCAAGGGAUACGUGGUGGGUGGAUGGGCAGAGGGCAGGGGUGGGGAACUGGACCGUGCCUGUACGCAAGGGCACACGGGUCGAGCGGGCAAUGCCGGCCAGGCGCCGGACACGUUGCGUUGUGCGGCCUAUCAUAGUCGUCCUGGUUGGCCGGGGUUUGGCCGGGUCGCUAUGCAUGUGUCCUGUUGACGGCAGAGACCGACCUGGCUGCCCCCUCCCGCUCGCCGUGUCGCGUCUGCAGGACCCCAACGCUCACCUGGUGAACGCCGCCAAGAUUGGCCAGGCGCAGGUGGCGCUGGCCACGCAGUUCACGCUGCCCGGCGCCGCCGCCGUGCCGGGCCUGGCGGGCGCGGCCGCCGGCGUCCCGGGCCUGGCGGGCGCGGCCGCCGGCGUCCCGGGCCUGGCGGGGCUGAUGGUGACGACGCCCACGGCCAUUGUGCUCCUGGAGAACAUGGUCACGUGCGGGACCAUCCGCGACGACACCGAGCGGAAAGAGGUGAGGUGAUGAGACGUGAGGGUUUACAGUAGAUUGUGUGCGCUUGAUGAGCUGUAGUUUGGGUGUCGGUAUGGACUCAACCGGCCAUGCGCAAUCACGAACACGACGCCCAAUGGUUCUCUUCGCCGCUGCGCCUUGCGUGUGGUUGCCCUCUCUGCUGCUGUCCUGGCCCCGUGCUGCUGCUGCUGCUGCGCGCUUUGGCUGCUCCUGCCCCAGGCAGCGGCUUUUGGGCGUUGUGGCCCCAGGCUCGCAAUGCGCAUGGCGCGGCUGUGCGCGCGUGCCGGCGGUUCGCGAUGGAGCCCCUGGCGCUUUGCUGUGUGCUGCCGCCUUCUGCCUGCCCUCCGCCCCCUGUGUGCCGUUUUGCGCUGUUUCCCUCCGCCACCUGCUUGCCUACAUGGUGUCUGUCCGUGUGCUACGGUUGUGCCUGUUUCUGUUUGGUGUGUGCCCGCCUGUGUUUGUAUUGGUGGCACAUUGUGUGUGGUCUGCUGUGGUGCAAGUGCCCUGCGCUGCACGCAGCUGUAGCUGCCCUUGCCCCUGCAUGGCUCUGCUGUGUGUCGCCCCUGCUGCUGCGUGCUUUGGUGUGCUGGUGUGCUCUGGUGUGCUCGCGCCUGCUGUGGAUGCAGCUGCCGUGUCUGUAGGAUGCCUGAGAGUAUGCGCGCGCCGGACGCCGCCGCCGUCGUGAUGCGCCAAACGCGAGGCGCACGCGCCCACGCGCCGUGCAGACCCAGGCACGCGCCACCGAAAGCCACCGUUCGCCGCAGUGGUAGUGACCCUUCUCGCUGUCAACGCGGACAAUCUUUCCUCACACCAUCGCGGGCACCGCUUCCCGCCACCGCGGCCACGCCUCCGCACUACACCCGUCCUCCCCAUUCCUAGCCUCCUCACCCCUCCCCCGCUGCCCGCCACUUCUCCCCCGCACAGAUCCUGGACGACGUGCGCGCCGAGGUGGUCAAGUGCGGCGCCGUGCUGGGGCUGGCGGCACCCAUGCCGCCGGCGCACGUGACCAACGCCGAGGCCAGCCGCGUGUACGUCAAGUUCGGCAGCGCGGAGGAGGCAGGCCGCUGCCGCAACAUGAUGGACGGCCGCAAGUUCGACGACAACAGCGUGCGCGCCAUCUUCGUCACCGAGGCCGAGUUCCUGCGGGCGCAGACGGGCGAGUGGGUGGGCAAGCCUGGACUGCUGCUGGACCCCUCGGCGGCGGCGGGGCCCGGGCUGGCGGGCCUGGCGGGCUUGGCAGGACUGGGCGCGGCUGCGGCGCCAGCUGCCGCGGCGGCGCCAGCUGCGGGCGGGCUGGUGCUGCCGCCCGGGUUCUCGCUGCCGCCUGGGUUCAGCAUUACGGGCGCGCUGCCGGGCCUGGGUCUGCCCAAGUAGCGGCGAGAGGGGAUUGGAUACCUGCCACUAGGGAGCUGUGGAGGGAGCGCUGCGCGGCGGGGCAGGGGGUUGCGACUGAACCUGCUGAGGACAGGGUGUUGUCCAGGUUGACGUCAUCGGGCGCCGUGUGCGGUGACCUGACAGAGGUGUUUGACUGAUUUCUGACGAACGGUCGCUGGUUGACAGGGUCGAGUCUGGCAGGAGGCGGUAACAAAAUGGCGACUGCGAGAGUGCGGGUCUCAAGCCGAGUUGAUGGGGUAACGCCUCGGCAAUCGUGUCGGCAAUGUUUGCGGCAAGUGGCCAAUGUAACGCACUCCGCGUCGUCUCCACACAACUAGAGUUGCCGUCCUCGCGCCACACAAAAAUCUUGACAGGUUUUGGUGACAGGUGCGCUUCUUCACUACCCAGGUUCACUACCGACAGGGGCUAGCUAGAAACGGCCAAGACUACCUUGCCUUUGAUCGCAGUCGCCCAAUAGUUUGGGAUUCCUUCUUUACACUAGUACCUUGAGAUAGGAACAAGGCAAGCGGCACCAACUGCUCCGGCGAUGCGCGGCGUUAUCGUCGUGGCGCUCUUGAGCGCGUGUGCUUAUUAUCUACGUAAGUAUGCGGCAUUAUAAGCAAAUAGUUUGGGGCCAUUUGCAAGCAACAGUCCUCAAAUGCAACUCGCCCAGCUUGCAGCUUGGCUCAAGACCCAACGAUGGGGGUCUAAGCGGGGAAGGGGGCCGACAUGCUGGAGCCCUCACAGUAUGCGGUCGCGGGCGAUGGAAUGGAGAGAUCGGGGUUUAGAGGAAAGGCGCGUGUGUGGGUGGCGGGGUGUUUGUUCCGCCAUCGAAUGCACACACGCCGUGUCCCAACGGCACGCAGCAGGGACGCUUAACCCGACGCUGCCUUACCCGGCCCAGCGCUUCGGAUUCGCGCACAUUGACCCGGCCACCCUGCCGCUGGACAACUCGCCGCUGGAGGUGUGUGCUGGUGUGUCCUGGCGGGGGGGGGGUAUCGAAGGCCCUGGCGGGGCUGCGUUGAUUGUGCCUCCUGUUACGCGGUAGCACACCAUAGCGAUACAAGGAAACUUCGCGCACGGAGUGCUGGUGCUUUCCUAGUGCGCUGACCUUUAACAGCUCAGCUGGAAUAUCCCGUGUUGCCCCCCUCAACUUCUCCUUCCUCACCCAGGGCGUGUACGCGCGCAAUGAGGUGCUGCGCAAGGCCCACAAGCUGUUUGACGGCGUUAUCGCGUCCUCAGGUGGGGGUUGUUGGGGCAGCCAGGGCGCCUUGCCGCCGGUUGGCCUUGGAGUAGUUUUGACUCCCGGUCGGGCCAUCCCUCCUGCCGCCACCACAACCAUGCCUCGUGUUCAAGGCCACGACCUGCGUAGUACCUGCCCCUGCCCGCAUCCAAUUGCCGCCGCGCGUACGCAGAGACCGUGGCGGUGUCACCCGAGGGCAACCUCACGCUGGUUGACAAGCACGGGUUUGUGUACGAGGCGGAGCCAGCAACCAAAGUGAGGCCGGGGGGGGGUGAGGGCGCGGCUGGCUGGCUGGGGCGGGGGCGGGGAGUUAAGGGAGUGGAACACGAGGCGGGGCGAGGGAAACACGGACUAAGCACUGUGGCUUCUCGAGCAAGGGCGAGAGGGUGUGAGGGCGGGUGCAAGGGCGGGUGCGGGUGCUUCGUACACAACGCUUUUACAAACUGCCGGCCUUCCUGCCUUCCUUCCUGCCUUCCUUCCUUCCUGCCUUCCUUCCUGCCUUCCUUCCUUCCUUCCUGCCUUCCUUCCUUCCUGCCUUCCUUCCUGCCUUCCUGCCUGCCUUCCUGCCUUCCUGCCUGCCUGCCUGCCUGCCUGCCUGCCUGCCUGCCUGCCUGCCUGCCUGCCUGCCUGCCUGCCUGCCUGCCUGCCUGCCUGCCUGCCUGCCUGCCCGCAUGUGUAUGUGCCUGGCAGGUCCCGGGUGCGGUGUUCACGGGCGAGUGGGCUCUGGACCUGCCCGCCACCUACUACCUGGGGCCGGGCCGGCCGCUGGGCUUCCACCACGACGCCGCCGGCAACCUGGUCAUUGCUGACACACUCAAGGUGGGGCGAGGGUCAGUCGGUGGCGGGUGGUGAACCCUGGUAAACUUGGCGCUGCACAUGAAUGCGGAUGUUACAGAGGGGGGGAGCACAUGGAAGGUGGGACGGGCCCGGCGCAGUGGUCAAGCAGCGCCCAUGAGGAGCCACCAUGCACUCCGGUCUGUACCACUAAUGCCAAACAAGGUAAACUUGUACGUAAACAUGUAAGCAGAACAUAACCAGCGCGCUCUCUUACUCUGCAGCUCGAAUUCUUCCUCCCUCCGUCUAAACUUGUCUAGUAUGUUUGCAAUCUCUCCCCCAAUACCACUGGCUACAACUUCGCUUCUUAAGCAACUAUGAAGGUACCCACACACACACACACUUGGACCUAUUGGACUCGGGCACAUAACCUCCCCGCCCCCCAUUCCCCGCGUCGUCGUGUUGGCCGCAGGGCCUGAUCCGCCUGGACCGGACCACCGGCGCCGUGGAGCUGCUGACGGCCCGCGUGAGCGCCGACUCAGCGCUGGCCCCGGACACUCCGCUGGCCUACGUGAACGACCUGGACAUAGACCACGACACAGGCGUCAUCUACUUCACAGACUCGCAGGUGGGGGCUGAGGUCAGCAGGUGGCGAGGACCGAGGCGCGGGGAGAAGCGCAUUGGAGGGUGGAACUACGAGGGUGGGAACGACGGGUGGGAAACCGACAUGCGGAAAGGACACGGAAUUGGCCGGGCGUGAGACCAUGAAGCACGUGGUAUCCACAAGGACACCAGCAGCACACGUGUCAGGCAAAAUGGCUGCCUGCCCGCUCUGCCACCUCCAGUCCAUCCCCGUGUAUCCGGACCGCGAGACCGGCACCUUCUACGACACCUUCCAGUCCUACCUGCUGGGAUUCAUCGGGGUGAGAUGCAGUGACAGGGCCCACAUGGCCUGGUCGUGAGGAUGAUGUAUCGAGGAUGUUGUAUGGGGACGCGACAUGCAUGACUCGGAUUCUGGAGACGUCGCCAACGCUGGCAAGGUGCGAGCUGUGGCAGCAAAGCUUUAGAGGCCGGCCUUGCCGCAAGUUCAGCCCGGUCCUGAGUCGGCGCUGACUUCGCACCCCGCCCCCCCCCGCACGCCGCAGGGUGACGUGGCAGGCCGGCUGUGUCGCUACGACCCCGCCACGCUGCGCACCGACGUGCUGCUGACGGGGCUGUGGUUUGCAAACGGCGUGGCUCUGGCCGCUGACAAGAGCUACGUGGCUGUGGUGGAGACCAACCGCCUGCGUGUGCACCGGUGGGACCCGGCGGCUGGUCGACCAGUCGUGUGUGUGUCUUUGCAUGGGGCAGGCAAUGGGGAGUGAAUGAGUGCCUGCCUUGGUGCCCGUCUGCUCGGCAAGCAGCCGCGUCGGACGGGCACGGAUUAACCAGGUAUGUGUGGAGGCACGCGGAUUGUAUUCGUUGAGCUGACAACCUCCGCCUCCUUCGGCCCCGCCGCCUGCAGCUACUGGCUUUCUGGCCCCAAGGCCGGCACCUCGGACCUGCUCAUCGAGCGACUGCCAGGCUUCCCCGACGGCAUGUCGCGCGCGCCUGACGGCAACAUGUGGCUGGCGAUCGUGGCGCCGGUGACGGGUCUGCCGAAGCUGCUUAAAAGCAAGGUCACGCGGGUGAGUGGCGCAGGUCAAAAGCGAGGUGCGAGGAGGACGGAAGGGUGUGUGCCGGCGUCCUGGCAUGGCGGUUUUGUGUCGGUGGGCCGGGCGCACACGCCGGUGCAUUGCGGCAUGUUGGCAAGGCCGAUAGAGCACACGGCGCGCCGGUGUAGGGGUUGUUUGCCACUUUGUCGCCUGCCACCCAACCAGCCCUUUGCCUCCCUGUCACACGCUUUGUGUCUUCCUUCUGAGCAGUACUUGAUACAAUGCCAAGCACGGCACCAGGCCACACCACGUGUCACAUCCUGCGCCCCCACCGCCUGUGCCAACCCCUGCAGUUCCUCCUGGCGUACCUGCCCGCCUGGGCGCGGCCGCGCAUCCCCCGCUGGGGCGCCGCGCUCAAGAUCAGCCCCACAGGUCAGCCGCUGCAGCUGCUGAUGGAUCCGGACGGCUCGCACAUCGCCUUUGUGAGCUCGGUCACCGAGGUGGCUGGCCGGCUGUACUUCGGCAACGUACGGAUGAACUAUGUGUCGUACCUUGACUUGAAAGACGUGUAGGCAAACGCGACGCGGCGAUGGGAGGAGUGAGGGAGGAGCGGAAUGCGGAGGACGGGCUGAAUGAAGGCAGCGGGGGCUUGGGAAAGUGCGUGCGGUUUGUGUUUCCGUCCUCUCGCCUGUGGAAGAAGUGUGGGGCAGGCGUUUGGGUGCUGGCAGACGCGCGCGAUACUGCCGUGUUGCGAAUGCGCAUGGCCCGUUUCUGAUUGGGCUAAAAUGCCAUACAUACCGGAGGUGCGAUUGUCAGCCUGUCAGAGGGCAGCCCACGUGGCGGUAAUGCUGGUCAUUACUAGGUGAAAGGAGCAAUCGAAGGGCGAGGAACUGCGACACACACGGAGCAAUGGCCCCGCAGCCCGCCUGGAUUAGACGGAGCUACUGGACUGUCGGUGCCGCACACUCCCACGGGGUGCACAAAUGGCACGCUACGUUGUCGCUUUAAAAUAAACGAGUGUCCGGGACUGCAAAGCUCGACCCCUUGACUCGGCACCCGCGCCGGGUCGCACUCGUGGCCGCACUUCCGGCCCCCUGCACCGGGUCCCGCCUGCAGCCUGCGCCAUGCGGCUGUUUUGUUCUUUCAGGCGCUGCGGUAUGGAGUGAUGACGCCCACAGCUGCACAUCGUGUUCGUCAGGGGGCAGAAAGGAAAGGUACCGCACAGGAACAAGGUGGAGGAUAGGAACGUGGGGGAUGGUGCGAAGUUCUUUGGGGUUGGUGUAACCCGGUUAGAGCGAUGCUGCUGCUCUCUAGCGGGGCGUCCAAGGUCUGCUGGCUUCGUGCGCAGGGGCUGCGGGAUGCUACGUAACCGAGCAAGCCGGGAUACUGCCUUCUGGCCACGGGACGCAUUGAUGCCUGGCCAAGAGGGGCCAAGUCUUGUGCCAGGUCUCCCUCCUACUCGGGCUUCGCUUGCUUACGUUAGGAUAUCGUGUGCUUAGUCAGGACUGGGGAGUGGUGCAUUCAGCCGGUGCAUUAGUGCUGACAUGCGCCAUCACCGUUCUGGUAAAACUCCGCUACCGGGCACAUCGUUCCCCCCCACGACUGCAGACGGCGAGGUACGAGCAGGUGAAGUCGUAACCCCCCCCCAGCACGGUAGCGAAGGAAGCAACACACAACCAAUAACCGAGCCCCCCCUACGUCAGACAGGGGGAAUGGCGAAGUCCACACACGUUCACAAACAGCACAUCACACCAUGCGGGAUGACAUGCGAGAGUGUUCGUGCCACGCAACACACUGAGACCUAACCUCUACAGCACGAGUCCACUAGGUCAAGUCAGUCCAGAUAGCUAGCUCCGGGUCCAAGCUAGCUCCAAGCUGAUGGCUGAUGCGGCAUGUACGCUGGGAUGGCGCACACGAGAAUGCUGCUUGUGACUGGGGCACUGGGCCGGCAGGACCACGCAUGGAAGAGGGGUUGAGGGCGAUGCGCGCCCCCCCUGCGUGAAGGCGCCAGUCACACCUUGCGGUACGGGCACCGCGUUGCCCUUCCCCAGACGCUGCCGUCGAUGGGUCGUCCUUUCAAGCUAAGGCUAGAACUGCUGCUAGCACCACGCCGGGUGGCCGUUCACUGGGGAACGCAUAGAAGAUAGAGGAGCAGUAGGGUAGGUGCGCUGACUAAGGUUGUAGCAGCUGGACCAGAAUGGAGAGGAGAAGGUCCAGAGGGCGAUAACCACAGAUGUGGCUGCGAGAAGUAGAGGCGAUGUAGAGAGUGAAGCGAUGAAGAAGAUGGAGAGCCAAGUAUGCAUGUCCGGCAGGAUGUCACCACACGCGUGGGAGUGACGCGGAUGACGCUAGCGCGUAGAGCGCUGACAAAGAUACAAUAUGUCGUGUAGAGCAUAUUGCGUAGGAGCUCGCUGCGAGGACGGAGCUCGCUGAGGGAGCCAAGCCGCCGCAAGUCGCCAUGAGAAGGUCGCGCGCCAGGGCGCGACGCAGCCCAAUCUCGAUAGAGCAGAAAUGAAGAUGUGGGUUGUGUUGCAUCGUACGUGCCGAUUAUGAACCCGUCACCAACCGUGUUGACUUGCAAGACGCGGAAGGGCCCCGGUGGGGUUCGGGGGCGGCACGGGUGCUGAGGGGCGGGUACCAGGGGCGCCGAGUAUGCGCUGCGCUCCAGGUCUCCCUAUCCAAAACCCUAAGGACCGACCCGAAUCAGCACUGCAGCGGUGUCAGGACAGCCUGGGACAGUCUGCAAGUACCAAUCCCCUGUCCCCACCUGUCCUAUCCGAAUCCGUAAGUGCGCAAAGCAAUCCUCACCUGCCCUAUCCCAAUCCUCAAGUGCCGACACCAAUUCCCACCCGACCAAACCCAAUCCCCAAAAGUGGCGUUCCAAGCCCUGGCCGGUCAAACCCAAUCCUCAAGUGCUGGGUCCAAUCCUACUCUGGCCAAUCCAAUCCACUGAGGGGUGACCGGCGGCGGGACCUAUCCAUACCCCAUACCACCCCUCUCAUUGAUGCCCGUCCAAGUCUUGUGCCAGGUGUCCCUCCUACUUCACCUAAAGCGCCCGCAUUGUUGUGGUCGAGUCUCUCCACAUCCAGUCCAACCUCCCCACACGGCGUAGGGGUCUCCUUGCUGCGCGGCAUUGCUUGCUGCGCGGCAUUCAAACAAGCUUGCGACGGUUCAUUUUUCAAUGGCGUAUUAUCUUAUGUUUUCUGGAGUCGGCUGGAUAAAAGGGAGAGAGAGAGCGUGGGCCACAUUGACGCCAAACCCACACAAAACCGCCAUGCCACGGCACGCCCCCCGCCCCCUUCCGUCCUUGCGCCACACCAAAAUCGAGAGCACCCGUGGUUGAGGGCAAAGCGCCCGCGCUGCUAUCUGCACCAAUAGUCAUGCACGCGAACUAUGUGGCUGAACUCCUACAUGAUGAUUUGGCAGAACUUGAGCGCGCCGCGGCUCCACUCAUCGGCGGGAUGUCCUUAGCGAAGGCGCUGGAACGCAUAGUUUGUCGCUUUUGCACUUCUCUAUCCUUAAUGACAUUGGACAUGUCAUCAUGGGUUUGGCGUGAAUGUGGCCCACCGACGCUACUUCCGCGGAACACUACUGCACCGUACGGAUUCAUGGCACUUGGUGUCUUUAGGAUAUUAGCCACACAGCCUGGCUAAUACAGAACUAGUAGUCCAUAGUUUACAGGUCGCUCCACAACAUUGGAGCACUACACGGGGAUUUAUCAGACUCGCACAGCCACAUCGCUGCGGGCGACGAAAUCCGCUCCAUACCACCUCUGCAAAACCUAGCGGGAGCUCCAGCAAUAGCUUUUCAUUUUGAUAUCUGAAGAGCACCAUCCCCUCUUCGCCCGGCGAAAGCGGUUCAUCUUCGGGACCAGGACCAAGCGCGCUCAGCGGCUUGAGGAGCUAAGCUUCUGUUUGAUACACAAGCAGUAUCCACUGCCAAGGAUACUCAGUCGCCGAACUCUGCCUGUGACUCGCACCUGUUGCGUGCGGCAGUAUCAACAUGCGGUCAAGACUUCUAUGGGCCUGCGGGCUCGCAGCGCUUCUGGCGCUAGCGGCAAUGUAAGUUGAAUUGGCAUCGGCGCGGCGAGCAACGCCAGCUGGGUUCUGAGAGACGGCGUACAACCGCUCGCCGCGCCCGCUGCCCUCGCGGCCCAGCUGUGCGAAUCAGCUCCUCAUGCCAUCGUGAUCGUGACUUGAAGAUACAACCAAGCGUUAUCUCACUGACGUCUGACUCGGUUCCGCUUGUGAGCGUGUCGUCUGACCGGUCGACUGUCUUGCCCGCCCGCCGUUUUCCGCCAUCCUCAGGCCUGCGGCGCUUGGGCAAAAGAUCUUGCCGAAGUUCCCCUACUGCCGCUGCGUGAAGAAGGGACCCUACGCCCUGGCCAAGAACGUGGACGAGAUUGACGGGUACUACUGCUUUGAGAUUGAGCAGGUGCCCUGCGGCAAGGACAAGUGCUGCAAGAUGGAUUUGCGCAAAGUCGAAUUCGAUGCCAACGUUGCGUGCCGCGACACCACCAAGGUCACAGCCAUGGUGAACGGCCUGCUGCCCAAGCAGCAGCCCACCUGGACGGCGCCGCAGGACACGCCCGCCGGCAAGGCCGUGCUCAAGCUGUCGGGUCUAGGCCUCAACAUCACCACCGCCCCCGGUGAGCUAGCUGGCUAAGCAUCGAGCAGGCACAGCCCGGCCCUUGAGGUUUGGCUUCAGCUGCUGGCUGGAAAGUGAUGAAAGGAGUGGGCAAAAGCCGCAAGCGCUGCCGUUCAUGCUGCCGCCCCUUUCGCCGAGCCGCCUGCCUGACGCUUUUGUUGCCUCCCGCUCACCUGCCGUUCACAGGCUCGCUGGUGUGCCUGAAGCUGGACGGCCAGUGCAACACGCUGGAGAAGCUGUGCGCCGUGCCCAAGGGCCAGAUGCCCGGCAUCUGCGCCAUCAGCAUGUUCAACACUAAGGACACGUGCUGCCCCAUCUCCCAGACCGGCUGGCCCUUCCCGCCCCCGCCCCCGCCCCCCAGCCCGCGCCCGUCGCCCCCUCCCCGCCCCCCUCCGUCCCCCCCGCCGCCCCGCAAGCCCUCGCCGCCCCCCUCUCCCCCUGCCAGCUGCCCCAUCUGCAUCACCCUCAACACCACCGACGUGUCCCUGACUCGUGAGGUGUGCGACAACCUGGCUGACUACGUCAACUCUGUCUGGGUGGACCGCUCAAACGCCACGCUGCUGCAGCCCUUCAGCUGCAGCCUGGCCACGCCCUCCCAGGUCAAGAUCUGCGCCGUGGCUGAGGGCAAGCCCGACACGGUGGAUUUUGCUGGCAUUGCGGAGGACACUUACGAGAUCCAGCUGAUGCUGGAGGAGCUGGGCCUCAGCUGCGCCUUCCCCAGCAUGAUGGGGACCAGCAUGGUGUACCUCGUGGAGUACGGCACGUGCCGCGCCGUGUUCACCUACGUGCAGGACUGCAAGCAGCCCGGCCCCCAGCCUUUCCCCUUCUGCGUCUGCAACCGGCGCCCCAAGGCCACGCCCUUUGCGCUGGACCCUACCAUCCGCGUCAAGCCCGGCUCCUCGCCGCGCUCCACCAACUACUGCUGGACCGCCACCACCGUCGCGCCCUAUGACCCCACCUCGCCCUGCGGCAAGACCAAUGAGCUGUACAAGGCGGAGUUCUACGUGCGCAACAACACGCGCGGCGCCGUCACCGGCCUCACCGCCGCCGGCAAGUCCUGGUCGCCCGUAUGGGACAGCGAUGGCAAGGUGUUCCGCCUGACCAACCUGAUGUGGACCGUGGACUUCGUCAACACCAACAAGCCCCAGAUCUGCGUCGAGCUGACGGGCAUCACGCUGGGCCAGUUCUGCGUGACUGCCAAUUGCCAAUACGCGUUGUUUGACGCGUCCAAGAGCUGCUGCCCCAUGGGCACUGCCUCGCUCGGGUAAGCGCUGAGCAGCGCCUCCAGUGACACGUCAGUCGCGUUAGUGCCGAUGCGACACUUGUGGUGGGCGGGUUCUGCGGCCUGGCCCCUCGCUGUCGAGUGCGGCACGAGGGGCCCGCCGCAUGAAGCACAUCGUGGACUGCCGGUAGAGCGUCAUGGACAGAGCCGUUGCGGUCAGUGUUGUGGACUUUUAUAGUUAAGGCGGGCGGGCACAACCGUGCAGGUGGCCGGGCGUGUGACAGUCCAUGCUGUGUGUAUGUGUACGGCGGCGCAGGAGGGCCCGCGCCGGACAGCGGCUGCAACAGGAAUGACUUGGUGUUGUGACGCAAUUUACCCAUGCAUAGGAAGUGGCCAGUAUUGAUUCAUAGAACGCUUGAGAGCUCUUACCAUUUCCACUUAGCCGUGAAGUGCCUGGGGCUCAUUAGUGGUGGGAUGAAUUCUCCUGCCUGAUCUAGUAGAUAGUGCUGUGUCGUUCCUUCAUAGCUGUGACAAAUUGAUUGCUGCACAGAAGCUGUAGACGUCGGCGCUGGUGGUCAAAACAGCAGGCAAGCAAGUGACGCACGCAAGCUAACAAACAAAAUGUAAGAGAGAAAUGCGGUAUCCGACUGUCUCGACCUACCGUAUGCACUCUGCAGCCUGGAACACAUACGGUACAUGGGCUAGCAUGCGCUUUGGGCCAGGGAACCAGACGCAGGAGGAUUUUUUGGGGGGGGAUACGGGGGAUGUACAGCUAGCGAAAGUCAGAAGCCAUGCAACAUACAAGCUCAGCGGCCCAUGUGGCCCCGGCGUUCUGAUGUCCCUGUAGACAGCGCCACAAAGCAACAGGCCAACAGCCCAAAAGCAGUCUCCUACUGCCGCCUCUGGCGGCUCCGUCAACCCCAGAGGCACUGUAGGUGUGCAGGCGCAGGCCUCCCGCGUUUGGUCCCGGCCGGGUGUACAGGCGUACAGCUCUUCGGCGUGGACCGCUGUUGAUCUCGCAUCUGCCGCUGGCGCCGCCGCAAGUGAUGCCACGGCGUGCCAGGCUUCUGAGUGGCCGCGCGCGUGCCUGGCUUUGCUUGGCCCGCAGCCACCAUUGCAUUGGCUACCGUCGUGUGCGACCACAAGCGGUUGUAUAUAUGUCUCCUCUCAAUGCCGCCAGGAUGGGGCCCUUGCCGGGCCACCGUCGGCGCGGUAGCUUAGGUUAGACCUCAGCCAGGCCCAUCACCAUAACGUGAGGACAUUGGGGAGGGGAAAGACGCGCUGUCGGAUGGGGGGCGGAGCGGCGUGUGGGAGCAGCGUGUGAGAGGAGGUAGCCAGGGAUCGAGCGUGAGCACUGCGACUGUUGUGUGAGCCUGGUGGACGUCAGGUGGAUGCAUACGGGUGCGGUUUAAAGUGUGCAACAUGCGCGGACCCAAAUGUUGACGGCUAGCGAGGGCAAUGAGUGCACUGUCGGCUUAGGUUACAUGCUUACAGCAUGAGUACGCCCGAGGCCCCGGCUGGGGCGUCCCCUGAGUGCGGCAAGACUCUGGAUGUGCCCCCUCAGGUGGUCAAAGCUGGACUUGGAAGCAUAGCCCGGGAGAGGCCUAGGGUAAGCACGUGGCAGGUAGGGUAGGGGUGCCAAGAGCGGACCAAUGGACCAUGAUACCGCUUGCGUACAUCUUGUGCUUGGAAUGUAUGUCUCAGCCAGUCGGGCCUUCUUUGGCGAACUGGGCCUGCGCGGCUGCGCGCUGCAAUGUAUUGUGUCCUGUACGUGUCCUCUCCUGCCGUUCAUCCUCCCUCGUGUCAUGACAUUGGCCCAUAACAUGAUGCUUAUGAGGCACGCCCCUUGGAUCGCUUGGCGGUCCGCUAGUGUGGGACCGCUAUGGUACCAGGGUUUGGGCUUGGGUGUUUCCCCCCGGCGAUGCCUUGCAGCUCUUUAUGGUGUUUGGCAUAAGGUUACUGUAGAUGAGCUAGUUGCAUGGGGGGAGGCGCCCGGAACCCGGGAAAGUGCUCCGCGUGCAUGCACAGACCGUGUGCGGCAGUUUCAGCGUCAGCAGUCCCAACAGCCGUUGCGGUAAAGGACGGUCUGUCCAGCCCACCCGCUUUGCUGGACUUCGUGAGAGCACCAUGCAAGUCCUUCAGGUAACCGAGUUCGCAGGGUUGCCAUGCCGCAGUCUGUGCGCUGCUGCGUUCUAGCAGUAGUGGCCCCAGCUGUCUCACACACCCCAAACAUCUGCUGAUGGCGGUGAAUUACACGAGACCCUGGAUGCACAGAAGAACCACAGCACCGACGUUGCCACUUGCGCGGUUGCAUCGCAUGCUGGUUGUACCAAGGCGAGUCCCGGCGCUGCUGAAAAUAGAUGCGCACCGCCAGGAUCCAAUACACAGGCAUUCCUCAAACCAUACAGCGUGCUCGCUAACCGCGGAGCUGUCCCAGUAAAGGUCAACCUCCGAGACAUCCAUCCACGCUUUUUUCGACACGGGCUCCAAAAGCUUCUCCUACAUGGUUUUAUGAUGCUAGAAUAGAAAAUAAAGCGUUGUGUGGUGACCGAGAGGCAAAACAACGAGCUCGUCGGCCCUGACAUUCUGGCACUUCUGCGCGAUACAUCGCGACCUAUGCCGCGCCGUAAUGCCAGGUAACUGCACCAUCCGCUUCUCAGUGCAUCCAAAGAUGUCGCGAGAGUCCAAGGCUUCCAGACUGCUUGCUGGUCCCGGGCCAAUCUCGCGAUCAAGAUCCGUACCGGUACGGGGGGCGCGCAAGAUGGCCAGCCCAUUUAACCCCCGAGCGUCGCCCAGCUCUUUACAGCCUGCUUUGUUCUAGCUGUCUAUACCAAUCAAAAUGGCCGCCAUCAUGAAGUCCUCCGUCCGCAGCUCCGUGCGCUCCACCGUGAGCAGCCGGGUGAGUCGCUCCCGACGCGCAUGCGCGGACUCGCUGCUCCUCUCUCUGCCUUGUGUCCAGAUCCUUGCGUGCAUCAGGCACAUGGAGCUCACUGCUUUGGUACAUGCUAUUGGCCUGGUCUAUGCGCUUCAGAUUAGCUGCCUUCACCUGCUUUCGUUGGUCGCCAUCCUGACCUUGUCGCGUCCAACAAAUUUUGCCUUGCAGUCUGCUCGCGUGGUGCCCCGCGCUGCCAUCGAGUGGUACGGCCCCGACCGCCCGAAGUUCCUGGGUGAGUUACGCAAGAUGGCUCUUCAGGGACCGCCUUACGCCUUGCAGCUGAGAGCUUCACUGUGCCUUCAACCUGACCUGCAAAUGCUUAUUACAUUCAUAAGCAACGCCAGCAGUGCGGAUCUCUGGCCAUCCUUGCUCGGAUAUGCGAACUCGAUACUGACUUUACCUUUGUCAUGUCGUUUGCUUGCAGGCCCCUUCUCGGAGGGCGACACCCCCGCCUACCUGACUGGCGAGUUCCCCGGCGACUACGGCUGGGACACCGCCGGUCUGUCGGCUGACCCGGAGACCUUCAAGCGCUACCGCGAGCUGGAGCUGAUCCACGCCCGCUGGGCCAUGCUGGGCGCUCUGGGCUGCAUCACCCCCGAGCUGCUGGCCAAGAACGGCAUCCCGUUCGGUGAGGCUGUCUGGUUCAAGGCCGGCGCCCAGAUCUUCGCUGAGGGCGGCCUGAACUACCUCGGCAACGAGAACCUGAUCCACGCCCAGUCCAUCAUCGCCACCCUGGCCUUCCAGGUGAGCAGCGCCUUGUGAUUAGGGCCAUGGGUGGGGUGGGGCUUGCUGUGCAGGGUGCUUCGGUCAGUGCGGUCACUGGGGCCCGCGCCCGGUAAGCAAACUUGCUAAUGGGGUGUACGUACAUCUCAGCUUUGGCACGUGCAGCAAGGCAUCCUCAUCUCUUGGCCAUCCAGCUCCAGUCAUUGACUGCACCCGACCCGUCCUCUGCCCUCUGCCUUCCCGAUUAGGUUGUGGUGAUGGGCCUGGCUGAGGCCUACCGCGCCAACGGUGGCCCCCUGGGCGAGGGCCUGGACCCCCUGCACCCCGGUGGUGCCUUUGACCCCCUGGGCCUGGCUGACGACCCCGACACCUUCGCUGAGCUGAAGGUGAAGGAGAUCAAGAACGGCCGCCUGGCUAUGUUCUCCAUGUUCGGCUUCUUCGUCCAGGCCAUCGUGACCGGCAAGGGCCCCAUCCAGAACCUGGACGACCACCUGGCCAACCCCACCGCCGUGAACGCGUUCGCCUACGCCACCAAGUUCACCCCCUCGGCCUAAAUUUUUGGCCCUCGGCAGCUGCAUGUACUGGCGUGAUUGAGCGGAGAUGAAGAGGAGCGCGGUGUCGAUACAGUGUGAGCCUCUUUUCACAGGCUUAGGAGCGCGAGGGACGUGCGAUUAACCGAAGUGGCGGUGCUACGUGUGCUACGGAGGUUCAGUUUUGUGUUCGGGUUUUGCUUGCGGCUCAUGUCGCCCCCUUGAGAAGACUAAAAAUGGCUUGACGGCCACUGGUAUGUUGGUUUGCGAUUUGCCCUUGUUGUGUAACACGGCAAGGAUUCAAGCAUCUCCAUCUCUCGCGAGCCUCUUCUGGGUAGGGGAAUAAGGUCAGACAAGGUGGUUCAAGUACGAUCACCAGCUCGAAAGCAGCAAGCACGGAAUAACCUGACUCGCUUGGGCUCAGCCAUGAGCGGGGCUAUCCGGGUGUAGGUUCUACCGGGUUCGGUUGGCUACUAGAGUAACGGUUGGGCUGCCUGGGCAUCAGCAGCAUGCGUUUGUCUGCCUGUGUGCUUGCACACUCAGGUUGUGCCCGUGGGUUAUGCCCAAGGAUGUGCCCUCUCUUGCGAUCACAUGCGGACUCCACAUCACAUGCGGACUCCCUAAUCACGGAGGCGGUCUCCCCUCGCCUUAGUCCAGGAGUAAAGCUCUGCCCUGCCCAGUACUGAUGAUGUCGCAUCCGUCUGCGCAUGUACCGUUUCCACGCACUCAGGAUGCGCUGAAGGCACCGGCAACUUCUUACACGGGAUGAAACAAGGUGAAGGGCGCACGGGAUACUGUCUGAUGCACUGACGCAGAUGGAAACAGCGAACAGCGAAUGGCUGAGUAGGGCGUGCCGGUAGUGAAGGAGCCGCGUCCACCUCCCAGCGCCCAAAACAAACAUCCUGCAUGACAACGCCAGCAAAUGUAACCGAUGUCCACGCCCGUCCAUGCACCCGAUGCCUGAUUGCAUCACACUGCGUGCUGGGUGCCACCGAGGCACACCUCGCACUCUUGCAAGACCUCUGCACGCCUGGCGCCGAAACGCGCUGCUGCCUGGGCCCUGUCGCUUUUGGCGCUGCCGCCCCGCCUCGCCACCGUCAAUUACUGCAUCCUGUGCCCCCACAACCCUACGACCCAAACCCCAACGACACACUCCACACACAACCCUGGCACAACUCCGGCGUUCGACCAGCCAUCACUUCUGCUCUGCCGCUGCAAAUUGUUUGCCGUCUGCUUGGGGUAUGGGCGUCAGCUGCACCCUACGGGACCUCGCCAACCUGCCUAACCCCUGUCCCAUCGCACAACCCUGGCACACAGCCUCCUACGACACACAAACACGCGCCAGCCGCUUAAAGGCCGCCAGCUACACCUCUCACGUCACCCUAUGCGAAGCCUGCGGGUGGCUCCCACGUGGUCACGCCGCUGGCUGCGUUGUAGUAGUAGGGCCGCCCCUCGCCCGUGUAGUGAACCUGCCAGCCGCCCGGCGCCUGGGUUGGGCGGUGGAGAGCAGCAGGGGAGGGCAGGAGGGCGGGCAGGAGAGCGGGCAAAAGGGUGAGCCAAGACCAGAGCAGGUUGCAUGGGCACGGUCGGCACCGUGCGUGACCGCACGGCAGAAGGCUUCACAAGCGCUGCAACACGCAAGUGCUGCGUGCCUGGCGUGGUCACGAUCCUAGAGCUCUGCUCCCUAGCCAACAAUUCAUGCGCCCCCUGAUAACACAGGCCCAGAACCCGCGCUCGCCCCCUCGCUUGGCCACCCUCCAAGGCCGCCUCCCACACGCGCGCGCGCCCGCUCCCACAUGCCGCGCCCGCUCCCUCCCCACACGCGCGCCCACACACCUGCGGCGCGGGCUGCGCCUGCGGCGCCGGCUGCUGGAAGUAGGUCGGGUAGGCCGGCUGCUGCUGCGGCACCUGAUCAAUCAGCGACACCGCCGGCGCCGCCACCUGCACCGGCUGCUGCGGUGCCUGCCCGUAACCGCCGCCGUAGCUACCCGCAUUUCCAUAACCGCUGUAGCCGCCGCCGUUGGGCUGCUGCUGUGCGCUGGGCGACGGGGCGCCGUACGAAGGGUGGCGCUGCAUUUGCGGCUGGCCGUAGCCGGGCUGGGCCGCGGCACCGCCACCGCCGCCGCCGUAGUUGAGGUCCAGGUCGCUUGCGAGUGCCUGCGCGCCCGCGAUGCCGGCUGCAGGGGGGGGGGGGCCAAAAGCAGUCGUGCAAAGUGAGGUCGGUGUCGGUGGGUAGGAGGUAGGCGGGCGGCUGCCGCUGGUUAGCCUUUGGCGUCAGCGCCCGACCGAGGCAUUCGCCAACAUGCUGCCUAAGCUACCCGGACCCGGCUGUGGCCCAGUAUCGUCGUGAAUCGUGAGCUCUUGUCGUGCCGCCUCGACGCUCUGCCGGGCCCGCCCCUGCCCGGACCCUGCCCCUGCCCCAACCGCUGCCGUACCUGUGAUGGACUGGUACCCGCCGCUGUACUGCCGGUUGAGCGACGCGUACGGAGAGUUAUCCACGCGAUACGGGUCCGCCGCGCCUGCGCCGCCACCACGGUUGUAACCGCCGCCGUUGCCGUUACCGUUGCCGCUGCUGCUGGGCACGGCGUCGUAGCCCACCACGCUGACCAUUGUGCUGCUGAGGUUGGCGCCGCCGCUGCCGCCGUGGUGGUGGCUGCUGCUGCCGUGGCGGCCAGAGCUGCUGGCGCCGCCGCCACCGCCGCCGCGGGGGCUGUUGCUGUUGGCCUCGAAGUUGCGCUCCAUCUGGCGCAGCCACUCGGCGGGGUUGCUGGAGGGCGUGGGAGCGGCCGCCGCCGGCUUGGGCUUGGGCUUGGCUGGCGCCGGCUCGUCCUCCACACCUGCGCGCCCACAUAAGCAGAGGCCCAAGGCGCAUACUUUCAAAGAAGACACGUCAGCUCAGCACCCCGUGCAGGUCUUCCGUCGUCGUCGGAUGGCCUGUCGGGCCUGUCGUGAUCACGUGGCCCACCACCGGCGAUAAAGCACGUGCGCUGGCCCGCCCAAUCCACACCCCUGCUUCUCCGUCACCGCCAAUUUCCGACCAGCAGCAUCCACACAGCCCAGGCACAUGGCACUCACCCGCGAUGGUCUUGUGUAUCUUGGCCAUGGCCCCCUCUAUGGCCGACACCCACUCCACCACCUCCGUCUCCGUGCUCGCGAUGUAGUGCACCACGCCGCCGCUGGUGGUCUUGAGCUGGAUGGUGUUGCCGCGGCCCGGCAGCACCUUUUGAGUCCAAGGGCGGGCGAGAGGAAGAGACAUCGCAGGUGACACACAGGCAAAGUCGACGCAGUUGGAGGCGGGCGAGCGCAAGCAGGUCGGGUAAGAACCGCGUAGUAACCGCGGCCCCGCUCUCGGCCCGCCGCCCCGCCUGCAACGACUUCUUUUGGACUCGGGCGUACAACCCCUCCCCGUAUGUUCCUCCCUUGUGCCCUCCCCCAUCUUCGGUCAGCCUCCGCCAGCUUCCGCCAGUGCUCCCAACUGGUGUUGGCCUCCUCCGCGCGGCUGCUGCUAGCCCCCUCCCUUUAGGCUUCUCUCCUGAACUGCAGCUGACACAACUCCCCGAUCUGCCGCCUCUGCCCCCAUCCGCCCACCCACCCACCCACCCACCCACCCACCUUGACGUCCUGCACCUUGCUCAGGUCCACCACACCGCGCGGCUUGAUUGACUCUGCCACCUGCAUGCCCACAUACACACACGGGCGGGCUUCAUUGGGUUGUUUUUAAGAAGUCGCACACGACUCGAUAAUAUGCACGUAAGGGACACAACACAAGCAACAUCCCCAACACGCACUCUACCCAUUACAGACGCACACGCCUACCCUCCCGCAACCCUUUUCUCAACCCUCCCUUAACCACCACCCUCCCGCAACCCUCCUGCAAACCCCUUAUCUUCUCAUCCCCACCCCAUCCACUCCUCCCCCCCGACCUUGUCGUUGUAGAAGCGGAACAGGUAGCCCUGCUUGAGCACAAACCACCGGUUGCGCCAGUUCUUGAUCACGUCGCCCUGGCUCUGCAGCCAGCCCGCCUUGUCCGGAGACCGCCAGUACUCCACCUCAUCGGCUGAGGGCAGCUGGGGAGGGAGGGCGAGCGGGGGGGUAGCAGCGGGGGAAAGGCGGCUGGGUUGGGCCCACGGAUGCGCGGAGGGAUGGGUUUGGGAAGGAGGACGGCAUGGCAGAGGGAAGGGCGGUGGCCGUCCAUGGAAGACGAAAUGGAAGACGAAAGGGGAGACAAGAAGGACAGCGCAGGUGGGGGCGGUGCAGGAGCGAUGCGUGUGUGCGGCGCUCGCCCCUGGCCGCCCCGCCCCCGCGAACCCAGGUGCAAGGUCGCUGGGGACACCUGCCCCAGCCCCGCACCCUGCCCCCCUCCGCUUGUUUUCGUUGGUUUUGGUUUAGUUUGGGCUGGUAUUUACAACCCCCCCCCCACACACACACACACACGCAACGCUCGCAUGCCCUUGUGCCCUCUACAUCACAGACAGUCCCCGCCAGCUUGUCCGGUCUGCUCCCAGCGCGCAUGCGGUGCCUCACCGCGGUCUUCUUUUUCCCGCCUCCAACCACCAGAGCGUGGAGGUUGUUUGCGGUCUCCUGCGCCGUCUCCGUUUGCCGGCUCUGCAGAAGCUCCGCGAGCCUGCAGCACAGUUGCGCCAGCGUCGCGUGAGUGUCCCAGGCCCAAACCCCAACCCUCGGGCCCCAGUCGCUCCUCCGAAGGAGAGGUAUACCGAAACCUUCUUCGCAGCCCUUUCUAGUAGCACAGCGCACUCACUGCAUGCAGCAGCAGGUGAGCGUGUCCAGAGCGUUCCGCACGGUGCUGUCAUCUGCUGAGAGAGUGGUUUGCCGCUCCUCCACGUCCACCGGCGUCCGGGUGUAGAGAAUUAGGCUGCCACCGCGCGACUGCCAGCGACUGAUAUGGCCCAGCUCGUAGGACCGCAUGGUCCUGUUGUCGGAGGCAUUCAGCAGCUUGAGGCCGUCCAGGCCUAUCUGGACCACCACACGAUCGGUGCCACCGUCAUGGUGUGCAAGGUUCAUGCGAAACUUCUCGCUUAUGCCUUUGAAGUCCUGCAUGUUUCCCGGGGCACCUAAAUGCGGGCCCGCCGGUUGAUAGAACAACUAUGCGAAGGUAAUCAAGGUAAAUGCAAGAAGGGCCUCAGUCGGCGUCAAGAGGAAUCUAGUGUGGACGUAAAUCUGUCAAAGUCAGGGUGCUAGCGCAGUGAAGACAAUAUGAUACUUUCUGUGGACUGUCUUGUGGGUUUAAGUGUGUAUUCACACCAAUUUCAGUUGCCUGGGCCGAGUGGGGUUUGGGCAGACACCGUGUCAUGUCUUUGCGUCCGAUUGCUCGCCUCCGACAGCAACGUACCCCCCUCCCCCCCAAACCGAUUAUCGGCUCUCUGCAAUCUGCACUGACACUCUUACAAGUUGACGGGUCGUGCUGUAUCCUGUUUUCUGAUUGUUCCACUUCAGUGGCGUGGGUAAACAGGCACGGGGAAAUGGUAGGGCAGGAAGAUGGCCGUGCCCUGCCGUGUUGGCGCCGGCGCCCCGACAGCUUCAGACUGCCCAACAAAGUCCAUACCUUCAAUCGAAAUUGCAAUGUAUGAAGCUGCAGCCGAAUUUGCGUGCAGCACCCAUGCGGGUUCCAUGUGCGCAGAGCUUCCUCCGGGUCCACGUCGACAAGGCGGAGGUUGCCACGCUCACUCACAAACAAACACUAGCGGACCGCCAAGCGAUCCAUGAAGCGUGCCCCUAAGGGAAUCAAGUCACAGGGAAGCAACGUACGGUGUUGACCGGCUGAGCGAGCAUGCACAUGCAGGUAGUGUUGUUAGCUGAUAGCGCCAUAGCGGUUACAUGUGGGACGACAGCCAUGGACAAAGCCAGGGCCUUGACAAGCUAGGGUGAAACCAUACCGAGUCUGCUGCUGGCCCCACCAAGAUAACCCCUCCAACAUCAUCCGACGCUAGGAAUGGGUGCUGGUUCGGGACAAGGCCCCAGCGGCGCGGAGACAGACUCACACACGCAGCUAGCCGCGACCAGAAGUCCGCAAUCACCUCCACGCCGAUCCAUUGCAAAACAGCAACGUCCGCAGUCCGGUCCGCAGCAUCACUAGGCGCUGUCGGCCGUAUCCUAGGGCCGCCACAGCAGCCAAGCACACGAUGUCCCACACGGCCUGCGAUAGCCCUGGUGGCGCCUGUACAAACCACAACUGGUGCCGUGCGAUGUCCACAUUCGCAUGUCAUCAUCUGCCCGUGGUGGUGCCCGUGUGCACCAAGUACGACUGAGCCGUAUCGGGCAGCCAUGUGAGGCAAACACACGCACACACAGCAGGGCGUAAUCAUUGAUUUAUUUGUUUCGGCCCAUAAGUCGCCCAGCACGGAGCGCGGAACGCCAGCGCCCCGCCGUCCGGCGCGCCCGCCACCUGCAGCGGGGAGGUGGAGGAGGAGGCAGAGCAUGGGGCCCGCGUACGUGAAAGCAAGCAUGCGUUAGCAAUCAUAGCAUGUAGAUGCAUGUGUGUUGCUCCGGCCGCCACAGGCCUCCACGCUCGCAACCGCUCCCCUCCCGCACCCUCACCCGCACCCGCAACUUCCAACCAUUUGCGCCGCCACCCUGCCAGCCUUUCAACGCUCCCGCACUUCCCUGCUCCCAGCUCCUCUCGUUUCCUCGGCCCUUGCUCCUCCCCAACUCUUCCCCCUCUCCUUUCCCCCUCCACCCCCUUUCCUCUCCCUCUCCUCCCCUCCCCUUCUCCCUUCUCCUCCCCCUCUCCUCCCCCUCGCCUCCUCCCUUCCCCCAUCUCCCCCGUUUACCCCUCUUCUCACCUGCCCCGGCCCCGCCAGCCGCUCCGCGUGCUCUAGUGUCAGGUCCUCCAGCCGUGGCCCCGAGGCGGCGAUGCGCUGGAGGUCCUCGGGCCCGAGGUGGCGUGCGGUGUGGGCAGCGGCAUGGGCUGGCCCGCGGCCAUGGACUGCGUCGGUGGGUGGGGGAGCGCAGUCUGUGCGGUCAGUGAAGGUGAUGGGGCUGUGGGUGGGUAGAGGGUGCUUUGUUCAGAGCGAUGACGUGCGUGUUGUGGCCAUGUGUGGGCGAGCGUGCGGGUACGUGGGCAUGGGAGCGGCGCGGGCGGGGCGCUGGUGCCUUUCAAGUAGCUUAGGGCCUGAACCCACCCACUUCCGGGUGCCGAAGCUACCGCCAUGGCUCGAAGCCACUCCCUUCAUCCGCCAUUCCUUGCUCCAAGGCGGCGCCGCCCCCGGGACCUCGCAAUGCCAGCGCACAGCAAACCAUGCCCCUGCGGAGCCCAGAUCCCGACCAAACGACCAGCCUGCAUGACGGUGCUGCCCCUUGCCGCUUGCCGUGCGCGGCCUUCACGGGCAUCCCCCACUGCUGAGCGCCCGGCCGUCUCUGGGCGCCGCCCGCUCACCGCCCCCGUCACCCCUGCACAGUAGUCCGCACUCACCUUGAGCGCGGCCCAGUGCUGCUCCUCCCAGUCCGGCUGUGAGGAGAUCUCGUACCGGCAUCAGUGUUGCGCCCGUAUGAACGUACCAACGGGCGGCGCCAUCAGCGCCAGCGUCAGCGCCAGGCCGAAGCAAGACCACACCGUGGCGAUCGAACUGCUGCUUAGUCGCCUGGGGGGUGGGGGAAGGAGGGAUGGGAGCUCGGGUCUAGGUCGUUGGAAUAUGUGCGAAGCAGGGGAGACCCGCACCUGCCCCUGCCGCUUGCCCUCUCCCCCCCCCCCCCCCGCGCCACGCCCACGCCCACGCCCACGCCCACGCCCACGCCCACGCCCACACUCACGCACCUUGCCCCGCGGCCCCAGCUCCAUCGCGAACGCCCGCAGCAGCACCGGCAGCGCUCCAUGGUGUGGACCUGGGGUUCCGGGGCUCCUUGCACCUCGCCUUGCUGGUCAUUUGCUCCCACGCUCGCUUUCGCAACCCCCCUGGCUUUCCCCUCCCUCUCCUCCCUUCCGCCCACAAUCCCUCUCGCUCUCCUCCCUCUCGCUCUCCUCCCUCUCCGUCUCUAUACCCCUCUCAGCUCUCUCUACCUCGACACACACACAUACACACACAGGCUAUUGUUGUUUUCCCUUGUGCUCUCUAACACACACACAGACACACACACACGCACGCACGCAUACGCACACACACGUACACGUUUCGUUUUUUAACACAAGGGCACUACCUGUGUCAUCUGUGGAUCGUCAGGGGCCAUCAGGGCUUCAGGAAGUCAGGACGGGUCUUGGCGCUUCUGGCUGGGGCUCGCUUUUCCAAUGAGGGACCUAUGGGCGGGCCUUUGGGCUGAGGGCUUUUAAGCCCCCGGGUAUUGCUUUUGCUAAACUGUACUGUACCUUUCAAAUGGGCCGGGUGCGCGGAGCUGGGGUAGUUUGGGCGACCUGGCGGACUGGGCGACGACGAGCUCAACACCUUCGUCGCCCUGUUCCCGCUGGUCGCGGUACCAGCACCACGCUAUUUGCCUCUUAAGCCCGCGUCACAGGUCCGGGACCCCGUCCGGUGCCCGCGAUGCAUGCGCGAUAUGCCCAUCGGUACCGCUCGGUCACCUUCGGCGACCACCUGAUGGCUCUGGCGGACGGCGGACCUCGUCACGGAAUACGGCCAGGUCGCCGAGGCGUACGGCGCAGCACUACCAUGCACCCGCGACACGUCGCGGCGCGUGUUCACUAUCAGGGGGGUAACUGGAUUCUGGGGGGUGGGGGGCUCGUCACGAACAGCCGCCGCGGCCAUUGCGGCCGCGAGCGUGCCUAGCCUCGGUGCCGCCGUGGAGUGGGGAGCGGGAGGCCAGCUCCCGCCAGCCCACGGCGCACACACGUCACACGCACACACCAGCCUGACACGUCUGGAAACGCUGCAACCGCCGCCCGCCACGUCCCCCAUGCAGCCUUGACCCCGUUUAGUCGCAGUGCCACCGCUAACUCGCUCUCUUUUCAUAGCGUUAUUGUACUUAGUGGGCGGGAUUUGGGACGCGUGAUACUUAGCUUGUCUGCUGCACGCCGCCUCUCUUGUCGCCGUUGCCAUUCACAUGCCCGUGACACUUCCUCGCUGCCGCCCUAUGCCCAUGCUUCCACUUUUGCCUAUAGGUGAGCUCGACUACGACCAGCGGGCGGGAAUCUGGGAAUUAGGCGUGCUGGGUAAACGUUGUUUAGCGCGCCCAGGGUGCGGAGCAUGGACGCAUACAGGUGCAUCGCGGGGUCAGGCCGAAUGGUCGCCCGUGGGGUUCCAGGCUUAUCGCGGGUAAGUAUGACUACCUGGGUCACGACAGUCACGCGACGCUCGGUAAAAUGGUGGGUAUCGGUAAGUAACUCCGUCGCGUCAUUGGGCGGGCUUUCGUUUCGUUUUUUAACACACGUACACACUCACACGCACGCACACGCACAUGGGCCUGUGCUGGCCCUUCUCCAUGUUGUGGCGGCACGGCUACCUGGUCGGAGGCCCACUCGUCCUCCACCACCCGCGUCAGGUGCCGCUGCCGUCGAACCAGAAGACCUCCAGAGGCACGUGCAUCAUCACCGCCGCCGCCUCGUCCUCGCUCUGCGCCUCCACCUCGCCCUGCGCAUGGGCCUUGACGACGCCGCUGUCCGCCGGUGGGCCGCCAGCCGCCAGCUCCGGGCCUCCGCCAGCCGCCGCCGCCGCCGCCGCCGCUGCCUGGCCCGCCUCGCCCCGUGCCGCCGCCGCCACCGCCGCCACCGGGCCAAGGACCCGGUCCAGGUCCGGAUCCAGGUCCAGGUCGGCGACGAGCUGCACCUGCAGGUCCCCCAGGAGGCCCUGGCGGGCGGCCAGCGCCUUACCGUCCAGGACGCCGCAGACCACCGCCCGCGCGUCGAGGCUGGGCGGCCGCCACCUGCUGUACGGCGCGAGCAGACUGCGCAGCACACCCCCACCCCCGCAGUAGGGCGAGAAACGGCACGCCAGCUCCAGCACCGCCAGCGCGAUCUCCAGCUGCCGCCGGGCUGGGCCGAGCUCUGCGCGCAGUCGAUGUGCUCAUGUGGCGGCGGCAUGUACGUGAUGCGUGACGAUGGUCAGUGGGCCUAACGAGCGCAGGCGCAGGCAAUGCGUAAGUGCGUGAACAACAGCACCACCACGGUAUCAAAGCAAUGUGUGCGGCAGCUAUGCUAGGAUCCAUUUCCCCUAGGGUCUCGGAUCGGGUCGAUAUGCACUAUCCCUUCAUUCUCCCACGCACCCAAUAAGCACCCAAUAAGCACACAAACAUGCACGCAUAUGCACACACGCACGUACCGCUCAAGUCACUCUUGAUCUCGCCCACCAAAAGUUCCGGCCGGCCAAACAGCGGCGUGCCCAUGUUACGCGGGCGGAGGCGUAUCAGGUCCACCUCCAGCUCAGCGCGCAAACGCCCGGUCGCCAGCAGGAACAGCACAAGCAGCGCCUGAGAGGACGGCGAGCGACCUGCCGCAGUGCCACGCCUGCUUUGGCCGCCGCCACUGCUGCCUCCGCCGCCUUGGCCGCUGCUGCUGCUGCUGCUCAGGCGCUGCAGCAGGCCCAACGCCGCGUUCCACCGCGCCGGGGCCUCGUCCCCCAACACGCCCGCCGCCUGGAGCAGCUGCUGGGCGCGCGACACCACCAGCCGCACACCGGGAAUGUCCGGGCUCUGCUUGCGAGCAGCCUGCGACAGCUGUGUCUGUGUGUGUGCGUAGAGGGCAAAGGUGCCAGCAGAUUGCAGCGGCUUCAGUUGUCCUUCCUCAAAACCCCACCGCAGUACGGCUGGAUGGCAAUCAUGAUGGUCAAGCACCUGCUGCUCCGUACUUGCCAAGGCACCAUCAGGGCCACGCAGGCGCCCCACCGCCACACACUCUGCCCGCUGCCUCUCUCGCCCAUCAACAGCUAGCGGCGGCGGCUUGCUUGCAUAUGGGCGGAUGCCGGUGACUCAAUAAAGAGAUCCUUGGAGCUAACUACCUGAUGCAAGCAAGGUCAUGCUCAUGCAACGCCUAUUGCCAGUGGCUGCACCACACCGCCACCACCCCAUCCAAAUAGCUGUAGACGCCGCCCCGACCCCCACGCACCUUGAAGGCCGCCAGUCGUGCUUCGGCAUCAGCGACCGGACUUGGCGGCUCCUGCGGCUCCUGCUGCUGCUGCUGCUGCUGCGUGCCCUCCCGAUGCCGAUCCUUACCAGCAGGCACUGGGGGCAGGGUGUCCAGAACGGCCUGUACCGCCGCCGCACCCUUGCCGGACGACUGCAGCGGCAGGCUGAUGCCGUCAUCCAGAUCCCGCCUCACCGCCAGCAGCAGGCGACGCAGCAACCGCGUGCGCAGCAUGCGGCCGCCGCUGGGGUGCGCUACGGCCCCCAGGACGGCCGCCGCAGUGCCCCUGCCGAAGACCGCGUCCAGGUCCGCAUCCACCUCAAACCGCACCCGCCUGCAACCUUUCAGCCGGGCUGGGAGGUUCAUCAAUGUCACCAUCUCGACCAUGGUGCCCUGAAACCGCCUUACGUCACCCAGCCCGGCUGCGACACUGUCGACCUUCCCACUGAGUUCGCUUCUGAGUUCGCGAAUUUCGCCAGUCAGGAGCUGCAGCGCCUUCACGACUGAGGAAUCAGUUUCACCACCUUGCGCCGACUGCGGCACGGCACGGGUGGGGCGCGACUCGGGGUGGCGGGUCGGGAGCACAACGCGCGAGCGCGAGCUGCCCAACGCAAGCGGCGCAACGCAAGGCCGCGCAAGCUUCCUACCUAACAUGUUCUGUCAUUAAUAGCGGAAGCAGUAAGAAAGGAAGGAGGGCGUCCUGCGUAUUUUCAUUCAAGGCCAACCAUGAAACCCGCUGGCUGUAUGGAAUUAUUGCGAGAAGUGAAUAGCUAUCCAACACACUAUAAUGACGGCGGUCAUGAUGGCCCGACGAAAAGGCGCGGUCGCAUGAACCCGUGUAGACCCCCACCCCCAACCCCAACCCCGCACCUGCGACCCCACAUCCCCACAUCCCCACAUCAUUACUGCCGCAUAGCAACGCGACAAACUUGAAGCCUGUAGGGCUUAGUCCCUAGGCUCGUGAGACUUGGCUCACGAGGUAGGGGGGGGAAAGGGGUAGGGGGUAGGGGGCUUGCGACAUUUACGCCUCGGCUUCUUGUGCGUGGUUGAGAGUUGGUUCAGACACGAUUCAGUGGUGGUUUUUAGUAUUCGCGAUGAGCAGAUAUUGGGCGCCAACGCCGCGUCCCCACCCAGUCUUACCCCGCCUCUGUAAACUCAGUAACUUCAGAAUCCCCGAACUCAACCCCCCCCUACACGUUCAAGCAAUGUGUUGAGUUUCAGACGUCCACUCAGGAGGGGCCAGUUUACAAACUCAAUCUUCCAAGGUGAUGGGACGAGGAAUGCAUUAAACACUAGCGGACCGCCAAGCGAUCCAUGGGGCGUGUCCCUAAGGGAAUCAAGUCACAGGGGAAGCAACGUACGGUGUUGACCGGCUGAGCGAGCAUGCACAUGCAGGUAGUGUUGUUAGCUGAUAGCGGUUACAUGUGGGACGACAGCCAUGGACAAAGCCAGGGCCUUGACAAGCUAGGGUGAAACCAUACCGAGUCUGCUGCUGGCCCCACCAAGAUAACCCCUCCAACAUCAUCCGACGCUAGGAAUGGGUGCUGGUUCGGGACAAGGCCCCAGCGGCGCGGAGACAGACUCACAAACGCAGCGAGCCGCGACCAGAAGUCCGCAAUCACCUCCACGCCGACCCUUUGCAAAACAGCAACGUCCGCAGUCCGGUCCGCAGCAUCACUAAAGGCGCUGUCGGCCGUAUCCUAGGGCCGCCACAGCAGCCAAGCACACGAUGUCCCACACGGCCUGCGGUAGCCCUGGUGGCGCCUGUACAAACCACAACUGGUGCCGUGCGAUGUCCACAUUCGCAUGUCAUCAUCUGCCCGUGGUGGUGCCCGUGUGCACCAAGUACGACUGAGCCGUAUCGGGCAGCCAUGUGAGGCAAACACACGCACACACAGCAGGGCGUAAUCAUUGAUUUAUUUGUUUCGGCCCAUAAGUCGCCCAGCACGGAGCGCGGAACGCCAGCGCCCCGCCGUCCGGCGCGCCCGCCACCUGCAGCGGGGAGGUGGAGGAGCAGGCAGAGCAUGGGGCCUGCGUACGUGAAAGCAAGCAUGCGUUAGCAAUCAUAGAAUGUAGAUGCAUGUGUGUUGCUCCGGCCGCCACAGGCCUCCACGCUCGCAACCGCUCCCCUCCCGCACCCUCACCCGCACCCGCAACUUCCAACCAUUUGCGCCGCCACCCUGCCAGCCUUUUAACGCUCCCGCACUUCCCUGCUCCCAGCUCCUCUCGUUUCCUCGCCCCAUGCUCCUCCCCAACUCUUCCCCCUCUCCCUUCCCCCUCCUCCCUCUUUCCUCUCCCUCUCCUCCCCUCCCCUUCUCCCUUCUCCUCCCCUUCUCCUCCCCCUCUCCUCCUCCCUUCCCCCCCUCCCCAUCUCCCCCGUUUACCCCUCUUCUCACCUGCCCCGGCCCCGCCAGCCGCUCCGCGUGCUCUAGCGUCAGGUCCUCCAGCCGCGGCCCCGAGGCGGCGAUGCGCUGGAGGUCCUCGGGCCCGAGGUGGCGUGCGGUGUGGGCAGCGGCAUGGGCUGGCCCGCGGCCAUGGACUGCGUCGGUGGGUGGGGGAGCGCAGUCUGUGCGGUCAGUGAAGGUGAUGGGGCUGUGGGUGGGUAGAGCGUGCUUUGUUCAGAGCGAUGACAUGCGUGUUGUGGCCAUGUGUGGGCGAGCGUGCGGGUACGUGGGCAUGGGAGUGGCGAUGACAUGCGUGUUGUGGCCAUGUAUGGGCGAGCGUGCGGGUACGUGGGUCUGGGAGCGGCGCGGGCGAGGCGCUGGUGCCUUUCAAGUAGCUUAGGGCCUGAACCCGCCCGCUUCCGGGUGCCGAAGCUACCGCCAUGGCUCGAAGCCACUCCCUUCAUCCGCCAUUCCUUGCUCCAAGGCGGCGCCGCCCCCGGGACCUCGCAAUGCCAGCGCACAGCAAACCAUGCCCCUGCGGAGCCCAGAUCCCGACCAAACGACCAGCCUGCAUGACGGUGCUGCCCCUUGCCGCUGGCCGCGAGCGGCUUUCACGGGCAUCCCCCACUGCUGAGCGCCCGGCCGCGUCUGGGCGCCGCCCGCUCACCGCCCCCGUCACCCCUGCACAGUAGUCCGCACUCACCUUAAUCGCGGCCCAGUGCUGUUCCUCCCAGUCCGGCUGUGAGGAGAUCUCGUACCGGCAUCAGCGUCGCGCCCGUAUGAACGUACCAACGGGCGGCGCCAUCAGCGCCAGCGUCAGCGCAAGGCCGAAGCAAGACCACACCGUGGCGAUCGAACUGCUGCUUAGUCGCCUGGGGGGUGGGGGAAGGAGGGGCGGGAGCUCGGGUCUAGGUCGUUGAAAUAUGUGCGAAGCAGGGGAGACCCGCACCUGCCCCUGCCGCUUGCCCUCUCCCCCCCCCCCGCGCCCCACGCCCACGCCCACGCCCACGCCCACACUCACGCACCUUGCCCAUGCCCACACUCACGCACCUUGCCCCGCGGCCCCAGCUCCAGCGCGAACGCCCGCAGCAGCACCGGCAGCGCUCCAUGGUGUGGACCUGGGGUUCCGAAGCUCCUUGCACCUCGCCUUGCUGGUCAUUUGCUCCCACGCUCGCUUUCGCAACCCCCCUGCCUUUCCCCUCCCUCUCCUCCCUUCCGCCCACAAUCCCUCUCGCUCUCCUCCCUCUCGCUCUCCUCCCUCUCCGUCUCUCUACCCCUCUCAGCUCUCUCUCCCUUGACACACACACAUACACACACAGGCUAUUGUUGUUUUCCCUUGUGCUCUCUAACACACACACAGACACACACACACACACACGCACGCACGCAUACGCACACACACAUACACACUCACGCACACGCACACGCACAUGGGCCUGUGCUGGCCCUUCUCCAUGUUGUGGCGGCACGGCUACCUAGUCGGAGGCCCACUCGUCCUCCACCACCCGCGUCAGGUGCCGCUGCCGUCGAACCAGAAGACCUCCAGAGGCACGUGCAUCAUCACCGCCGCCGCCUCGUCCUCGCUCUGCGCCUCCACCUCGCCCUGCGCAUGGGCCUUGACGACGCCGCUGUCCGCCGGUGGGCCGCCAGCCGCCAGCUCCGGACCUCCGCCAGCCGCCGCCGCCGCCGCCGCCGCUGCCUGGCCCGCCUCGCCCCGUGCCGCCGCCGCCACCGCCGCCACCGGACCAAGGACCCGGUCUACCCGGUCCGGAUCCAGGUCCAGGUCGGCGACGAGCUGCACCUGCAGGUCCCCCAGGAGGCCCUGGCGGGCGGCCAGCGCCUUACCGUCCAGGACGCCGCAGACCACCGCCCGCGCGUCGAGGCUGGGCGGCCGCCACCUGCUGUACGGCGCCAGCAGGCCGCGCAGCACACCCCCACCCCCGUAGUAGGGCGAGAAACGGCACGCCAGCUCCAGCACCGCCAGCGCGAUCUCCAGCUGCCGCCGGGCUGGGCCGAGCUCUGCGCGCAGUCGAUGUGCUCAUGUGGCGGCGGCAUGUACGUGAUGCGUGACGAUGGUCAGUGGGCCUAACGAGCGCAGGCGCAGGCAAUGCGUAAGUGCGUGAACAACAGCACCACCACGGUAUCAAAGCAAUGUGUGCGGCAGCUAUGCUAGGAUCCAUCUCCCCUCGGGUCUCGGAUCGGGUUGAUAUGCACUAUCCCUUCAUUCCCCCACGCACCCCAUAAGCACACAAACAUGCACGUAUAUGCACACACGCACGUACCGCUCAAGUCACUCUUGAUCUCGCCCACCAAAAGUUCCGGCCGGCCAAACAGCGGCGUGCCCACGUUACGCGGGCGGAGGCGCAUCAGGUCCACCUCCAGCUCAGCGCGCAGGCGCCCGGUCGCCAGCAGGAACAGCACAAGCAGCGCCUGAUGAUGACAGGACGGCGAGCGACCUGCCGCAGUGCCACGCCUGCUUUGGCCGCCGCCACUGCUGCCUCCGCCGCCUUGGCCGCUGCUGCUGCUGCUGCUGCUAAGGCGCUGCAGUAGGCCCAACGCCGCGUUCCACCGCGCCGGGGCCUCGUCCCCCAACACGCCCGCCGCCUGGAGCAGCUGCUGCGCGCGCGACACCGCCAGCCGCACACCGGGAAUGUCCGGGCUCUGCUUGCGAGCAGCCUGCAACAGCUGUGUCUGUGUGUGUGCGUAGAGGGCAAAGGUGCCAGCAGAUUGCAGCGGCUUCAGUUGUCCUUCCACAAAACCCCCCCGCAGUACGGCUGGAUGGCGAUCAUGAUGGUCAAGCACCUGCUGCUCCAUACUUGCCAAGGCACCAUCAGGGCCACGCAGGCGCCCCACCGCCACACCCUCUGCCCGCUGCCUCGCUCGCCCAUCAACAGCUAGCGGCGGCGGCUUGCUUGCAUAUGGGCGGAUGCCGGUGACUCUAUAAAGAGAUCCUUGGAGCUAACUACCUGAUGCAAGCAAGGUCAUGCGCAUGCAACGCCUAUUGCCAGUGGCUGCACCACACCGCCACCACCCCAUCCAAAUAGCUGUAGACGCCGCCCCGACCCCCACGCACCUUAAAGGCCGCCAGUCGUGCUUCGGCGUCAGCGACCGGACUUGGCGGCUCCUGCGGCUCCUGCUGCUGCUGCUGCUGCUGCUGCUGCUGCGUGCCCUCCCGAUGCCGAUCCUGACCAGCAGGCACCGGGGGCAGGGUGUCCAGAACGGCCUGUACCGCCGCCGCACCCUUGCCGGACGACUGCAGCGGCAGGCUGAUGCCGUCAUCCAGAUCCCGCCUCACCGCCAGCAGCAGGCGACGCAGCAACCGCGUGCGCAGCAUGCGGCCGCCGCUGGGGUGCGCUACGGCCCCCAGGACGGCCGCCGCAGUGCCCGAGCCGAAGACCGCGUCCAGGUCCGCAUCAGCCUCAAACCGCGCCCGCCUGCAACCUUUCAGCCGGGCUGGGAGGUUCAUCAAUGCCACCAUCUCAACCAUGGUGCCCUGAAACCGCCUUACGUCACUCAGCCCGGCUGCGACACUGUCGACCUUCCCACUGAGUCCGCUUCUGAGUUCGCGAACUUCGCCAGUCAGGAGCUGCAGCGCCUUCACGACUGAGGAAUCAGUUUCACCACCUUGCGCCGACUGCGGCACGGCACGGGUGGGGCGCGACUCGGGGUGGCGGGUCGGGAGCACAACGCGCGAGCGCGAGCUGCCCAACGCAAGCGGCGCAACGCAAGGUCGCGCAAGCUUCCUACCUAACAUGUUCUGUCAUUAAUAGCGGAAGCAGUGGGGUGAUGGCUGGCUGGGUGACGACUCAGUGGGGCUCAGUGAGGCUCAGUCGUGGGCUCAGUGGGGCUCAGUGGGGAUGACACGUGGAUGACACGGCUCAGUGGGUGAGGGCUCAGUGGGGCUCAGUGGUUGAUGGCUGGGUGACGGCUGGGUGACGGCUCAGCCGUGGGCUCAGUGGGACUCACUCACUCUACCCUCCCGACGGUGCAGGGACGCGACGUCAACUCCGCAACCAACAUCCGGCACGCGCUGGUGGAGAUGCUGCUGGGGCACAAGCGACCUGCAUCGCUGCAGACUGGCGGCGGCAGCGGCGGCGGCGGCGGCGGCGGCGGCAGCAGUGGGGGCGCGUGCGCGCAUCUUGGUAGCGGAGGGGGCGGGAAAGGCCACGUGGAGGAGGAGAGCGCAGCGCCGCCCAAGAAGUGGCGCAAGCGCGCAGGCUGAGGAGCCGGCGGGUGUCUAGGUAGCGGUCCGCGGUGGGGCUGGCAGGGCAUGCGUAGCGGCAUGACAAGUAGUGCGGCUGUUGACAACUGUGCUGCAUCUGGCUGCGGUUGGCUCUGCUGUGGCAACGCAAUCGCUAGGCACCUGGUUUGGCUGUGUGCCUGUGGAAAACGACCCCGGGUAUGUCCGGGCGAUGAGGUUGUUCGGCCUCAGACUGUGGAGGGGCUCAGCCCCUUUUCCCGUGACCGGGGAACACUUGUCACCCGCCACACCAGUUCGGAGACUCUACGCCAUACUACACGUGAGCCCUUUUCUCACAACAGUGCUCCCCACCCCGUCAUGCAUGGGGGCGGGGGCAGGCCGCAAUCCCGCUCAGUCCGCUGCCCCAACUUCCACCAUCUUGGGAAGCAGAGACAUCCAGAGACAACAGCGAUAAUACAGUGCCACCAGAUUCUUGCAAAAACGCGGCAAAUCGAGACAUGGACCACGUGUCCAUGUAGCCUCUCGCUUGUACUCUCCUAACGUGAGCUUAACGUGUGACCUGCGCAGCUACAACCAACGCGCCCUUCACGCUCAUUAGACCAUCGCACCGUCAUGCAUGGGGGAGGGGGCAAACAGGUAGAAACAUGGACCACAGGUAGAAAGAAAGAACGUUGCUCACACCACACCGCUCGCAUCGCUCAACAUUUGCUCUCGUUGCUCACAAGUACACACUCAAAUGCGCUCUCCUGCUGGUUUUGUGUGAUGCGCCGCCUGCCCUUUCGGCAGGCUAGCCUUGCAUCGCCUAGACAGGGCACGCGCCCUCAGCACCCACGUGCCAUGGCGGCACGUACGCAAAUCACCCCGCACGCCUGGCCACCGCCCACCGCGUCCGCCCCCAAGUCCUGAUGACACAUGCCACCACCUCACUCCACAGACCACACCGAGUGUGCAGUUCAGCCCCAGCCCCUGCCCAGUCCAUCCCGCCAGUCCACUAAGCCCUUCUGCCAAGGCUGUCGGCGCCCACAGCGGACAGGACAGGCCGCCCGACCCAACGGCGCUGACAUGGCUCCAUGCCACCGCAAGCUCCCAGCUCGCGGCCUCCACGCCAGUCUCCCCACUCUCUCGUCCUACAACCACCUACCCACCCUGGCACCCGUCUCACCGCCCUCCUGCCGGGCCUCGUGCGCCCGCCCGUGCCUCACAUGCCCAGCAGCUGCCCCAGCAGCGCCGCCUGCUCGCCCACCUCGGGGUCGGCCCUGCGCGCCUCCUCGUCCAUGUCGCCCCACAGCGCCCGGAAGGCGUGCAGCUGCAGCUUGGCGGCGUCGUACUGCUUGGACUGGUACUGCAGGAUGGCUGGGGGCCGGAGGCGGAGGGGGAGGAGGAGUGGGGCGAGGCAAGGGGUGUUAGUUGCGGAGUACGAAGUAGGCCAGUGCAUCUACGGUACGUCGGGCCACCCACGCCCCAGGUUUUUAAGGUGCGAGCGCACGCCAUGAAUCCAACAGCCUCCUCCCUCCCUCCCUCCCUCCCUCCCUCCCUCCCUCCCUCCCUCCCUCCCUCCCACCCAACCCGGCCCCCUCACCAUAGUUGAGGUGGAACACGGGCUCCCCCGGCACGCCCGCCAUCUGAAUGGCCUUGUCGUACGCCGCACAGGCGUUGUCGUAGUCGUCCAGCCGCGCCAGCGUGACCGCCAGGUACAUGUAGCUGUGCGCGAAGUCGGGUUUGAGGUUGACGGAGGCGGAGAAGAAGUGGAAGGCGGAGGCGUACUGGCCGGUGUGCAGAUGCACCAGGCCCAGAUUGUAGGAGAUGAUCCACUCGAAGGGGCCCAGGUACAGCGCCUUCUUCAGGCAGGCGAUGGCGGCGAUAUAGCGCUGCCAGGGGCGGGGGGGGGGGGCGGGGCGGGGUGCCAGGGGGAGAGGAGGGUUGUAGAUACCAGCCCAAACUAAACCAACCCAAAAUGCAAAAGAGCGAUGGGAGGGAAGGGGCUGGAGGCACUCCGGACUGCCGUCUCACCCACUGAAUGUGCGCUCGGGCAGCGCCCCACACGGCCUGGAGCUCAUCGGGCCCUCCAUCCGUUGCUCCCAGACCGCGACUGCAUGCGCCCACCCGCCUCCAGCCCCCUGCCGCCUCCCCCCCCCAGCGUUGGGCGACGAUUCCGGGACCUAUUUCGUUGUGCCCUGGCAUAUACCUCCCUGUUGCUGGGUUUGGUUACGUUUAGGUUGGUAUUUACGUGCCCCCCCCGCCCCACACACACAUAGACACACACACACACACACACACACACACACACACACACACACACACACACACACACACACACACAAAAUGGUAGGUAUCGGUAAGUAACUCCGUCGCGUCAUUGGGCGGGCUUUCGUUUCGUUUUUUAACACACACCCCACACACCUGCUUCCCGAAGAAGCACAUUCCAAUGUUGUUCCACAGCUGCGGGCUGUUGGGCGUCUGCACCGCAGCCACCCGGUACUUGACCAGAGCCACGUCCAUGUCAGACUGGUCCUGAGGGUGGGCGGUGAGGAGGGUGUGGCAGAGGGGUGCGGGCGUUAGGGGUGUAUGUGUAUCCGCGUGUAUGGGGUGGUUGGGUGGGCGGUAGGGUAGUGGUCUGGUGCGGCGUAUGGUGAGUGUGGUGAGCUUUUGCGAACCCAACCCCGCCACUGCCCCGUGUCUCGCGCAUCCCGCAACUCUCAUAGCCCCGAUCCACGCCGCCUGAACCAUACACGCCGCCCUCCGCCCUCCGCACCCCGCGCCUCCCCCGCCCCGCCUGACCCACACACGCCGCGCCCCUAUUCCCGCAUGCCGCCCCCUCCACCCCCACCCCCACCCCCACCCCCACCCACGCCCCCUGCGCCGCGCACCUGAAUGAUGGAGCCGGCCGCCAGGAUGGUGCGCGGGUUGCGCGGGUCGUGCGUGAGGCUGGUGGUGAGGUACUCGAAGGCGCGCGGGUUGUCGUUGGUGCGCAGGAACAGCAGGCCCAGGGUGGUGAGCAGCUCGGGGUUCUCGGGCGAGUGCUCCAGGGCCUCCAUGUACACGUUGAUGGCCUGAGGGAGGUGGCGCCGGGGAAAGGCGCGAAUCAGGACGGGGACGGGGUAGCUCAUUAUUAUCCCGAUGAAACUUGGGGGAAGGGUGUGGGAGUCACAAGAACCAAACCCAAAUUGGAAGCCAAAAUGCAGCUGCCCGGAACUCGCAUCCAACCCCUUCUCGCCCCUCUGCACACACACACACACACACACACACACACACACACACACACACACACACACACACACACACACACACAGACACACGCGCGUGUUUGGCGGCUUUGUUCCGUUUGUUUUGUGUUUACCACACACACACACACACACACACACGCUCCGCCCCCCCCCUCCCACACCCCCCCCCCCACACACGCACCUGGCUGUAGUCGUCCAUCAUGCCGUACACCUUGCCCAGCUGCAGGAAGGUGGAGUCGUGCGGCUGGAUGUCGAUGGCCACUCGGAAGGACUCGAUGGCCCUGAUGGCGGCAAGGUACACACGCAUGGGUGUGAAGAGCAUUUAGUAAAUGUGCUUGGAAAGACAUGGGAAGGUGGAGUGUACCAGUGACGGUAUGCUAAGCAGGCGGGACAGGAGCGCGGGGCAGCGGCAGGGGCAGGGUGCGGCGAAGAGCAGCACAGCGGCGUGAAGAGCGCGCCCGCACCUCUACUACACAUCUCCCCAACACACCUGCCCGCCCCUGGCUGCCGCAACCGCCCGCCCCAACCCAGUCCCCAGCUCUAACCCUCCCAUCCACCGCCCACCAUCCACCGCCCGCCACAACAAACCAAACCAAACACCCCACCCCACUACCACUUCCUUAACUAAUCAUGAAUGUAACCCCACCACCCCCUGCCGCACCACCGCCCCUGCCGCACCUGUCGUACUGCUUGAGGUACAUGUAGCACAGCCCCUUGUUGUGCAUGAUUUCCCAGUCCGGCGCCCCGAACUUCUGGGCCUCCUCGUACACGUCCACCGCCGCCUUGUGCUUGCCCAGCAGGUACAGCGAGCGGCCCACCUGCGGCGAGGGAGGGGAGGGGAAGGGGCGCGGGAUGUCGGUGGGAGUGUGGGAGGGGGUUGCAUGAUUGCAUAGCGGUAGUAAGGUGGAGAAGCUAGAACACCCGGCACACAGCGGGAGAAAAGGGAGUUAUACGGUUGUGGGUGAAAGGGAUUGCUGGGGUGAACGGUAGACUGGCGGGGUGAGCGUGUUCUUGUAGCGUUUACGGUACAUGCCGUGGCGCCUGUUCCCCCCAACUGCUCGCCUCCAUGUUGCCGGCCCCAGCCCGCUGACGGCAGUUGCCACCCGGCUGUACUGCAUGCGAGAGACCUUGCGGCACCAUACACCAUGUGUCGGGUGGCCCUGCACGCCUCAUAGGGCGCGUUAACAGACGCCAUUCCCAUUCUAAAACACGGGGGCGGGGCUGCCGCCCGUACCGGUACCCUGGCCAUGGGUCGGACCCACCCCGGCGCCUUCAUCACUCCCAAACCCUCCCGCCCAAGCCCGGCUGCUGCGCUAGGCCCGCAAUGUGAGCGCGUGCCCGCCCCUCCCUCCAGCGGACCCGCCCGCCCUCCAGCGGACCCGCCCGCCCUCCAGCGGACCCGCCGGCCCCGCCUGUGCGUUUCCAGAGCUGAUGUACCGGCAGUGAACUCUGAUCGCCUGGCGCCGAUCCCCCGGUAGAGCCCGCCGCCACACGGCCAGCGCUCAGCUGUUACUGAGGUGUGGGACUGCGGCCCUGUGUGGGGUUGUGGACCAGCUCUGCCGCCGUUGUGCGAGUGUGUCCGCGUGGCUGCAGCACUGGUGCAGCAUGCCCGCUGACUUAGCCUGCACUGCUGCUGCUGCUGCCGUUCCCGCCGCCGAGGCCUCAACGAUCAGGAAAUGACCGGCCAGGUGUCACGCCAGUGCUGCUGCUCCAGAAGCAGCCUUAACCACCCUCCUCGUUCCCGUCCCCGCUUCACGAAGCAUGCUAUGCCCACCGCCCUCGCCCCCCACCUGUUUGAGGUUGGCCACGUUGUGCGGGUUGAUGGCUGUCGCCUGCUGGAACAGCGCCAGAGACUCCUGGAUCUUGCCUGUACAGAAUUGAAAAUGCAUUGUGUUUCAUGCGUUACGAACACGUGAGUAUUCAGACCCCAAGCUGCCAGCGUCGUGCCCACAGCUCCGCAUCAGGGGCCUUGACCCUAACCCCAGCCCACCACGCCGUGCCUCAAUCGAAGUAGCCCCGCCCCAACCCCCGCCCCACCCCACUUCACCCCUAGUCCCAGCACCGCUGCCCACGGUGAUGCCCUGCGUUUUGCCAUUCCCGCCCUACCUCUAUGGCGCAUAAUGAGCGCCUUGAUAUAGAUGGCGUAUUCGCAUAGUCCAUCAGUUUCCUCCAGUACUUUGUCUAUUUGCUUCAAGCACUCCUCAAACUCCUGUGGGAGGGGCAGGCGGCGCCAGCUGCAGUCGACUCGAAGGCCGGACCAGCGUCUACUUCUCCAUGCCGCCCGGACGGCGCCGUUUUGCGCACCUGUCUCGUAUAGAGGAGAUGCAGUUGGUAGUUUCGUUUAUCACGCUGCUGCGCUAAUGACGACAUUUAGCGCCCCUCGCCUCCAAAGUCCUUCCUCGAUUCUUCCAAUUUGGCCUGCAACGCCGCGGCCUUUGUGUAGUGGUUUUAUUGAGUAGCGUAACAACUAUCGAACGAUUAAUAUGUGCCAAACAGCUAUCAGGACAAGUGUGAGUGCAGUCAAACGAAGAGGACGCGCAACUGGCGAAGCUACACAAUGUUGAUAUUAGAUAUCGGCGCAUAUACAGUAUGGUCUACUUCGUUUGCUGGGUCCAAACUUUGGGGGGGCGUGGUGAUGUCAUCUCUCAUGCGUGCCUGAACCCUCCUCGGCCCAGGGCCCGGCGCCCUCCGCCUUCGCGCAGCUUGCCUACGCCCCAGCAGCAACUGCAAACAUACUUAAGCAUAAGCGAGUAGAGAAUGGACCACGAUGCAGGCGCCAGUUGCAGCUCGCCGGCAGCACUGCCGGGACUGUUUCUUCGCUCCGACACGGCAUCCUCGGCUUCUACGUUGUCGGCUUCUACGUUGUCAACGGCGCCGCCUGGUUGCCCGGUUGCCGGCGCGCCGCUGGUCCUGCUGCGCGACUGGAGCUGGGGCUGUCGCGUGUGGCUGGUGUGCCUUUUGAUUUGGUUCACCGCGCAAUGGACGCAUAGGCUCGUGCUGCCGGCGCGGGUCGGCUGGCCGCGCCUCGCCGCGUCGCUGCCGGCGCUCGCAGCGCUCGCGGUCGCGGCGCUAGUGUUUGACCCCUACUCGGAGCCUCUGUCCACCAUGACCACCGCAUUCAUGACCCUGCGUAUGCCCGCCACAAAGCUGCUGGCCGCUUGCUACGGCCGCGGGCCGCUCGCGGAGCUGCCCGCGGAGGGAGGGUCGGCGCCACACGGCCAGCAGGGGCGGCGGAAGGGUGGACGUGGAGGCAGCGUGGGGCCCGCCGCGGCGAGGGGGAGAGGCGUGCUCGGCUGGGUCGGUGGGGCCUGGCGUCGCAUGACCAGCAGGCACGGCUGCAGGGGAGCAGGAGCGGAGCCCGCUGGUGGCUGGAGCGGCGGCAAGGGCAGCGGCGGCAACGGCAGCACUUGUGGCAGUCGCGGGAGCAAGUCCGACAGCGGCGGCGCACUCGACGUGUGUGUGCCAGCAGAGCCACUCGUCACAUUCUUCCUGUUUGCCCCGGUGGCGCCGGCGCCGCCGCCAUGCCAGUCGCGGCGCCGGCAGCAGCAGGCGGAGCACUCGGCCGGACCCUCGCCUUCAACUUCGUCCCCAGGAGGUUUGGAAGCGGCUAGCACAAGCAGCUCGAUCUCCCUCAGCAGCAGCAGUAGCAGUGGCAGUAGCAUCAGCCGCAGCGGCAGUAGCAUCAGCAGCAGUGGCGCUGGCAUCGCGAUCCUUGGCCGCCGGCUGCUGCAGCCGCUGCAUAGCAGCGCCGCCACCAAGUGGCUGGAGUUGGCGGCCGCCGCCGCCGCCCUGGCGGCGGUGUCCACCUUGGAUUCCUGGAUCGGCAGUAUCAGUGGCAAUGGCAGUAGCAGCCGCAGCUACACGGAUUUUGUGCGUACUGCUCACACCGCUGGCCCUUCCCCAUUCGCUCAUCAGCGCCAGCCGCCGUUGCUGCUGCACUUGCUACUGCCGCCGACGGUCCUGCCCCACUACCUCUCCCUGCUGCCCUCCCGCGCCGCCACUGCCGGCCCUGCCGCCGUGCUGCUGCUACGGCUGCUGCGGCGGCUCACGCGCGGCGGCGCGGCGCUGUGCCUGCACGCGGUGCUUGCUACAGCCAUGGCGGCGGGCGUGGGCGGCAUGAUGGAUUGCAUGGCGGCCUACUGCUACUGCCGGGGCUGGAGCGGCGACGGCGGCGGCGGCUGCAGCGGCGGCAAAUGCUGUGGCAGUAACCGGCAGGAGCAUGGACAGCAAAAGCGGGGAGAGGAACUGCGGGGUGAGACGGAGGAGGAGGAGAAGGAGCAGUGUACACGAGGCGACGAAGGGGUGGCGCUGGUGCGGCCUUUCGACAGCCCCCUGGCCGCCACCAGCCUGGCAGGUGCGUGAGGGCCCGUUUGGCCUUCACAUUGCAGGUUGCGGCCCGGACUCGGGCAUUCUGCACACACACGCUCGGCCCCAGCAUGCCUGCUCUAGCUACGCAACCUCUUUGGACUUGAGCAACCUAAGCCGCCCCCAAAUGCUGCCGGUAACCCCCAAACCCCAAUCCCAUUAUCCACACUUGCCGCAGACUUCUGGGGCCGCCGCUGGAACGUGACUCAGAGCCGUGUGCUCAAAGGCCUCCUGUACGACCCCAUACUAGAGGGCAGCUGGCAGCCCACACACCACUCCCUGCUACAGCCGCCUUCGGCGCCGCCGCGGCAGCCGCUACAACCGGCGUGCCCCGGAGGCGGCAGUAGCAACAGUAGCAGCAGCACUGGAAGCAGGGCGCCUAGCGUCGGCGAGGAUGCGGGUGCCGGCGCUGGUGUUGGCGCUGACGGGGUUGCCGACCGCAGCAGCAGCGCCGGCAGUGCUCGGAGCGGCAGUAGCUGCGCCAUCGACGGCGGAAAUAGCAAUGGAACCACCAGCUGCAGCCGCAGCUCCAGCAGUAGUUCGGAGGGCGGCGGUCGCGGCAGUAGUAACGCCGCCGGCGCAUCUAGCCGCUCCAAUAGCAGUGGCUGCGACAUGGCGGCGGCAGGUAGCUGCUGGACUGGUGGUGCUACUGCAGUUCUUACUGCACAAAAUGGAACCUCCAUCACCGGUAGCGGCAAUGGCAACGGCAGCGGCGGCAGCAGUGGCAGCGGCAGUAGCACCAGUCCUGAGCCGCCCACAAUGCCGCGUCACCAGCAGCAUGACGCGCUGUCAGGCGGACUGCACCGCCGCCGGGUGGCGUUCCGGCAAGACGCGGCAGCUGCGGAUGCUACUACUGCCGCGCCCGCACUGGCUGCUGCUGCCGUUGCUACUGCGGCGGGUAUUGGUGCCAGUACCCGCAGCAUGGAACACGCGCCUGCAACGGCCGGUACUGCCGCUGUGAGUACAAUGGGGCUGCAGUCAGUGCGUUAUGGCAGUAGUGGCGGCAACGGCCGCGGCGACGGCUCUCCCUGCUGCCCUGUUUCCUCCGCCACUGGGCACAGCAGCAGCAGUGGCGCCACCACCACCUGCAGCCUCGAGGCGCACGACCGCACACCACAAGACUUACGUGCACUGCCUCAACAACACCAGCAUCAACAACAACACCAACAACAGCAACAACAACGCCAACAACAACACCAACACCCAGAACACGGUCGUCACCCGCAGCAGCACCCGGCAGACCCCUAUCACCAGGCCCGCAAGGCGGCGGCACUACUGGCGGUGUUCGUGUGGAGCGGCCUAGAGCACGAGGUGGGCGGCUGUGUGUGUGUGUGUGUGUGUGUGGCCUGUUGGGCCGUGUAUUGGGGGGGGGAGCCGGGCUGUGGGAGGGAGCCCGGGAAAGGAGUCUGCGUAUGCUGAAGCUGUGGGGCCUUCGGGCCCAAUGCUGGGUGACUGCUUGGGGCGUGCGUUGGCUCGAACCAACUUUGCUGCCUUCUUGCAUCCUUGAAUCCUUGCCCCUGCCCCUGCCCCUGCCCCUGCCCCUGCCCCUCUGCCCCUCUGCCCCUCUGCCCCUCUGCCCCUCUGCCCCUCUGCCCCUCUGCCCCUCUGCCCCUCUGCCCCUCUGCCCCUGUGCCCCUGUGCCCCUGUGCCCCUGUGCCCCUGUGCCCCUGUGCCCCUGUGCCCCUGUGCCCCUGUGCCCCUGUGCCCCUGUGCCCCUGUGCCUGCCUUUGGUCCACGCUGUCCCCCGCCCCACGCGCACGCGCCGCCUCGCCUGCUGCAGCUGUUCCACUGGCUGUGCACUCGGCGCCUGAGCCCCGGCGGCGGCUGGUUCCUCUUCUUCGCCGCACACGGGGGGCUGCUGGUCGCGGAGUCGGCGGCAACACGCGCCGCCCGCCACUGCGCCCGCAGCCUAGGCCUGCCCUAUGACACCACCACAGCCCUCUCCAGCGGCGCCUUACCUCAUUCGAGGAUAAUCUGCAGCGCCAGAGGAGGUGCCGUGGGCCGCGCGGCGGCGGCCGCGGCGGCGGCGCUGCUGCCGCCGCCGAUGUGGUUGCGGCGGCUGCUGACGCUGGCUGUGCUGGACGUGACGGCGGCGGUGUGGUUCUUCCCCGUGCUGACGGAGCGGUGUGUGGUGCGGCGAGUGGCGGCGGCAGUGGCAGACGUGUGCCCGCCGGCGCUGGGGCAGCGGCUGCUGCACGCGGCGGCGGAGCUGGGCCGGCAGUAGCGGAUGGGGCUGGGCAGUGGCAGAUGGGGCCAGGAUGGGCGCGUGACCAGGCAGGGCUAGUCAUGGAAGUUUGGUUGCGAGUUGCGACAGCUGGUCCUUAGCCCACCCAGAAGAUUUGGCACAAGUUGAAGGCGGCACCGCAAAGCUGGCGGGGAGAAUUCGGCCCACCGGGGUGCGGAGAAGCUGCGAAGGCGAUGUGGACUGAUGAAGCGAUUAGGAGUGCUUUCAGGAGUAAUUUGGCAGUUGUUAGAUGUAGAAUGGAAGCCGGAACCGAUAGGCAGACUAGCAUUCAUACAUGCAGGGAGAGUGAGCGGACGUGAAGCACAUGCACGCGUGGCACGGUGGCGGCUUUACAUUGCACAUGCAGGGGUGGCGGUGGCGGUGUGUGGGACGCGUGAUGGCGGCGGUUAGCGGCGGUUGCAGGCUCCCAACAACAACAAUAACAAGCGCCACUGCGCGGCGAGGAUCGGCAUGUGGGCAGGGUGUGGCCGUGACCGUAGGCAGCGACGUGCCAUGCUAUAUGAGGCCCACUGUGUGCGUAGGUAGCUGGGGAUAGCUGCUCCAGAUUGUAGACCGUGACGAUGCGGUUGCAGAUACAUGUACAUGUGUACAACAGCAUUGACACUUGCCAAGGCAAGGCUUGGUACAGGAUCUAAGUGCCGGGACUUGAAGGCAUAUGAUGUGUACGGUUGCGGGCGGGUAUUAGGCUGGCAGCUCCACCACUUUACAGGAGUGGUUCAUCAUGUCCGAUUGUGAACUGGGCCUGCUGCGUCCACCAGGCUGCUGGAAACUGGCUACUGCUGACACUCGCCCCAUGCACAUCGCCGCAUACCACCAGCCCAGCACACUGCCGGUCUGUUUGCAUUUCACCCCACACAUUCACAUUUCACCCCACAGCCAAUCUCGCUAGUAGCCAACAACACAUGCGUGCCUGACGGCGUGCACCCACCACUCCACCAGCCACAACCCCGCCGUCGAACGCCACACAACGCCCAACAUCCACAACCCGGCCACGCCACCAUCUGCUACAGCAAUCCGAGCCACAACCGCCAGCGCUGACCUCUAGCGCCAAGCUCCCGGCCUACUGCCACACAGCGUCAUUGCGCCCACCAUCUUGCAGGCGAUGCAAGUGCUGCAACAGUGUACGGCAACAGACAGCGCUACAGCGAAAUGGCGAAGUCCAGCGCGCUCUCGCGCCAGCUGCCGUCGGGCUCCCGCGCCCGCUCCCGCAUCUCCACACGCCCGUCCAGCCACACCACCAACGCCGUCUGCGACCGAGUGCCGUACUUGCCAAACUGUGCAAAAGUCAGAGGUCGGGGGAGGGAAGGAGUACGGGUAGUAGUCAGUUCCAAGCCCCAAGCAGCAGAGACCCACAGGGGCCGGGGAUUGCGGCUAAGAGGGGCAGGUGUGGGGCUGUCCGUGUGCUUGCUAUGGCCAGACAACUCUGAACAACCUAUUACCGUACUUGUCACCUGCCCUGACCUGCACGCUAACGCUUUAAACACUGUUAACGCUGCUGCCCCACUGUCCCGCUGCCACACCCACCGGUGAGUCCACCUCCGCCACAAAGCGGCCGCUCGUGAUGUGCUCCAGCUCCCUCUCAAAGUAGCUGUCACCCGCGCCGCCGCCGCCCCCGCCGCCGCCGCCAGCAGCGCUGCUACAGCCGCCGCCAUUCCCGCCAGCUCCAUUGCUACAGCCGCUGCUGCUGCUGCUGCUAUUGCUGCCGUGGCCAUGGCCGUGGCCGCGGUUGUGGCCGGCACCGGCGCCGGCGCCAGCGCCGGCCGGUGCUGGUGCGAUGGGUCGGCCGUCCACGUGCACUGCGGCGCCGCUGCCGACGUGCGCGGCGACCUCGUCAGCCGGGGCCACGGCCUGUUGCUGGGUGUCGUAUUGGGAUACGAGCAAUUGAGAAUCUGAUGAGCCGGUUGGUGCGCCGCGGACGUGGGGCGUGUAGGGGUGUAGAGGUGCCUGCCAGCCUGCCCAGCUGUCCACCCACCCACCCAGCCAGGGGCCCACCCACCAACCCAUCCAGCCAGGGGCCCCGUUACCUAGUCGUCUAGCCACCCGCCCAGUCAGCUAGGGGGUCAGCCAGCUAGGGGUCAGCCAGCUAGGGGUCAGCCAGCCCUCACGGCUCACCUGGGCUGCGGCCACGCCGCCGCCGCUGAUGCCACCUGUGCUGGCUCCCUGGUGCUGCGCCCCCGCCUCCUCCGCCGCCCCCUCCUGCUGCCGGCCGCAGCUGGGCGGCACCAGUCGGGUGUCGUCCCCCAGCAGCUCAAUGAACAGGCGGGACCAGGGCACCGGCUGGCCUGCAGGGCGGGGUGGGUGGGUAGGUGUGGCAGCUUGUGCCGCAGCUGGGGCUGGCGCCGAGCAAGAGACACAUGUGCUGCAUUGCCACCACGCGAUGAAACAUGCCGAAACAGCAUGCACACGCACACGCACACGCACACGCACACGCACACGCACGCGCACACGCACACGCACAAUGGACCCGCGCGGCCAGCCGGCCAACUCCCCACCCUGGACCCAGGCACCCACCCUGCCGUAUCUCGGGCAGCAGCUGACUCAGCACCGCCACGCCGCUGGCCACCUUGGGCCACUCCAGCAGCAGCCCGUUGCUGACGCCUGCACGCAGCAGCAGCAGCAGCAGCGGCGGCCGCAAACACAACCAUGAGCCCCACCUCCAGGCCCACCAAUGGCAGCGGCAUCCGGCAGUGGUGGUGGUAUUCCAACACCGAGACCCAGAACGCAAAAGAAAGAAGCAGGUUGCAGGAAGUCGUGGUGGUGGUGGUGGUACUGGUGACGUCCCUGUGACCGGGCAGCUCCAAGCCGCUUGGGCCUGGUGGCGACUCACCGUACACCACACCUGACUUAAGCGCCUGCACCCUGCUGCUGCUGCCGCUCGUUGCUGCGCCUUCUGCGCCUUGAGUGCAGCUGCCCGCGCCGCCGCCUGCUGAGGUUGAAUCCCUCGCUGCUGCUGCCCCGGGGCCUGCUGCCUCCGCCCGGGGACUGCUCUGCCCGGCGGCUGUCACGGCCAGCUGUCCCAGCGCCACCUCCACAUCCGCAGCAGCGCCGUCUGCCGGCGCCGCCGCAAACCCCGCACCCAACGUAGACGCCCCGAGCAGCCGCCGCUUCCCCGCCGCAAGGCCGCCCUGCUCCUUGCCAUCCUUGCCAUCCUCGCGGGCCCCAACCGGGCCAUUGCUGCCAUUAACGUCGCAGCCACCACCGCCGCCGCUGCGGUUACAGUUCCCGGCCGGCUCGGCUGUGCUGCUGGUGACCAGCGCGCCGUUGUGUGUGUACACCAGGCUGGGCGCGGGCCCGGCCAGUUCCGCAAGGACCAGGUUAAAACCGUGGAAGUUUGCGGCGUCCAGAGACUGUGACAAGUUAUUGCGACAGGUGUGCAUAUGGUAAGAGUAUUUAUAUAGCGUAAAGGAUGCAAACUGCGAGUCAAGUGCUGCUGGAUGUGUGCGGGCGUUAUGGUUUGGGCACGAGCAGAUGGAGCGGAAGGCAAACUUGCGCGGUGUCGGUAGCAGCACACAAUUACGUGCGGUCGAACCGGUAUGCGGUGAAACCGGUAUGCCUAUACUCAUUCCGCACCUGCGCAAAAUUCGCGGGCGACGCGUCCCCCGUUAGGAAGGCGGUGGUAAUGCCGCCGCGGCUGGCGUGUGUGUAGGGGUUGGCGUGUGUGUGCGGGGCGACAGGGUCGGAGCUGCGCAGGUUGGUCAGAAAUGCAACGCGUCCGCUCCGCGUGACGCCCAGCCAUGUUCCUUUGCCCUCCAAGUCACGGCCGCCGAUGAUGCCGCUGCCAUCUGACCACUCGUGGAGCGGCUGCGUGCGCCUGCCAUGUCAAUUGAACCGUGGGGCGUCCGACUCGUUCUUUCCGCGUCGCCGGCGAGUCUAGCGGCUUCUUGAGCGCUGCGCAGGGUCUCUUACCUGUCGAAAUACUCGUCGCGGUUGAAGGCGAGCAGGAAACGAGGCCCUUCAGCCGCGUCCAACACGAAGAAAGAAAGACACAUCGCUGAGAGCUGGCUAUGGGAGUCGUUGCAUUCUUGUACGUGUAUUUGUUACAGUUCUCUGCUUUUGUGCGAAUGCUCGCCCAGUUUGACAAGGUUGCUUUCGCUCCUUGGGCCCGCUGGCUUCUUCACAUAAAUCACGGUGCAUGUAUUAAUGCUUGAUUUUAUGUGCCUUGUCAGGGCCCAGGUGCUCUUGCAGGAGAAAUGCGGGGCCCAUCGUUGGGCCCCUUGACAGCCGCAGUCCCAGGCCCCGCCGCUUUCCCUCUGCCGCCGCCUCCACUUCUCCGAAUCCGAACACAUGUGACCACUCCCCGCGAAACCGGAGCGCCGUUACCGCAGCCAAUUUUCAUAGCUUUCAUACUCAUUAUGCCGCUUGGCAAUCGUCCAACCAAACGCCUGCCGCUCGCGGGGCGCGAGUUUGGGCAGGGCGCCGCAACACGGCAACACCAGGGCAUCACACCCGUCUUCUCAAGUCGCCUCUGCUGCCUGCCGUCUGCAACGCGAACAUUCCGCGAACUUGAUCGGGGCCCGUCAACAAGGUGGUGGUUUGCACUCUUCCCGGCCUGGGCCAUUAUCCGCACUGGCAACAACUACCCCGUCAGACACCCAGCACUUCGUGCAGCCCCCAGCUACCGCUACCUCCUGCCCACCACACAGCACGCGUCGUGGACACUGUUGGUCUGCUGGUAUCUCACUUAACUUGUUCCUUGCGCCGUGCAUGAGCGCGCGACUACCGUGCGGAUGACUCACCGCUACUCACCGGGCCACAAAGGGUCCGGUCGAGUGCACGCUCCCCUGCGCACGUGCCAUAUACUUCGACUGCCUACUUAUCAAAACAAAACGGUCCAUUGCACACAGUCACACACCAGGAUGACGGCCAUGCGCGUCUUAGCGCAAGUAUACUCUGGCUUAGGCCUGCGUAGCGCGGGGUGCUGCGUGCAUAAGCAGUCACCACUCGUCAACCACUGCCCACCGUCCGGCACCCUAACCCUCUUGCCUGCCCACCUGCACAACACGCCAGCCAACAACGUGAAAAGGAAGAGCACCCCCACAAAAAAGAUAUGGAUCAAGAAGGAAAAGGCCCACAAGGAAAGAAUAAAGACAACGCCCCCAGAUCAGUAACUGCGCCGUAACUGCUGCAACACCCACUUCUCGCCACCGGGUUGAUUCGUCUCUCCUCCGGGCAAUCCACCAAAGUUAACCCAUUCCAUUGCACAUGACUUACGUCUGGAAUUCCUACAGGACAUCUACCGCGAACAUGCCGUCUGGUCUACCACGCAUCACACCUAUGGUAACAGUGCACUGCCGUUGAGCACUUGGGCUCUGACGGGGCACGUUCUGGAACUGUGUGGACCUAACCUCAAACUCUGCACACCAGCCUGCCCACCACUUCGCCGCCCAUUCGAACUCAAGUGGCCCCGACAUUUUCGGCAGCUGCCCAACUACAACUACGAGUAACCCAGUCUUCACCGAUUACAACUCAUUCCGAAGCCGCGCAACUCACGAUGAUUGGAUGCAUGCCCCCUGCCCACCCCGUCAGUCCUUCCACCUACCGCACUAGCCUUGUGACGCGUGUCCGAGCCUCAUACGGCACUAGCGUAUGUAUGGCUCGUUGGGCUGAUGAAGGACAAACUACUCGUAGAGUAUGAAGCGGUGAUGGGCCCACUCGACGCCUUGGCAUCUCGAAGCGAGGCUGAUGUUGUGGCGGUUAUGACCUACCAGAGCCUGACUGUUUAUCGCUACCUACGGAAAGCUUGUGGCAGCGUGUACAUGCGCGCUAUGGCGGCAUUGCCUGGUCCUAAGCUGCUGCUGCGAGAUAGUGUUGUUCUGAAAAUCUGAGAACCCGCUGUUGAUCUAGAACUUGACCCGGUUGCGCAGGUCCGAGGUCCGGUACUGCAGCGCACGGCACCUGCGGGCCCACACAAACCAGCGAACGCACAUACAAACACGCACAAACAAAUGAGCUUAGCAGCAGUAGCCCACACCACAGAUCCCUCUCCAGGUUUAUCAGCCAGCUACAGUGCGCGCAUCCCACCCGCCGUGCCCACGCCGCCCCAGCAUCAAAGGCCCCAUCACACGCCUCCCGCGCACGCCCCCAAUGCGCCGUGUCGGCACGCCGUCACGCACCUUUCCUUCCAGCGCUGGUACCGUGACUCCGCGCUGCUGCCGCUGCCGCCCACCUCCACCAGCCGGUCCACCCACACCACCUCGGGCUGCGGCAGUAGCUGCAACAGCCGCUCCGCGUUGAGCUGCGCGGUAGCAGCGGCAGUAGCAGCAGUAGCGGCAGUAGCGGCAGUAGCGGCAGCAGCAUUAGCAGCAGCAGUACGGCACAGCAGUGAUUUGAGGCGAUGACAGUCAGUCAUGCAGGUCGGAAGAUGGGCCCCGUUCUUGGCAAACGCGAGACUGCUCAGCUGUGGCGCCCAACACCCAAGGCAACCCGAUACACCGGGGGUGUGCUGAGCGGUCUGCACACAAAGAGCCAGACGGCCACUACGGGACACCCGGCGAAGCCCCUACCCCGCACGUAGCACCCCGCCCCCAUGCCCACCUGCACCAAGUCCGCAUACGUCACGUGCACAAAGGUGUUGGAGGUGCCGGGCGCCGGGGGCUCACCGGCGGCCGCGCCUCCCUGUGCAGUUGUACAGGUGUGGCACACACAACAAACUCACACACGCUGCAGCGGUGGAUCGGUAGACGCCCGAGUGCCCAUCCCACACCACGCCCAGUCACUGCCAAGCUCUCCCUCCAGCGAGGCCACCCCCACACCACUAAACCCCACCCCAUCCACCCCAGAGGUUCUGGCUGCUUCAGUACUCUCUCACGAACCGCCUCCCCCCCCGCCAACCGUACAUGUCACCUCCCGCCCUCCGCCCCCAGGCCUGCACGCACCAGGGCCAGCCUGGCUGUGUUGUCGGGUGCGGGCCGCCCGUGCCGCUCCGGCAGCCAGCCCAGCAGGUGGCGCAGCUCCACAGCCAGCAGCCCGCGGCCCGUGUCGGCGGGGGCGGGCGGGCUGGCCAGGCAGGCUGCGUGAGGGCACGCGGGGAGCGGGUAGGGGGCGACGGGGGAUACAUUGGGUGCAAGGGGCGCGUCAGGCGGCGGCGUGGUACCGGACAGCAGGCGGAGUAGUAUAGGCCAACGCUAGCAAGCGUAUGGAAGGGCCGGCAUGGCUCGCGAGGGCAAACAUCAUAGAAGCACUCCGAUAGCCCGAAAGGUGCUGGCAAGCUAGCGUGGCUAGCGAGCUGCCGUACUCACUGGUGUGCAUGAAGCCGGUCCACUCGCACUGCAGGGAGUCAAGGCUGUCACCGAAGGGCUGCACCACGUCAGUAGUGUUGAUGUGCACCCAGGGGAUGGAGUGGCGGAUGGGGCGGGUCAGGUUGCGGCCCCAAGUGCUCAGCACCUGCGCACAAACAACAUAUGGCGACACGCGGGCGGGGGCCACGGGCGGGGGCUUACAUUUCUGAUUAAUUGGGAAGAAGCGAAAAGGGGGCGGGGGAUGCACAUGCACCGGGUAAAGAGAGCAACAAGGCACCAGGACGGCAACAACCCGAGGCAGGGCGUCUGUGACAGAGUUGCCGAGUCGCAUCGCUUGGUGUAGCGGCAACAAGCCCCGUUCUCCUUACCAGCCCUGCCCCCGCCCCGGACCCGGACCCGGACCCGCCCGCCCCGCCCCGCCCCGACCACCCACCCAGUCGGCAUCACAGGGCGCGGCCGGCCACCCCGCCACUGCCCCUAGCGCCAGAGCCACACGCGCCAGCUCCUCAGCCGCACGCAGGAACUCGUCCUUGGCUGCGGGGUGGGGGUGGGCGGCGGCAUGACAUCAACACCAUGAUGAGCGAUAACAAACCGGAAGCCGCCACCAACAACCAGUCAACAAUGGCGUGCUGUGGGUGUUCACAAACAAAAUCGGCGACCACACAAGCCAGCAUGGACCACAAUGGCACUGUAGGUGCUUACAACACGGAGGCACUCUACAACCAGCACAACAGCACACACAGCACGGACGAGCGCCAAGAGUGUCCCCCACUCGAGCCUGACCCACAAACUGUGAGGACUGCACGCGCCGUGUUGUAAUGCUUCAGUCACUCACUCAGGCCGCUGUGCACGACGCCGGGCGCAUACGCCACCACCCGCAGCAGGGGCUGGUGCUCGCGGCGCGCCUCCCGGUCCGCCGCUGUGGCGUAGUACACCCGCUCACUGCCACCCUCGGACCUGUGGAAUAGGCGAGAGAGGGGUCAGCGGCGGUCGCGUGCAGGCCGCGGCGUCGCAGGCGUCACACAGGCGCAGACAGACCUGGCAAAGGCAGCAGCGGGUCACGCCAAAGCCCAGGCGUAUACGAAACGGUAAGGGAAUACCGGCAGCCACCCCUACCUCCACCAUCUCCUUCCCCCCGCAAACGCUCCACCUCCACCCCAACGCUCCACCCCACCCACACACCAACACGCCCACCUGGCGGCCAGCUUCCAGUCGUACAAGUCCGCCAGCUUCAGGAUGAGGUUCUUGGUGUCGCUGGUGCCGUCCAGCGUGUUGACGUGGACGUGCCCUAUGGCGGGCCGGAAGCGCGGGUACAGGUGCGAGUGCCAGUGGCCGUAGCGGCCCACGGACCACCAGGCGCUCUCCAGCCAGGCGCCGCGGAUAGUGCGGACCCAGGGGUCGCAGCCCUCACAGGGCAUGCCCGUGUCCACUGCGAUGGGAAAGGGAGGCGAUGUGAUGUGAUGUGUGGUGUGGUGUGGUGUGGUCGGGAAGUGGUCGGGGAGGGGUUGAGGUGUGGUGAGGAUGCGGCGUGUCGCCGCCGAUGGUGAUGCUGAUGCGUGCACGCACCGCCACGUCAUCGCCGCCUGCAACCACCAUGCACUCCCCAUGCACCCCCAUGUAUGUGUGCUCACUGGUGGACAGCAACGCAAAGGUCUCCUUGGGAGUGGCCGCCGCCGCCUGCUGCGUGGCGGGGUCCUCGGGGUCGGGCGGAAGCGGCACGCCUGCACACACACGCAAAGGGCCGCGGCGCCCACACACACGGGUAACCAAGUGUCAGGACAACAUCACACAGAGGCAGCGUGUGCGUGGGGAACAGACAAACGCGCGUGCAUGCGUGCAAGCCGUGCGUCCGUUGCUAUGCAAUCCACAAAAUCACUUCUUUGUACCAUGCACACACACAUGGUAGGUAUCGAUAAGAAACUCCGUCGCGUCGUUGGGCGGGCUUUCGUUUCGUUUUUUAACACACACACAUGCACACACGCACCUAGAGCCGUGUGCAGGUCCUGGUACGCGGCCCGGUAGGCCAGGGUGAAGUCCCCCGCCACACCAAACAGCUGACCGCCCAGCUGCUGCGGCCACUCGCCACCUGUGGGGGGACAGCCGUCCAUGCAAGGCAACGCACAUACGCCACAAGCAUGAAGUGCCGAGGACAAACCUCAUGGGAAGCAAGGCAGCGCACACGAGCGCACCCUAGAGCAGACGGGGGCAUGUUGCAACGGCAGCAAACAACCAACAUGCAGAAAAGAUUGCCGGGCGUCCUGCAGUAGUAUCAGCACGGUGCCCGGGUGCGGGGGUGGGUUGCGUUGUUGCACGGCCCCAGAAAUUUACUCGCACACCCGGUACGCACCGAAAUGGGGCAUGGUGAGCUCAGCGGAGCGCAGGCGGAAAGUCGCCUGCUUGCUGCCACUGGCGGACAGCGUCCCCGGCGGCGGGUUGACGCAGGGCCAGGCGUCACACACCAACUCCGACAGCGGAAGCUCUUGUGUGUACUCCUGUUGAACAAUGCAGAAAAGGGUAAACGCAUUCGUGCAUUGACGUGGACAGCUUAUGAGGGACCGCGUUGGGUUUGACGUGGCCAGUGUAAGGGAGGCAGAAAGAGGAGCUGAGACGAAACAAAGGGCGCUUGACGCCACGUGUGCACCACGGGCGAACACGGACUGGCCACGCCACACACCUGUUCGAUGAGCUUAGCCCCAGACAUGUUGAAAUGGUAAUUGUCGUACUCCUGUGUGCAGGGAGGGGUUGCAGGCAGGGAGAGAUUGUGAGAAAGAGAGAGAGGGAGCAGUGGCGGGUGCUGAGUGGCACUUACAGCACCCGUACUUAAGAAGCACCCGCUGAAGCCAUGAGCCGCUGCGAUCUCGACUCUUCAGUAAGUCAUAUCCCGCACCUGGAUGCCGCCAGGGAACAUCUUCUUCCAGUCAGGAGAAUCCUGUACGUAGACGGCAAGCGGCGGCACACCACGUUGGGCUAGCGCAACUAAAAGCGUCAUGAGCAGCGGCGCCCAGACUUCAGUCUGCCAGGGCAAGCGUGUCCCUGCUGCCGAUGCCAUACCAUGACACAAACACCUGCCACGCAACGGGCGAGGGCGGCAACACACAAGAUCCCCGGGCUGCCCCGGCGCCGCCGGCGACUCACCCAGGCCAGCUUGUGCAUGACAGCGUAGAACAGCGGCCGACCCGCCAGCGCCGACAGCAUCGCCUCUGAAGCAGCAGCACGCGCGCGCACACAGACACACACACACACACACGGUAAGUCGGUAAAAGACACGGUUUACAAUUGCUCGAGUGCUGUGUUUGAAGCGGGCGACGUCGGGCGGUUGUUGCCGCUUUACCACCAUGCAACAGCACCACACAUCAGCACGGUGCAAUUGCGCACCGCGCAUGUGAGCACCACCGCGCGCCGCUACCCACCGGUGAGCAUGGUCUGGUCGUCUGUGGGCAGGCCGGUGUCCUUGUCCGCCAGGGCCGUGGACAGCUGGCGCAAGCGACUGCAGUCCUCCGACCAGCGGACUGCACAUCACCGGUACACCACAGCCGCUUGAGUCAGCGAGCGCCAGAAUCAGAAUUACUCUAACCCCGACGAAAGGAAUGGGAGUGAGUCAAGGCAGGCGGCAGGUAUCACCAUGCCACAACAACAGCCACAGCCACAGCCACAGCCACAGCCACAGCCACAGCCACAGCCACAGCCACAGCAAAAGCAAAAGGCGCGGCCGCGGCGCCUCACCGGCUCUGUGAACCGCCUCGUACAGGAUCCAGGUGAUGGGCCCAUUCGACUUGGCGUUCUGCAAACACAGGCGGCGGACACACAGCGGCAUCAGCAUGAAUACUCGAGACAAGGAAACACGCAUCUGCCGGACUGGCUCCACCCAUCGCCUGCUAUGUUACUAUGUAUAAGCACGUCCGCUCUGCGUCAGCGUCCUGACCCCGCCCACCUGGAUGUAGGUGAAACCGCCUGCAGUUGGCAUGGGCAUGAGGGUUUUUUUUAGGGCUUUAGGGCUUUAGGGUUUUAGCGAUGGAGCGUCAGGCAGAAGCCAGGCAUUAUGUGGUGCGCAAGACGCAUGCGGACGCGUAUGUGUGGAGCCCACUGCCCCAGCACACCCCAGCCCCGUCUUAUGCCAUACGAUGUACUCGUAUACACACACAGACACGCACCGUUGAUUGUCAUGACGCUCUCGCUCUGACUGAACAUGUUGAUGGACGACAGCGGAGGCUGCGGGGGCAGAGUAUCCGAGCAAAGGUGAGCACGCCAGCUCGGUGACUACUGAGUACAGAAACUCGACGUGCAACAGCGCCGGGUGUGUCCCGGUCUGUGUCCCUGUACGCCUCACGCGCCGCAUGCAGGCCGCCGCUCCCGCCUGCCUCACCGUCUUGACGCGCCUGUACCAGUCGUCCAGCACCACGGUGUCGCUGUCCACCGCCAACACGUUGUAGCCCAUGGCCACCGCCCGGCCUGCAAGCCGCAUUGCGCCAGCACAGGUGCCAGAUGCAGAAGCCACGUCAUGGCGAUGUUUGUCCCGCAUGUUACCAUCCCGACUGCCCCCACACACCUCUAAUGCCCAGCGCAACCCGCUGACCGCUCACCCCCAGCCCCCACUAGUGCCCGCCCACCCGCCCACGUGCCCACCCGCCCACCCACCCAGCCACCCACCCGCAGUGAACCACUUCAUCCAGCGCUGCGGCCGCCCGUUCUGCUCCUUCAUGUACCUAAAGCCACUGGGCAGCGGCUUGCCACUGCAGGGACAGCGGGGGGAUGUGCAACAACAGGACGAUCGACAUCAGGAGGUGGCGCAGGCAUGUUUGCCAAUGCCUGGAUGCCAUUGCUGGCCCCACACCUGCCGUUGCCCAGGCCCGACCCAUCCGCCCCUCAUCGCGCAGCAGCUCCCUAAAGCCCCACCCAGACGCAGCCCCCAUGCCCAUCACGGCAGGGCCUACUCAGCCCCGGCAGAGCACUUUCCCGCCUUUCAUACGCGGCUUACCCCGUAACCAAACCGCAAAGCCCCUGGCCCCUGGCUCCGGCCCCGGUCCCAGCCCCAGCCCUAGCCCCAGCCCCAGCCCCAGCCCCAGCCCCAGCCCCGCCCCCGGCCCCGGCCCCGGCCCCGGCCCCGGCCCCGGCCCCGGCCCCGGCCCCGGCCCCGGCCCCGGCCCCGGCUCGGGUCACGCACGUGGCUGGGUCAGCAGUGGAGUAGUGUCCGCAGCUGAUGGGCCCGUGCAGGUGCGUGUAGGGCGCCAUCAGCCGCGCCAGCUUGAAGCAGGAGGAGGGGCGGUCCAUCACCACCAGCACAUGCGACCAGCCGGCCUUGCGGUAGCGCUGAAGGAACUGGCCUGUGUGUGUGGGGGGGGGGGGGAGGGGGGUGGCAAGGGACGGAGCGUUGGGGAGGGGCGUUGGGAGGGCCUUGGGCAUCGGGGGUUAGGGGAGGGGCGUGUGGGUGUGCAUGGGACGACGCAGCGUCUGGCGCGCGCAACGUCUCACCAAUCACAGACAGGCGGGCAGGUAGACUCCGCCGAGCCCGACCCCGAACUGCGCGGGCCCCUGGCCCUCGUGUUUCUCCGUCAAUGCAUAUGUUGAUAUGCACAGCGCCGUGCCGGUGUGGUCUGUGGUGCGUCCUCUGACGCCCCAGGUUUUACACCCCGCGACCGCAGUGUCGUCAGGGCCGGCGCUUGAGCUCCAGUGUGACCCCAGUGUAAUGCCCAGCGCCUACCCCCCUACCCUACCCCCCGGGCCAGAACACAAGAACCCUGGAAACUCACCCGCCCCCGAGACUCGAGACUCCACUGUGAGGAUUAUCUGCACACAAGGAGAGCAUGCAAGCCCGACGCGAGAGGGAUUAGGACAGUCGGCUGGCGGCGAGGCGGGUGAGUGCGUGACUCCACCUCAGUGCCCGUCCGUAACACGAAACAGCUUUCGAAAGGGUCAUCACGAAGCGUCCUCGAUGCGAUUCUAUAUGAACGACGCCCUUCAGCUUUGACUGGUCGGCUUGAGUGCAACCCCGGAGACAACGAUGCGGGUGGGCAUUACUGCCCUAAUGCGCACCUCUUUCUCCCAGGCGGUUGCCUCCAGCGCUGCUUUAAGCUGAAUUGUGGAGUCAAGACCGCCGAUGAAUCCCUUGGUCUUGUGCCAAGAGCAAAAUUGGCCCGUUUUACCGUCGGGCGCCUCUGAACAGAACGCUGCGUCGCUGCGCCAUGGCAGCAGCGACAAACAGAACAGCGCAAGGAGCAAAUGGAACAUCUUAUAGGCUCAUCUCUGCUAUCCUGACUUUGCGAGCGCGCGAGUCUUUGCGAAGCGAAAGGUAGGGCGCCCGCCCAGACGCAGAUUAAGUUACACGAGAUAGAAUUAUUGUAAAGGGUGUGUCUGUCUCGCGCGGGGUGCUGAGGGGAUUUAGGCGGGCUCAGCCAGUCGUCUGACUGACAGAAACUCGCGUUAAAGGCACUGCAAAACGCUGUUGUUGAAUAUAAGUAAAGACGCGACCAUAUCAAGCGGCAUUGAGUGCUCUUGUGGCCGAUAACCUUGAGUUGGCACGCACACUUUCGCAAUGAGGACGGUUGGCGCGCGGCGCUUUCGUGGAACUCACAGGAAAAGUCAGGCACUUAUUAAAGAUGAUUUACAGAUACCUAGUUUGGGGGAUGAUGACAUAUUCCAGCAAGGGACACACUCGGGGGCCCCCUCCCGUCCUCGUUGCACAGGCCGCGACGUGGUGUGCUGCAGAGUGCCGGCGAUUGUGGACGUAGAUGUAGGGACAUUCAUGCGUAGCUCUCAAUGCUCCAAUGCCGUCAACUGCAUUCUCCAAUUGGCGUCUGGCACUGCGUUGGGCAUCUGCCGUGGGCAAUGCUCGGACGACAAUGGGAGUCUGGUCAAAAGCUAUGGAUGGGCUUCAGGCAGAGCUUUUGACGGCUGUAUCUAGCCUUAAUGGGAGAGGGUCGGGUUUUGGUGGCAUGGGUUGGGGGGCAAGAGGGAAAGACCGGGGAAAACCUUCAAGAUAGUCCAGUCGACAUGUUGCCCCCGCAGAUUUGACGUUGCAUAGAGUUCACAUCACAGCCACAAGCAAGCAUGUAGUCGAAGCUCCGUCAGUUUGACCCAACUCUUGCCGUCUUGGGGCAAAUUGUCAUGAUAUGGGCUUCGCAGCUCCCGACCAUUUCGGCUUGAAGGGCGUUGCGCUUGUGUUGCUGGUAAGUGAAGAGCGCAAUGUAUUACAAACGGUCGUUGCCGAAAACCUCGGGGGGAAACGGGGUCGCCGCAGGUCGUCCCUGUCGUUCGCGCCUUUGCGGGGGGCACAGCGCACCGGGACUCGCAAACCAGGGUCCCCUCAUCGGGAUUGAGCAGGUCUGGCGCUGCUGGUGGCCCGAAGGAUCUGGGGGAGCCCCUGACAGCAGGAUGGGGGCUGGCGGGCGAGGGUCCGCAGCACACAGCCGCAGCAACGGAGCCCACACCAACACACCAGCAUCCAAAGCCUCUGCAAGGGAAGGACAGACCGGAGGGUGUGGCUGUGUCUCAGCAUGGGAUGCAAGGCCAGGCCGCAGCCGCCGACACAGUGGUAACGGAGACUGGCGACAUUGAUCCGAUGUCUUUAGAUGCGGAGCGCCGGCGGCGGCUGCGGCAGCAGCAGCAGCAACAGCUUGAUCAGCGGGAGCGCUGGGCUGAGGGGGCAGACCGCGGCAAAGGCGGCGAACCCGGGGGAGGCAGAGGCGGGAACGCAGGCGGCAGAACCGGGGGCGGUGGCAACGGAGGCGGCGGAGGCCGCGCAGACGUGUUCGCACAAGGGCAGGCGCAGGGCGGGGGCGGGGCCAGGGACAGGGGCGGGGGCGGGCCCUCGGUCGUUACAUCAACACGGCUGCGGUACGACUGGCGGCGAGUGGUGGCAGACCUGCAGCCCUUGCUCAUGUGAGUUUCUUGGGGCGAAUGUGGGGAGGGCAGGGCGUGGGGAGGAGGUGUGGGAGGGCACGACGAUGCCAGCAGGCACUUUUUUGUGUGCAAAUGGCAUCUUCACUGGACAAACCUGAUACAAUAAGCCACUGCUGCUGCUGUUGCUGCUGCCCACCGCAGGGCGGCGCUGGGGCCCGAGGUCGCCUACUGGCGGCGCAAGCGGCUCACGUGUGCCGACCUGGCACACACGGCGGCGCAGCUGGCGGCCGCGUGAGUGGCCUGUGGGGCGGGGUGCAUGCGUGUUUGUUUAAGGAGCAUCCGGGAAGAGGACAGUGCAGAGGCCUGGCAUGCGUUGCCGUGCGGGGCUGGUGAUGCUCGCUUUGGCGAAUGUGGGGUUUGGAGUGUGUAGCUGUGUGGAGGGGGGGGGGCAGCGAAAGUGAGGAAGACCCCGGAGCCGGGGUGCGGGUGAAUGAGCCCGACCGUGCGGCGCA